rnacentral:lncRNA from 1 species
CCAAAGAUGGAGAUGAGAAAGAAUCGGAAAUGGUCCAGAUGGAGAUGAAGACAGGGGAUGAGGAGAGUUUGAGAGAUGAGAAGGUGGACACAUGAGGAGAACCGAGAUACUGAGAGAGAGUGAGUGGCCGAGAAGAUUGGAAAAGUUGACCAUGGGCAGUGGCAAGUGGGCUGCGAACUGCGGAGAGUUGAGAGACUGAGAGUGAGCAAGAGAUGAGAAAAAUAUAAUGAAAAUCAAGUGGGCAGGCAGCGGCAAGGCACUAGGCAAGGCAACCCUAAAUUAUAUAUAUAUAUAUAUUUUUAUAAAUGCAGUUUAGUUCAGUUUGAAAAUCAGUUUUCAUAAAUGAAGCUAAACCGAACUGAACAAUUCAGUUUUAAAAUUUCUUUAAACCGAAUCGAACUACAUUUUUCAGUUUUAAUAAGUUUUCAAUACCUGAUCCCCUAGGACUCCCCCGUUUAUCUUCUUUUUUAUUGCUCCCUUUGUAUAAAUCUCUUGUACUUAGAGUUCUUACUAAUAAAGAAGUUUCGUCUCUGUUUAAAAAAAAAAGUAAGUUUUCGAUUCGAUUCGGUUCAGUUCAGAUUUUAUAAAUGGUUUGGUGUUAUGGUUUCAGUGACCACCCCUACCAGCCAGAUUUCUAAAUAAGAAUUCGGGUCGGAAAAGGAAAUUUAAUAUAGUAGAAGGAAGAAGAGGAAAGAGAGUGUUAGUGUUGGCACGUGUGAGUAGGUUGUGUGAGUUAGUUAGGAUAUUCUUUCUAAAUCAUUAUAAACAGAGUUGUAGUCUUGGAGGGAAAGUAGUUAGAUUUCGGAGAUUUAGUCAGGUGUUUGUGCACCUUUGAGAGAGAAGGUUGUUGAUUUUAUGGAAUUAAUCUAUAUUUCAUUCAUUAUUUAGUAGAGAUACAAGCCUAUAUAUAACCAUAGAGAAAUACACUUAAGGAAAUAAUAUCAAAUAAUAUCUCCAAAAUAAUAUCUCCUAAGAAUAAUCUAAUUAUAUUAAUACCCUCCCUCAAACUCAAGGUUGAAAUCACAAACUUGAGUUUGCUAAGAACUAAGAAAAGAAACAAUAUAUCUAGAAUAGAAUAAAAAACCCGAAGAACAAACACACAAAGAACUUCUAGGUUAAAACAAACCCACGAAAAACUUCUGGGAUAGAAACAUAGAUCUUCGUAUAGAGAUCUAUAACAGAACCUAGGAAGAACGAAACAAGAACUUCGGGGGCAAAAUGAAAGAGCAAAACUGAAGCAAAGUAGAAUCAAAGCUGGACAAAAACAGGGUCGGAAUUGGACAGAAGUGUUUUGUCGGAUCAGAAUGGAACCGAACGAACUAAACUAGAGCAAGUCAGAAUCAGAUUAAACGGGAAAUCUGGGGCGAACAGAACGGAAACUGAACUGAAUGGAGCAGAGAGGCUUAGCGGAUCUGAACAAAAACAGAAACGAGGCGUCGUUGGAUCUGGGCUUCGAUCUAAACUUUGAAGGCAGACAUGAAGGAUGGGUCUGAACGAAAUUAGACAGAUUUGGAACAGAUUGGAGGCAGACGCGAGGAUCUGAGGACAUGGGGUUUCAUGGUUUUGUUGGGACAGCGCAAGGAGAUGGAGCAACGGCAACUUUAUGUUGCGGCGAGCAGAGCUUCUUGGACGACGAACAAAACCGAAACUCUUCGGCUGGGCGUUCGACUUCAACUGACAAAGGUUCAAUCGGCUGCUUGGCUAACGGAAAAACAAGAGAUCGGACGAAGAACUAUGAAGGAGAUGGCCGCCGCAGACGCUAGUGAAAAACGAAUGGGGUUUCUGGGGUUUGGAUGGUGGCAGAUUUGAACAGCAAUGAGUGGCAAAGGGAAGGUGCAACGACAACGGCGGAUUUGCAGAUCUAAGGGGCGGCUUCAGCUAAUGGGAGAUGAUUCUGCCUCCGUUGAUGAAUGAUCAACGGAGGCAGAGAUCAAACGGGAUGUGGAGGCUAGAAUUCAAUAAGGGGAAAACCCUAGAGCUCUGAUACCAUGUUGAUUUUAUGGAAUUAAUCUAUAUUUCAUUCAUUAUUUAGUAGAGAUACAAGCCUAUAUAUAACCAUAGAGAAAUACACUUAAGGAAAUAAUAUCAAAUAAUAUCUCUAGAAUAAUAUCUCCUAAGAAUAAUCUAAUUAUAUUAAUAAAGGUAGCAGUGAGAGAUAGUAACCGAAUUGAGAUUUCCUCAAUUCGUUUUAUUAUUCUUCUUCUUUGAUAUUGCAUUCGAUUUGGUUAAAUUAUCAAUAAAAGUUUCAUCGAUAGAACACAACCUUAGUGUUCCAUCACAUUGCCAAUGAAGUGGUGGAAGAAUACAUAGUGAAAAAGAAGAAAGUGUGGCUGAUUAAGUUGGACCUUGAAAAAGCGGGUCAAUUGGGACUUUUUAGAAAAAGUAAUAGCACAAAAAAAUUUUGAGAUGGCCGAUGGAUAAAAUGAUAAUAGGUUGCAUGCUCAAUCCCAAAUAUUCAAUCUUUAUAAAUGGCCGACCAUGAGGCAGAAUUCAAGCAUCAUGAGGCCUUCAAUAAGUAGACCCACUUUUCCCAUUUCUUUUCCUCCUAGCAAGUGAAGUUCUAAGUAGCCUAAUUUCAAUAAUACAUACGAAUGGGAAUGUUUGAAGGCUUUAUUGUAGGCAAAGACAAGGUACAUUUUUCCUUUAAAAAUGAUGAGGCAAUGAUGGAAAUCCUCCAAAAGACUUUGGUCUUAUUAGAAUGGUGUUCUGGACAAAAAGUCAAUUGGGAAAAAUCUGCCAUUUCUGGAUUUAAUAUAGAGGAAAGAAUGAUCACUAAAACGGCCUCAAGACUAAGAUUUAAGAUGUAAGAUAGAAAAGCUUCACUUAAUGUACCUUGGUUUACCGCUUGGAGGCUACCCAAAAAGCUCCUUAUUCUGGCAGCCCAUUAUAGAUAGUGUUGUUUUUAUGGAAUGAAUCUCUAUUUCAAUGAUCAUUUAACAAAGGUACAAGCCUAAAUAUACUAGAUGAGGAAUAACUUAAGGAAAUAAUCAAUAGAACAAUAUCAUAAUAAUAUCUCCUAAAAAUACUCUAAAUCCUCCAAUACCCUCCCUCAAACUCAAGGUUCAAAUCACGAACUUGAGUUUGCUGAGAAAAGAAACAAAUCAGUAGAUUAGAAACCCACGGAGAACAAACACGAAGAACUUCUUGGUUAAAACAAACCCACGAAGAACAAGACGAAGAACUUCUAGGAUAGAAACAUAGAUCCUCAUAUAGAGAUCUAUAUCAGAACCUACGAAGAACGAAACAAGAACUCCUGGGCUUAGAUGAGGGGAAGGUUGGUUGGAUUUGGAGCAGACGGAUCAGAAUCGAACAGAUCUUGAAACGAGAUUGGAUCUGUGGGACAAAGCAGAUGAAAACCGGAGAUGUGCGGGACAAAUCUGAACUGAAACCAGAGGCGGAAACCAAAUCAAAGCAGGUUGGAAUCAGAUUGAACGGAUUCGAAAUCUGGAGGUGAACAGAACAAAAACCAAACUGAUCAGAGCUGAGAGGCUGAGCGGAACUGAACAAAAAAUAAAUCGGGGGCGGAUGGUGGUGAAAAUGAAGAACACGAAUGGGGUUUCUGAGUUUGGAUGGCAGCCGAUUUGAGCGGCAAAGGGAAUUAAGGUGCAACAGCGGUGGCGGAUUUGCAAAUCCAAGGGGCGGUGGCGGUUAAUCGGGGAUGGCUCUGCCUUCGUCGACGAAUGAUCAAUGGAGGCAGAUAUCGAACGGGGAUGUGGGGGCUAGAUUCAAUGAGACAAAAGAAACCUAGAGCUCUGAUACCAUGUUCUUUUUAUGGAAUGAAUCUUUAUUUCAUUGUUCAUUUAGCAAAGGUACAAGCUUAAAUAUACUAAAUGAGGAAUGCACUUAAGGAAAUAAUCAGCAGAAUAAAAUCUUAAUAAUAUCUCCUAAAAAUACUCUAAAUACUCUGAUAGAUAGAAUUCAAGGUAAACUAAGCAAGUUGAGAUACAACUUAUCUUGUGGUGGAAGAAUCACACUGUAAAUCGGUCCUUUCCAAUCUCCCAACUUACUACAUAUCAACUUUCCUCAUGCCAAUUUCAGUUUCUAAUACCUUGGAGAAAAAUCAUGAAAGAAAUUAAGGGAUUUGAGAAUAAUGGGGGAAAGCUGAACCAUUUAGCUAAAUGGUCUAAAAUCAUCAAAAGCCAAAGAGAUGGGGGCUUCAGCUGAGAAUAAGAAAUAGAAAUAUGGCUCUUUUAUCAAAAUGGGGAUUGAGAUUCAUGUCAUAACAAAAGGCCACCUUGAGUUUGAGAACCCUGUGGAUUAGUAUUUCAAGAGAAUGGCGCAAGAUUAAAGUACUAGCCACUUUCAAAAUUGGUAAUGGCAGCAGAGUGUUUUUUUGGACUGAUCCAUGGCUGGAUAAUAUUCCCCUAAACAGCAAGUUCCUUAGAUUAUCUCGUAUUGCCCUCUUGCCUAAAGGGUCAAUUUCUGAACAUUGGGAUAGCCAAAUUAGUUCCAGGGCGGUUUACUUUAAAAGAUUAUUGAAAGAAGAGGAGGUUGUUGACUUUCAAUCACCGACGAUUUCUUUAAUGGGAAAAUGGUAAACUCUAAUCAGGACAAGAAAGUUUGGUCCCUAUAACCAAGUAGCUGCUUCAUCGCUAAAUCCUUGCUUACUCACCAAUCACCUACUUCUCCAAUUGAUGUUUCUUUAUACUGGGGGCUUUGGAAAACUAAGAGCCCUUAAAGAGCCAACAUAUCUGUGUGAAUUAUGCUUCAAGGGAAUUUUAAUUGUGCUAAGAAAGCUUUCCUCUCAUUGCCUAUCUCCUCAUAUGUGCCAUCUAUGUGGUAUGAAUCAAGAAGAUCUUUUUUCGAGUGUCCUUAUGCAGUGAAUUGUUGGUGUAGGCUGAUGCGAAUUUUUUAUUUCAGAUGGGUUUUUUAUGGCAGCUUUAGUGGUAAAGUGCUGCAAAUUCUCUCUGGACCAGAUUUAGAGAAAAUCUCAUCAAUAUUGUGGUGCAAUGCAGUCGUAGAAAUAUGGUUUGAAAGAAAUCAACGUAUUUUGCACGGUUUAGAUUUGUCUGUUAGUCUUUUGUUAAUGAUAGGCUGCUGUUGUAAAGGUCUUAUUUUUUGGACCACUUUUACUAGCUCUAUGUCAUUUCACUUUUCUAUUUUUUGGAUAUGAUGAGGACGCUAAGAAGGUGCCAACCUAGUUGAGAUGUCCGGUGCGUCUAUGAUCCCUAGUUCUUUAAUUGCUCAUUGUAUAACCCUAUUGUACUUUGAGCUUUGCCUCAUUUUUACAAUAAAUGAGAUCCGUUUCCUUUUAAAAAAAAGGAUCACGUAAUUAAUGAUCUGCAUGUCUGUAGUUUUCAGCUUUGUGUCAAUCAGCAGCUGAAUUAUGGCUUCUUACUUUGAGCCUUCCUGUAACCAUUCCUUGUAUGUUUUCUAAGCUUUUCUUUGUAAAUAGUGUUCAUAUUUGUAUCUUAUCUUUUCUUAUCAAUGUAUUAGGUUCUAGUUAAUGGAUGUGGCAAAGCUAUACUUUGCUGCAUAGUUUUUUGCUUUUUUUUUUUUUUUUUGUAAAAUUCACUUUUGGUCCACAAGAUUCAGAGUUGAUAUCUUUUUUAUCUAUGAGAUUUCAAAAGGUGCACCUGUUAGUCAAAAUGGUCUCUAACUCGAAUGGACUAUUACUAAUAGCAUGGUAAUCAUUUGCAACUAGAAUCAUUUUCAAAUUUACACAUUAAAAGUGUACCUUUUGAUAGUUGGAACCUUAGAAACAAAAAGAGGCUACAAAAUAGUCUGUCGAUAUCUUAAAUAUAAAACCAGUCUUGCCUCCAUAUUUCCAGCAUCGGUUAUUUCCACUGCACUCACAAGAAUCAACUCCUAAAAUAUCGAGGCCUCAAAUAAUAGCAUAUGGUAUUUGUUAUGUCAUUGAUGUUGGGAAAGAAACAUGGCAUCAGCUAAGGGUGUUUUCCCCCUCUUAUUCAGAAAUCGGUUGGCGAAAGGAUUACAAUUGACCCACAAUCAUUUGGGGAAUCUUCAACUUGUCGCACAAUAUUUGACAAUCCUCGGGAGUUUAGCACUUGCUCUACAUGACACCGUGCAGGCCAGAGAGAUAUUAAGAUCAUCUUUAACAUUGGCAAAGAAACUCUAUGACAUCCCAACUCAGAUCUGGGUACUAUCAGUUUUAACAAGUAUGCCAAUGAUAUAUAUUCUUUCUAGUUACUAUUAACAUUUUAGUGGAAUGAGAUUUUCACAAGGCACUUAGAAUGAAGAACACACGCUGGGAGCAACUGUCUCAGAACCAUUUUUUUUCACAUGUUCAAAUAAAGUUGUUUAGUCUUCGUACAAAUAUAUAUAGUGAACCCCAUAAAUAUUGUUACACUUUCCGGUGAUAUAUGUAUUAUAUUAAUAAUGCACAUACAAAUUAAUUUUUAUUUUUGUAUACAUUAUAGCUUUAUACCAAGAGUUGGGUGAAAAGGGGAAUGAGAUGGAAAACGCGGAAUAUCAAUGUAAAAAGGCAGAUGAUCUGCAAAGGAGACUGGUUGAUGCACAUUCCUCCAUUCAUCACAUCGAAUUAGUAAGGCGUUCAUGUUACUCUGAUAUUUUGAUGAAUAGUUAGUGUGUUUGAACAAAUAUCUGCUAUUAUGCACUUACAUCUUUUAUUGCUUUUUGUUUACCCCUCAUGCAUUUAGAUUGACAAAGUACGGCUUGAGAUUCAGCAACUAAAGGGGGUUGACAUCAAGCGUGCAGGUAGCAUCUCACUUGGAGUUGAUCUUGAUAUACCAGGAUCCAUUGGUGUGUCGGUUUCGACUUCAUCAUUGAAGCUUAUGGAUAUAGACUCAGGGAGACGUGGAAAGAGGAAAAUUUAGAGCUUGCCUGGGAAAUUUUUCAAACCAGCUUCUUGUUGUUGUUAUUCUUUUUAAUCUUUAAUUUUGUUUUGUGUUUUUUUUCUAAACUAUUAUUGACUUGUAAAUAUUAAUUUAUUGCUCACUUUAAAUUAAGGGAAAGUGUGAUGGUUGACAAAUGUAUUUGGGGUUUUAGAUUUUGCAGGUAUAUCAAAACUUUCAGAUUUGAAUUUCAUUAUUUUUCAUAUUUUCAGUUUACCCUCAACUUUUGCUAUAUUCCUAUUUCACCGUCGAAAGUUUAGCACGAUAUUUCUUUUUUCCUCAACACGCUACAAUUUCACGUCUCAGGUGAGCUAGGGUUUUGAUCUUCUUUUUCUCCCAAAUUCUGAUAUUUUUUUUCCACGGGUGUUUUGAUAUCUUUCUUUCCAUUCUCAUUGUAGCUUUUAUUUUUUUCACUGGUGUUUUAAUCUUCUUCUUAUUGAAUUUUCAUUUUCUUCACAGGCAUUUUUAUAUCUCUUUCUUAUUGUUGUUUUGGUUUCUUCUUAAAAAUGCUAUUUGAGUUUUGAUUUCUUCAAUUGGCAUUUACUUUGAAGAAAAUGAAAAGAUGAAGAAUUAACUUUGUUGAUGGAAAGAAACAUUAGAACAGAUGUUACUGCAAACAAUACUUUUUCAACAGAUAUAUGUAUAUGAAUAACAACAAAAAAUGUAAAAGAAAUGAAAGCAAAAAAGCUGGGGCGAGCGGGUUAACAAAAUUAAAAAGUAGCAAAAAUUAAAAAGAGAGAGAAGGUGACUAAAAAUGAAAUGUUGAAUCUUAGAGAGAGGAAUUUUGAUUUCAAAUCAAUUAAAUAUAAUUUGAAAUUAUAAUUGCAUCCCCUAUUUUAGCGUGAAUUUAAUGUUUUGUAGAUGUGUGAUUUAUUUGUUCUUCUAUUUAAGGUGAAUUUGAGAUUUUAGAGAUAAAAAUGUAAUUUUAAGAAAAGAAAAAGUUAUCUUUAGUUCCUUUAGAGUGCAUUUGGGGGAGAAAAAGAGUUGAUAAUAAUUAUGAUAAUUCUAGGAUAAUGUGUUAUGAUAAUAUAUGUUUAGAUGAUUUAUUAUUGGUAGUGUUAUGGUAAUAUGUUUUUUUUUUUUGGGAAAGAUUAUGAAUAGUAGUGUUAUGAUAAUAUAUGUUUGGAGAGGAUUAUAAUAGAUAGUACUAUGAUAAUAUUUGUUUGGAGGAGAGAUUAUGAUAGUAGUAUUAUGAUAACCUGCAUUUGGAGGGAAGAAUUAUGCUUGUAGUGUUAUUAUAAUAUGCAUUUGGGGGAAGGGUUACAUUAGUGUUGAUAAAUUUUCUUCUAUAUAAAAUAAACAAUAUUAAUACAUGUAAUUAUAAUAAAUCAUAUUGUUUUUUGUAAAUAUGUUUUGCAACAUGUUUUUUACAUACCCCAUUUAAUUCAUAAUUUGGUUUAUAAAUCUUUAUGUUGUGGUGGGUUUCUUUUUUUUUCUCGGGUCGUUCAAAACGUAACGCACAAAUAUGUUAGAGCAUGCAAAUAAAAGUUUGAAGCUGAACAAUUGUGAAGAAUUGGUUCACUACAAAUUGUCGUUCACAUAACAACAAAAUACCAAUAUAUAUGAAAAGAUCGUAAACAAUGCAGAUAAAGAUAUCGAAAAGCACUCAAGGGUUUUCUCGGAGAAUGACCAUACAUAAGUUUAAAUUCAUGGAAUGCUUUCAUGUCGCUAACGUUGUGCAUUAGUAUACGCAUACAGCGACACCUAUCGAUUUUAGUCAAUUUGGGGAUGGCAUGUAACUAUCGAAUGACCUCUUGUCAUAGUGUGCUUGCAUCUUUCCAUUGUAAUAUCGACUAGUAUGCAAUGCAGUUAAGCUACUCAUUAUCGUACUCAAUGACAUUGCGAAGUAUGUGUGCAGUUUCUAUCGACUGUCCUCUCCAUUUCCUCUUUGAUUUGCUAGAAGAGCUACUCAUUAUCGUACUCAAUGACAUUGCGAAGUAUGUGUGCAGUUUCUAUCGACUGUCCUCUCCAUUUCCUCUUUGAUUUGCUAGAAGCAUUCCUUCUGUCACCUGCACGGGAUCGUGUCUCCAUUAUUUCGUCAGGUGAUAUGUCUAGUCUUUGACUGUACAUUGUGGGAAACUCCAUAUCGUUGCCAUCAUCAGAUGCAAAUCCCUCGUACCCACCAAGCACAUUGGACCCGACGCGGUAAGAGUGGACUGAAAUUCUUGUUUGUCUUUUACAAAUUCUAUAUUGAAACUCUGUUGAAAAAAAAUCUUAAGUUAAAAACAAAAUUGAUUAACCUAAUUGUAGUCUUUGUAUUUGUAUAAAAAAUCUUCACAUCUACCAACCAUAAUUUUGCUAACGCGGUUUUUAAAGUCUAGUUGCGGAACACAUAGACUAAACAUAGGGAUAAAACAAAGAAAUUAGUGUGUCAUGAAUAAUGAAGACAUGGAACAGACAGGAGCAUAUGAAAUACACUGAAUGGUAACAACAUGGGGAUGAAACUCAACAAAUAUGAACAUCUAUAAUUAAGUGAAAAAUGAUAAACGUACCAAAGAGUAUCUAGAGAUGCAAAAAAUUUUAAGACUGAGGAUGCAAUGGAAUGGGAAGCAAGGGGCAAAUAUAUAGUAAAUGGAUGAUGGUAAUAAAUUGGACAACAAGCAACCAACAAGUAUCAUGGAAAACAAGAGAUAUGACACAUACAGUAACAAACGAAAAUGACAAAGAUCUAAUAGAAAAAUUAGGCAAUUAGGACUCUGCAAGUACACAAUGUCCAUGAAAAUAUAGACCUAAGCAAGGGGUAUGUGGAAAAAUUAGAAUUUAGAAGCCCUAAACCCUAAUAAAAAGCAACAAAGUAGGUUUCUACCAAUAGAAUAUGGUAUUUGGGCAUAACAUCCGUCACUUGAAGCACCUUAAGGUUGAAACAAAUGCGCGGCAAGGGGAAGUAGGACCAACAACUGUUACAGCAAAGCUGUGAACGGAAACAUAGAGAGGAAGGCGAGAAGUUUAAGAGACAACGAGUGUGAGCGGCAACCGAUCAAUGAAAACACAAAGAGGAAGCGAUCCGUUUCAGAGGCAACGUGCACACAACCCUCAACGAAAACGCAAAAGGGUUUCAACGAAGGGAAAAUGAAAUCAGGGAUGAAAACACAACGACAGAGGAAGACGAAAAUAUGCAAUAUAGGUGUAGAUUCGAAGAGGAAAGGUGGGGAAAUCCGUUCAACUGUGUAUUUUCUUAAGGGAAAAACGAAAUUGGAACAGAAAAUGACGAAGAAUACGAGUAAAAGAGAAGAAAAUUCGAUGGAUUGGCGAACAAAUUACAUAGGGUUUCAGAAGGAUUACGGCCGAAUUGGAAGAAGAGUUGAAGGGGGUUUAUCAGAUGGGUUUUGAUGUGUGUGUCAAAAUUAACCGUAGACUUUCAAAAGUUUCAAGAAAGUCUUCCUUACUUUCGAAAAGGGUUCAAGCUUUAUUUCAAAAAUAGUCGUGAACUAUUGAAAAUUAAUUUUCAUAAACAAUCUUGAAUUUAUAAAAAACCAACAUAAAAUUUCUUAGCCCACAAAACAAAUAAAAAAAUUUAACUAAAACUAUAAUUUUUAAAUUUUCCUUAGUUCUCUAGAUAUUCUCACAUUUUCAUAGGUUGGAUAUCAACCGAAGGAUAAAUUGAUAUUUUGAAAAAUUCAUGAAUCACACAAGAUAAAAUAUAAAAUGUCACUAACAUAAAUAAUGACAUGUUUAUUUAUUUCAAAAUAACAAAAUAUUUAUUUGCUAAUUUAAAAUUAUUUUUUUAUUAUUUUUAUAAUUUUUCAAAAACAUCCAUUGUAAUUUAAAUUUCUUAAAACUAAGACUUUGAUAACUAUAUUUUAAACUUUGGUUAAAACAUAAAUUACACGAAAACUCACGAAGUUUUAAAAGUUGUCUUUAAAACAUACUAAAACAAUAACUAGUCAAAUAAAAAGAAAUUGCACACUAAUAGAUCUAUCAAACUACCACAUUGGGGUUAAUAAUCAAAUAUAUUCUUCUAUUUGACAAUUAACUAUACGUUAAUUAAAAAAUAACUAUUAAAAUCGAUUCUGUUUGUGAUCUACCAUUCGGUGUUAAUAGUGUAAUAGAUUUUAAAUUGUAGAUUUAAUUUAAAGUUUUGAUUUUUGUUGGUAAGAAAAUUAGUUUAAAUUUUGGGUCAACCACCCUAUUUCUAACUUUUAUAAGCUUAAAGUACUUAUGAAUAAAUAAGCUAAUUAACAAGCUAUUUUUAAAUAUACAAAGUGAAUAAAUAUUUAUAAAAUACACGGUAAAAUAUUUAAUUUCCAAAAGCUCACCAAUCCAAAAAAAGAAAAAAAUAGCAGAAAAGAAGAGACCUAAAAUAUUUUUAAAAAUGGACCAAAUUUUUUGAUUUGGUUAGAUAUUAGUAGAUAUAUUGAUUGUUAUAUAUAUAAAAAUUAGUCCAAAAUAGAUGAAUUUUGUUAUUUAAAUAAAUUUGAGAAAGAAAUGAAAAACGUGCAAAAACACGAGCGAAGUUUACUGGCUCGCUCGCUCGCUCGUCCUGCGCUAUUACCCGAGGGAGGGCUGGAAAAAAAAAAAAAGAAAAAGAAAAGGCCUUAAUGUCUUGGUUUUUUGCAAUCUCUCUUUACCCUAAACUCUUCCUCCAUUGCAGAUCGAUUUUAUGAUUGAGUUGUGUAGCUAAGAACAUCGAUUCGUUACCCUACAAUUGAGAAUCAAGCUCUCUGUUUACCCCAAUCUUAUGUGAAGCUGCUGAUCGAUUCAUCAAUGGAUUAGAAAUCAGAUGUCUGACGGUAAGCCUCCAUUCUUCUGUCAUCGAUUAUUCGAUUGUAGGGGGCAGUUCGUCUGAUCUGCCUGUGAUACACUUUAGUUAGCAAAGCACAAUCUAUAGGAGAAGAGGAAAUUUGGAACAACAAACAAAUUUAUCAGGUCCUUUUUGUUGCGCUCUUCAGUUUUCCGUCUGCUAUGAUAUAUCUUCGGUUCUUAGUAAGCAGGAAACAUAAGAGCAUUUCUGUCAUCUGAAACCUACGAAUAGAGUCUCCUGGGGACCAUACUUCCCGUCCCCCCAUUUGUUUUUUAACUUUAUUCUUGUGAUUCUAUCUAUACUUCUCUGCUCUUAGUCAUGUCUUCUCAUCGGUUGACAUUUUAUUGCACUUCUGAAGUAAAAAAACUCGUGCACUUCCAAGUUGCGCUCUCCGCUCCGUGUUAUAUAUCUCUGCGCAGUAUGUUCUGUUCUCGGUUUGUUAUUUGUCUCUUUCAAUUUCAUCUAUUUUUGCCUGGAAUAGGAGCAACACGAUAUCAUUUUGAGCACUUAUGCUUUUUAAAUCGUCUAAAAGAGAAGUCUUUUUAUUUAGUUUUUGAGUUAUGUAUCAUUUCCGCCGACUCUGAAUGAUUAUUAUGUGGUAUUUCCCCGACCCUGUCCGAGUUGUGGUUGUUAGAGGAAGUUCAUAACUUGCUAAGAUAAGGAAAAUGAACGUAUAUCCAUUUUUUCUUUUUGGUCAGAUAUCUGGGCAGGUUCCUGAUAAAGCUGGUGUGGAGUUGUCUGGAGAGGUGCUCUCCACGUGAUAUGUUCAAUAUGGACUCUGAACUCUAUAAAGCACGUGUCUUCAUUCAAGAGAAAAUGUAAGGCUUAUCAUUAUAUAUCUCUCUUUGAUGAAGACUUCAGGCCUUCUUUCUUUUGUUCUUGUGCUUCUUUCUGUCCCUUACUUACGCAUCCCGUACUUAGCAUGGCUUCUCAAAAAUCUAAUGACAUAUAGAUUUAAUAGUUAACUUUAAGGGCCAUGGAUGCUAGAACAUUUUUUAUAUACCCAAAUAACAUCUUGUGAGGGCCUGAAAAUUCAUGAAGCAGCUUGAACUUUUAAGUACUUAAUCAUAUGUUUGGGAAUUAUCUCUUGUUUUUAAUGCUAAUUUCUUUGUUCCCCUUUUUAAAAGUUCCGCAAAUGAAGUUUGUUUAAUGGGGUUCUAAUUAAAAAUGAAACCAGAAAGAAGUAUUGUGUAAUUAGGCAAUUUUAACUGGAUGAUCUUCAGUUUUAUUAUAUUCUGACAUCUUUAUUUCUCAAUAUUGGAUUUUUCUUUUAUUGAGUUAAGAUUUAUAUGUUUACCUUGGUCCAAAUUUUCAUGUUGUAUCUUUUAAUCAUUUAUUUUGGAUUAGAAAUGACUUCAUUGAUGAAUGACACCAAAAUCCGUGCAGAGAUAUUUCUUCUCAUCCUCCUUCAUUUUCCCAUUUUGUUUUUUGUGUGAUGGUUAAUGGAAAGGAAACAUAUUUUUGGGAAGAUCUUUGGGUGGGAAUAGACCCCUCUCCUCUGCAUUUCGUUUCCUCGAUUAUAUCAUCCGUCCUCCUUAAGAAACUGUUGAGUAUUAGAUUCGUUGGUUUGUUCAGGGAAUUUGGUUUCUUUCUCCUUUGUUUUUUGUCGGUCUUUGUCCAAUAGGGAAAUGACAGAGGUGGCUUCUCCUCUCUCUCUUGAUUGAGGCCUUUGAUUUUAGGCUUGGGAGAAAAGAUGUUCAUGUGUGGAGUCCUUCUCUUGUAAGUCUUUCUUUAGAUUCUUACUCGAUCCCUCUCCUGCUGUUGUGUCGAUCUUUGAUGUUUUAUGGAGGAUUAAGAUUCCAAAGAGAGUCAAGUUCAUUUCUUGGCAAGUAUUGCUUGGGCGUGUGAAUAACAAGAAAUAGGCUUGUGAGAAAGAUGCAUUUCGUUAUUGGGCCCUUGGUGCUGUAUCCUUUGUCGAAAGGCAAGAAAAUGUGGAUCACCUUCUCUGGGAGUGUCAAUAUGCACGAUUUGUGUGGAAUGGAUUUUUUCAGGAGUUUGAUUUUGCUCUUGCUCGUAAGAGGGAUGUUUGUUUGAUGAUCAGGGUGUUCCUUCACCAUCUGCCUUUAAAAGAGAGUUUUUUUUUUUUUUGCAUGUGGAGGUGUGCAUGAUUUCGUGGGAUCCUUAGGGUGAGAGAAACAAGAGAGUGUUUCGUGAUGGGGAGUGAGACCCUAGUGAGGUUUGGUCCUUGGUGAAGUUUCAUGUUUCUCUUUAGGCUUUUGUUUCGAAGACUUUUUUUGUAAUUAUCCCUUAGGCGACAUUUCACUUAGUUGGAAUCCCUUUGUCUAUGGGGUUUUUUUUUUUCUUUUACGUCCUUGUAUGCUUUUAUUUUUUUUCUUAAUGAAUGAAAUGAUCCAAAGAGAUACGAAUUGGCUCCCAUUUAAAUGGAAUACAAAACAUGUCUCCCAUUUUAGGAUAUUUCUUAAUAAUUAUGAAAUCAUUCAACUCUGUAGCUUUUCUUUUUCAAUUUUUUUAGGACUUUUGUGCCUUAAUUUUCUACUUUAUAUAUGACAAUUUGAUAUUUUUCAGUGACUGUUGUUCGAGAAAAUUUUACUAUUGCAUAUUAAUAUUUUAUAUUUCUGCUUUUCAGUUUUGAGAUUUUAUUACAGCGGCAUCAACGGCCCAUUGAUGACCUACAGAGGCUGAGGUUCAAGGACAUUGUGAAACGCUUAGAGGAGGGUCUUUUUAAAACGGCUCUUACAAAGGUCUCCACCUUCACCUCCACCCUCAUUGUAAACAAAUUACCACUACAAUAUUGCAGAAGAGUGCAGAGACCACCUCUUUUGUGGUUUAUCUUUUAUAAGUCUCAGAUAAACAAGCAUGCCAACAUUUUACUUAUUGUGAUUCUAAGUAACUCUGGAGUUCAUAUGUUUUCUCUGGGAAUAAACUUUGUCGUUAUGGUAAUAUGACACAGGAUGACUAUAUGAACCUGGAUACUCUGGAGAGUCGUCUGCACAGUUUGAUCAAGCGUUCACCCAUGAAUAAUCAGAACCAGCAAUAUCAACAAGUGGUUAGUUCUUCUUCUGCAAUAAGUCAGAUGAUUCCAACUCCUGGUAUGGCUCACAGUGGGAAUUCCAAAAUGAUGGUUGCAUCUUCGGAUGAUUCUAUUAUUUCUGCUAGUGCCAGCUUAGCACCUAUGACUGCUAGCACAGGAAGCAUCAUGCAAGCUGGUGGAAUAAAUGGUGGUUCCUUCAACAGAGCUGAAGGUAACUUCCACUAAAAUAUUUUGUCCCUGUGUGAACAGUUUUUCUUUUAUGAAAAAAGUUAUAAUAUCCUCCUUUUCAGGUCCCAUGACCAGUGGAUAUCAGCAGUCUCCUAGUUUCUCGGUUGGUUCUAGUGGAGUUAUAUCAUCUGCUGGUGCACACAGAAUUACUAGUCAAAUGAUUCCUACACCAGGUUUCAGUAAUAACAUUAACCAUGCAAGCAGCAACCAGUCUUAUGCAAGCAGAGACAAUUCUAGUAAUGGUAGUGGGCUUCCCAGUGUUGAAUCUACAGGGCUGUCUCAAGUGCAAUUGCAAAAGCAGCAUAUUGGCGGUCAGAACAGUCGUAUAUUACAGAAUCUUGGUAGCCAAAUGGGUAGUGGAAUAAGGUCUGGCUUACAGCAGAAAUCUUAUGGCUUUACAAAUGGACCUGCAAAUGGUAGCUUAGGAUUAAUAGGUGGCAAUGUACAACUUUUGAAAGAAUCUAGCACCUCGGAGGGCUAUCUGACUGUCUCGCCUUAUGCUAAUUUAACCAAACCUGUACAACAAUCCUUUGAUCAGAAUGACAAAUCGUUGGUGCAAGGUAUUAUUUCUCUCUAUCUUUAUUGGCUCCAGCCUUUCUUGUCGAGCAGUUCUUGAUGAAAAAUCACAUCGUUACCACUUACCUGUUUUGUAAUAAGAAUCAAUUUCUUUUGGCAGGCGAUGCAUAUGGAAUGAAUAAUACUGACUCUUUUGGAUCAGAAAACCUUUAUGGCCCUGCAACAUCUGUUGGAUCAAUGAUGACUGCUCACAAUUUGAACCCGACAAAUUUGCCAUCUAUGUCUAAAACCAGUUCACCUUUCUCCAGUAACCAGUCAAAUUUUCAUGGAACUCAACAGGGCACUCACUCUCCCCUAAUUGAUGGGUCAGAUAAGAUGAAUUUCCAACCUCCACUAUCUUCCAGGGAAAACAUCAUUGAUUCUCAUACACAGCAGCAGUUUCAACAACAUCACCAAUUUCAACCUCAACAACAACCAUUUCUUCAACAGUCAAGUGUCCAGAAACAACAAAUUCAACCUCAGCAGCAUCUACUAAAUAACGAUUCUAUUAAUCAGGUUCAGUUAGCCUCUAACCUGGGCAGUCAUGUGAAGCAGGAACCUGGUGGGGAGCAUCAUAAUGGGCCUUUCCAGCCACAAGUUUCCGAACAUUUUCCACUGCCUGAGGCACAUAACCAAUUUCAUCAGAAUCCUAGUGAAGACUGUGUGAGGAAUGCUCAAUAUCUUUCUGUUUCUUCUAGCCAGAGUGAUAUUUGUUCCCCACUUUCUCAAAGCUCUCAACAGAUGCAACAAUUUUUGCAUCCACACCUAUUAAAUUCAAAUUCUCAAAAUCGUUUUAGCAGUCCAGCUGGAGCUCUAUCAGAUGCAACUUUGCAGGUUCAAUGGCAUCCUCAAUCACAAGAUAGAAAUCACAGGCAAGGGAGCAUUGUUCAUGAGCAAAAUGUCCAGCAUGAUUUCCGUAAAAAGGUAUCCAGUCACGAUAUAGUGCAGGGUGAUAAUUUACCUACGGAAGGAUCAACAAUUGGGCACUCCUUUGUUACUAGGACCAAGUCUGAGCCUCCUAAUCCCCUUGGUGCCACCUGCCAGAACAACAAUAGUGCACGCCAAUUUAUAAAUCAGCAGAGAUGGCUCCUAUUCUUGCGACAUGCUCGUCGCUGUGUAGCUCCUGAAGGGAAAUGUCCAGAACGAAACUGUGUCACUGCUCAGAAAUUGUGGCAACAUCUUGAUAGAUGCAGUUCUUCUAAAUGCACAUAUCCCCGCUGCCAGCCUACCAAGUUAUUGCUUCAUCAUCACAAGAGAUGUAGGGAUCUAAACUGUCCUGUUUGUAUUCCUGUCCGAGACUAUAUCCAGAGCCGAAAGAGCGUGCGUGCCCACAAUGCAUCUGAUUCAAGUUUGCAAAAGUUAACCAAUGGAUUCCCUAAAACCUGUGAUGCUCCAGAUAACACCACUAGAUAUAUUUUGAAAACUCUUCAGGCUUCUGAAACUUCAAAGGAUCUGCAAUCUUCUCUUAAGCGGAUGAAGAUAGAGCAGUCCUCUCAGUCUCUUGUUCCCAAGAGUGAGAGUUUGGCAGUUUCAGCUUCUGCUAUGAAUGAACGACACAUGUCAUUGGAUGUGCAGUGCCAAGGUUAUCAGCAAGGUGAUGAUACUAUGGCUGUUAAGCAUGAGCUCGCAGAUGUGAAAAUGGAUGUGCUGCAGAGCUCUACUCUUGAAAGCCAUAGUGACUUAAAGGAAGCUAAUGCAGAGAAUAAUUGCAGCCAAAGGUCUGAUGGUGACCUUGUCACAUACGAUGAGUUUUCUAGUUUACCAAAGCAAGAGAAUGUUAAAAUUGAGAAUGAGACGGAGUCAAGCAUGCAAGAUCAUUCAGUGCAUGUCACUGAGCAUGCAGCGGCCACCAAGUCUGGGAAGCCAAAAAUUAAAGGGGUUUCACUAACUGAAUUGUUUACUCCAGAACAAGUGAGAGACCAUAUCAUUAGUCUCAGACAGUGGGUUGGCCAGGUUGGUUAACAAGCUUUUAUUCUGUGUUGUUUUUAUAGAGAUACGUUGGAGAAUAUAUUUUGAUAAAAAUGCAAAUAAAAUUUUAUUUAUUUCAUAACUAUGUUUUGUCUAGACAGAAAGUAAUUCACUUUUUGAAUUUAUAAUGGAUAUAUGUGAAAACAUUAGUUCCGUCAAAAAUUUUGUUUUGAAUUCUAAUGAUCCCUUAUAAGUUCCUAGCUUUUGAGAAAUGGUCCAUCUUCAUUUAACCUUUGUUUCUGGUUCAAGAAAUGGUAUGCAUCACGGGUGCUUGAUGACAAGAUCCAGUGCACUUAGCUAUCUCAAAACUUCUUUAUUUACUGUCUUUUUCUCCAGAGCAAAUCCAAGGCUGAGAAGAAUCAAGCAAUGGAACAAUCAAUGAGUGAGAAUUCCUGUCAACUGUGUGCAGUUGAGAAACUCACUUUUGAGCCACCACCUAUAUAUUGCACGCCAUGUGGUGCACGUAUAAAACGAAAUGCAAUGUAUCAUACAGUAGGUGCUGGUGAUACACGACAUUAUUUUUGUAUUCCAUGUUACAAUGAUGCUCGUGGAGAUGUUAUUGUUGCUGAUGGGACUACCAUUCCCAAGUCAAGGCUAGAGAAGAAGAAAAAUGAUGAAGAGACUGAGGAAUGGGUAUGUGUAUUUGCAGUGAGCUAUGGUUUAUUUUAGGUGAUUUUCUUAUGCUUCAUCUUUUAGUUUUUUUUAACGUCCCUGAUGCUUUCUUUCAGUGGGUUCAAUGCGAUAAAUGUGAAGCAUGGCAACAUCAGAUCUGCGCUCUUUUCAAUGGUCGGAGAAAUGAUGGUGGUCAAGCUGAGUAUACCUGUCCAAAUUGUUACAUUCAAGAAAUUGAAAGAGGAGAGCGUAUACCAUUACCUCAGAGUGCUGUUCUUGGUGCCAAAGAAUUGCCCAGAACAAUUCUUAGUGAUCACAUAGAGCAGCGGUUGGUUAAGAGAUUGAAACAUGAAAGAGCUGAAAGGGCGAGGAUUCAAGGGAAAAGUUACGAUGAGGUAAUUUUGAACAACCAAACCUCCCUUUUUUUAAAUGGAAACAAACCUCUUCAUUGAUAUAAUGAAAUGAAAUGAAAGCCUCUUGUGUCAUUGAAUUUUCUUUUUCAAUAGCAGUCAUGGAGUACUGCCAAGUGUUUUUUUCUUGAAUCAGAUUUUCGCACUUCAGUUUUGGGUGGGGUUUUUGUUUUGUAUUCUUAUAUUUUUUUUUUCACUUUAUGAUUUAUCUUCUUGUGAAAAGCACCAAGAAACAUGAUCUAUUCAGACUGCUACUUCAACUUCAGCACAUAUUCAGUUUCUUUAAUUCAUUUGUUCUAUUGGUGUUGCUAGGUUCCUGGAGCAGAUGGGCUUGUCAUUAGAGUUGUUUCUUCCGUUGACAAAAAGUUGGAAGUUAAGCAAAGGUUUCUCGAAAUAUUUCAAGAAGAAAAUUAUCCAUUUGAGUUCCCUUACAAAUCCAAGGUACAAAAAUUAAAAGCAUGAUGCACUGUUAUUAGGACUGUUAUGUUGUUUAAUUUCUAGAUAUAUAGAUAUAACCUUCUAUUGUAACAUGAUCUGCUAGGUAAUGAGAUGUCACUUUUCAGUAUCAUCUGAAGCUAUCUUCUUUAAAUAUUUUGCCAGGCAAUUCUAUUGUUUCAGAAGAUUGAAGGUGUUGAAGUGUGCCUAUUCGGCAUGUAUGUUCAAGAAUUUGGGUCUGAGUGCCAGUUUCCUAAUCAGCGCCGUGUUUAUCUCUCAUACCUUGAUUCAGUAAAGUAUUUCAGACCUGAGAUUAAGACGUACACUGGAGAGGCUCUCCGAACUUUUGUUUACCAUGAAAUUCUGGUCAGUUUUUUUCUUUCAAGCUCUUAUCUGAACAAGUACUAUUUUAUAUACAUGUGAGUUGUUUUAGUCAUGUUCUUUGUUAUUGUAUUUUGGCCCUAUUUUUUAUCUUUUCAGAUAGGAUAUCUUGAAUAUUGCAAAAUUCGGGGUUUCACAAGCUGCUAUAUAUGGGCCUGUCCUCCAUUGAAGGGUGAAGAUUAUAUAUUAUACUGUCAUCCAGAAAUCCAGAAAACACCAAAAUCUGAUAAACUUCGGGAGUGGUAACAUUUAUGGAUACGAAUACUAGUUUCUCUAGUUUGAGAUAUAAGCAUUUUAUUCUUUGUUGACUCCUUAUUUGGCAUGCUUUUCAAUUUCAGGUAUUUAUCCAUGUUGAGAAAAGCUGCCAAGGAGAAAAUUGUUGUUGAUCUGACUAAUCUAUUUGAUCAUUUCUUUGUCUCCACUGGUGAGUGUAAGGCCAAGGUUACAGCAGCGAGGCUGCCAUAUUUUGAUGGUGAUUAUUGGCCUGGUGCUGCGGAGGAUUUGAUUUAUCAACUUCGGCAAGAAGAGGAUGGAAGAAAACAGAACAAAAAAGGAAUGACUAAAAAGACAAUAACUAAGAGAGCUCUAAAAGCAUCUGGUCAAUCUGAUCUUUCUGGUAAUGCGUCGAAGGAUCUGCUACUAAUGCAUAAAGUAAUCUCUCUUUUCCAGAAUCUUCUUUUUUUUGUUUUUUGUAUUUUGUAUUUUUAAACAUAUUUAAUAUCUGUGUGUGUGUGUGUGUGUGUGUAUUGGGGCAAUUUGCAAAAUUCAAUCCUGAAGUAUGGGUUGGUUAGAAUUUGCACCUUUUGAACUUUCAAUUGGAAAAAUUAACCUCAAUUUUUUUGGAGUAUAAAAAUAGUAUCUCUAAACUUUCAAGUACAAAUUGACAAAAAUUAACCUCAAAUUUUUUGGAGUAUAAAAAUAGUAUCUCUAAACUUUCAAGUACAAAUUGACAAAAAUUAAACCUCAAACUCUCAUCGAUAUGACGAUUAAAUCCAUACUACAUAUUUCGUCUCUACCUUCCACCUCUUUAUCCCUGGGUCAUUCCCUUUCCUUCAAUAACCCACUUUCUCUCCACUUGAAGGCAAGGGAAGCCUUUAAACUAACAAAAAAAAGCCUUCCUGUCAAGAGGCUUGACGUCAUCUCGAAAUCCCUCUCCAAAAGUUAACCUGUUAAUCCAAUGGAUACGCUUAUCUGAAUAUAGAAAAUGUCUCAUUUUAAGCUAAUCCCUUACAUUAACAGUAUCCCAUUGAAAUGAUGCUAAUGGAUCAUGUAUCUGAAAAAAGGAAGGGAAUGACCAAGGAAGGGAGAGGUGGAAGGUAGAGAGAGAACAAGAAGAAAUAGGAGAGAUAUUGAGUAAAAUGGAUUUUCUUUUCACACAAUGAGAGUUUUAACCUUUAGAGUUGAUUUUUUUAUAUUGAAAAGUUUGAGGGUUUAAUUUUUAUGAUCGAAACUUUAAGGGUGCAAUUGUUGGAAACAUCAUACUUCACGUGUGGUUUUUGCAGUUUGUCCAAAAUGUUACUGAUAUUUAGGCAGCCUUGGUCAUUUGGCUGUGUUUCAUUAGGCCACAUUUUAUUUUGCUCUUCCACACUUUGUAACGUCGUGCAAUUUUCAUUUUUUCUUAGCAUGUUUUUCUAUAUAUCUGUUAAGUUAUAAGUAUGAACAAAUUCUGAUUAGAUGUUAUGCUGGCAGAGUGUUAAGUUUUUCUAGUUGUAAAAUUAUGUGUAUGAAUAACAUUUCUGUAGGAUAUAAAGCAAUCAAUUUAUUGGCAGUGGGUUGUGCUUACAACUUUACGUAUUAGAAAGUUCUGUUCGUUUUAGAUAAAUUGAGAUAGCAUACUCUGUCCUGCAAUAUAUUCUUUAUUUGGGUGAAAUUUUAGUUUGUGAUGCUCCAGUGAGGAGGUAUCAAACGUAUUAUCUCAAAUUUUUAUAUGUUAUUUCUCCAGCUCGGUGAAACUAUUUCUCCCAUGAAGGAGGAUUUUAUCAUGGUUCAUUUACAGCACGCUUGCAGUCACUGUUGUAUUCUGAUGGUAUCCGGAAAUCGCUGGGUUUGCAACCAAUGCAAAAACUUUCAGCUUUGUGAUAAGUAAGAGUAACAAAUUAUCUCUUAUUUAUUGAAUCCGAAAAUCAAGAUUUUAUCAUUUGACCAUUAUUUUUGGAGCCAUCAACUGAAGAACUUAAAAUGUUCUUCAUUUGAUGGUUUUUCUGGAAAUACACGUGACUUCUCAUGUUAUUAUCUUUUUGUUUUGUUUUGUAAAAUGAGUAUUGGUUUUUCAUGGAAUUUUUCUACUGGAAUUCCACGGGCUAUAUAAUGAUAAUAAUACUUUUUAUGAUGAGAAUGAGAUGAUAUUAGCAGUACAAAAGAAGAAUGUCAUAUAAAAAAAAGAUGUUACAAAAGAAGGGAAAAAAAUUCUGACGCGAAAAAAGUUAUAAUCAUCUAUGUGUAGAGUAGUUUUCAAGUCGUUGAUUUUUAUGCAGUCCUUUUACCUUGUGUUCAAAAUUAAUUGGUGGGUGCUCGAAGGGGAUGGCUGCAUUGUCCAUGCACCAGCUAUUGGCUAGCUACUGUGUUGCCAUUUUUAUAAUAUAGAGUUGAUAGGCUUUUCCGGAUAUUUCUGUAUGUUUUAUUAAAAUGAGCUGGAAUGAUGUCUAGAUAUUUGUGACUUGAGGUUUGAGAACGUAUUGUUUCAAUGUAAGUAAUUGGGCGAAGUCAUAAGUUGUUUUCUUUAUAUUGUUUAACCUGAUUUUAAGAACUAAUUGUUCUUUUACUUCUUACAUUCAAAACCAACUGGUGAAUGCUGGAAGGUGAUGUUUUCUUUGUCCAUUGCAGCUUUUUGCUGCAGUUUUGCAAUUUAUUGUUAUUUUGAUUGUAUGAAUUUUAUAGUUUUGUAAUUAACUUGGUGGCCGAUGGUGGCUUUUAGAUAUUUAUAUAUGUCUAUGUCGAUAGGAAUUGAAAGUAGUGUGUCUAGUAUUGAAGGAGGCUAGGGAAUACAUUUGUUCUGGGAGUUUUGUGUUCAUUAAGGCAAUGGGAGGAUAAUGUCCAGUUGUUUUUUCAUCAUUUUUUUUAAAGCACUAAGCUUUUCAUUAAGAGAAUGAAAGAGACUAAUGUGUAAAAUUUAAAGAAACCAGGGAAAAGACAAUUCUAAAAAUAGAAUAAUCAAACAUGAAUGGGAGAGUUUCAUUGUUUUUUUUUAGUUGCUAUCUAUUUCUUUCAAUUUUUUUUUAAGUUCUGUUUCCUUUAGAAAAAGAAAAUAGAAUAACCAAAAAUACAAAGAAAGAGAUAGCAACUAAGAAGAAACAAUGAAACUCUCCCAGUUCUUGUUUAGGUCUUGGAUAGAGUAACUCUUGUUGCAUUUUUAUAAUGAGAACCAUGAAGAAGAUGUUUAGCGAGCUGAAUCAAAGGACUCAAAAUGUGACUGAAGAAUCUUUAAAUAUGCUCUGAGUUCUUUCGUUCAAUAACAACACAGAUUAGGGUAUUUUUUAUUUACACUUCUAUAACGUAAGAAGCAAGGAAAUUGUUCAUUCUAAAAGUCAAGGCACUAAAAGUAGAAAAGUGAAGAUACAUCACUAACCAUCAUACUGGUUCACAUCUUUUUUUUUUUAAAUGGAGCUUCUUUAUUAGUACUGGUUCACAUCUAUUUCCUUUGUUUAGUUUAAUUUGUGUGGUUCUUCACUUGGUUGUCAAUUAUGGUAAUGGUGGAUCUCGAAAAUCUGAAAAUGGUGUUUCUUCUCCGAAGACCUAUGUUUUUUUUUCUUUCCCUCACAUGAUGAUUUGGUCACAGGUGCUAUGAGGCAGAACAAAAACGUGAAGAAAGAGAAAAACAUCCUAUAAAUCAAAGAGAAAAGCAUGCCCUCUAUCCUGUAUGUUUUUGAAUCCACGGAAAUAUGUUCACCAUUUUUGUAUAUUUGUUAGUUUAAACAUUACCUGCAAACAUAACAUUCUAUCCAACCAAGGCCUGAAAAUGUUUUAAAGCGUUAAUACAUCCAAUCAUCUUUUUAUUUAUUAUUUGUACUUUAGAGUUAAUGAGUUUGCUGAACUGAACUCUGCAGGAUGAAAUCAAUGGCGUGCCUAUUGAUACCAAAGAUAAAGACGAGAUUCUUGAGAGUGAAUUUUUUGACACAAGGCAAGCAUUUUUGAGUUUGUGUCAAGGAAAUCAUUAUCAGUAUGAUACUCUUCGGCGAGCUAAGCAUUCAUCAAUGAUGGUUCUUUAUCAUCUUCAUAAUCCAACUGCCCCGGCAUUUGUCACAACUUGCAAUCUAUGUCAACUGGAUAUAGAAACUGGUCAAGGUUGGCGUUGUGAAGUUUGCCCUGAUUAUGAUGUAUGUAAUUCCUGUUACCAAAAAGAUGGAGGUAUUGACCAUCCUCACAAGUUGACUAAUCAUCCUUCCGUGGUUGAUCGAGAUGCACAAAAUAAAGAAGCUCGGCAACUACGUGUCUUGCAGGUUUUGUGGACAUUUUCUUGUUAUGCAUUAGCUCUUGACAUUAUAUCUUCAUCUAGACGCAUUCUUGGCCCUGCAUUUACUGUAAAUUUCUUUUUUGACUUUUAGCGUACUUCUUGUUGGCUUUUCAACUAUGUGCCACUUCAGGUUUCUUGAUGUUUGUGAAAAUAACAUCUAUGCAUUUAGUAGUCCCAAUCUUUUCCCAACGUCUAGAAGUUAAAUGUAGAACAAGAAAAAUGUUCUGCUUCAUUUAGUGCUUUAUUUUUAGUGGUAUUUUGUGAUUAACUAAAUGUUCAUUUAAUUAGAUGAUUUGAUCAAGAAGUGAACAACUAAGCAUUUCACUGCAGUUUGAUUCUUUCUUUUCACAUUACUAUGGAGGCUUGUUUUGUUCGUUUUGCUCUAAUUAACAGGCAGUGGAUACUCAUCAUUCCUCUAAUCUUGAUUUUGGCAAUCACCUUGACCGUUGAAAUAUUACUUUUCUUUUCUUUUUUCCCAUGAGGUCUUGCAUCAUGCAUUUCUUGUUUCAUUCUGUAUGCCUUACUUUUGUUAGUUUGAUGUUGCAGCUUAGGAAAAUGCUGGAUCUUUUGGUGCAUGCAUCUCAAUGUCGUUCUUCACUUUGUCAAUAUCCAAACUGUCGGAAGGUGAAGGGGCUUUUCCGACAUGGGAUACAAUGCAAAACACGUGCAUCUGGUGGUUGUGUUCUCUGCAAGAAAAUGUGGUACCUCCUUCAACUACAUGCUCGAGCUUGCAAAGAAUCUCAAUGCCACGUGCCCCGUUGCAGGUAAUGUCUACAUCAUUUUCUUUUUCAUCUUUUGGGUUUAUGCAAUCGUGAAGGUAUUCUAUACUGUGUAUAAUAUGUCCAUUUGUGUUGCAUAUAUAUAUAUAUCAUCUGUGUAGUAACUGAGAUUAGAGAGGUUGAAUUUUUAAUGUACUCCAGAGAUCUCAAAGAGCACUUAAGGCGGCUGCAGCAGCAGUCUGAUUCACGGAGAAGAGCAGCUGUGAUGGAAAUGAUGAGACAGAGAGCUGCAGAACUGAACAAUACGGGGUAACCAGUUUGUAGGUUUACAUUAAUAUUAUUGAGGAUGCGAAGUUGAAAAAGAUUUGAAGCCAUUCUUGAAAGAGCACUGCUGGGAGGGUGGAAAUCAGGCAGUGGGUGACAGACAACAUAGAUGGAAGCGGUAGUGAACUAUACACUCAACAUCUUGGUUAAAUAUUCAGGUUUAGGGAACAAUUCUUUUAUUCUAUGUAUCUACCACUUGAACUUUCCCCAAUAGAAAAGCCAAGUGAGACUCAAGCAGAGCAGCUGCCGUCCUCGUCUUCGUCUUCGUCUUGGUCAUCGACCCCUAACAUUGUUUCUAAGUUCUCAUCCAUAAUUUUUCCUUUACUGUAAAAUACCAUCUUUCAUUAACAUGUGUACCCAGUCCCAUGUUUAUAAGAUUCAAUAAUUAGUUUCAGGAAGUGCUCCAGGACAUACAUUUACUUGUAUAAUUUGGCUUCUACAUUAUUUAUAGAUGAACAACUUUGAUCUGUUCGGUUGUCGUAGAUUCAAAACAUUGUUUUAUAUUUAGCAAAUGUGAAUUGUUAUACAGAUCAAUUACAAUGUCUCAUUAAAACCUAAAUGAUGUUUCAGCCAUCCAAGGCAACCCAAAUUAAAAAACCUAUGACUGAGAAUUUUGUUAAAAUUAAGAAAAUGUGGCUUCUCGACAUAUAUUUGAUUGUUUCUUCAAUGUUUAUUCGAGUUCGAGUUCUCACUUCCACUCCGUAUUUCUAUUCCUCCCAUCACCUAUUUCUCUUUCCCGACCCCUUCUCUUCUCUUUUCUCCUUUUCUUCUUUUUCUUCUUUCUCUUCUUUCUCUCCGUUCUCUUCCAAAAUUCUCCUUUUUUUUUUUUGUAUGACUUGCCAACCAAGUCACUAAAAUUUCUUUAAAGAGUUUUCAUAAUCAGUAACCCUUUAGCAUAAAAUAGUAAGAAUAUAGCUUUUAAAACAAUAUGCAAACAUAGCAAAUUUUUUAUUUCUCUUUGUAUAUUUCUAAAAUACCCUAGAAGUGAAUAUUAUCACUUUCACGAUUCUCUCAAUCGUCUUCUUUAUUUUCCAUUCACGAUUUUUUCUGCCUCCAACCAAUUGAUUUUAUGUCUUUGCCUCCAAGUAGUUCGAUCGCCAUAGCCUCCAAUCGACCAUUAAUUUUUUGUUUGCUUCUCCUUUGCUUGGUCAGGAUUACGGUCUUGGUAUCAAUUUUUUUUUUAAAUUUUGUGGUAUGUGAUCAAAUUUCAUUGAAGUUUUUUUUUUUUUAGAUUUGUUCCUUAGUUUUCUAAUUCAAUCUUUGUUCAUCAUCUCAAAUUGAACUUCUUUUCACAAAUUUUCCAUUGACUUUAUCUUAUUUACACAAUAUGAUUUAAUUUCAUCUAUGUUUGUAAGCUUAAAUUCUAUUUAAUUGUUAUCUUAUUUACACUAAGAUAGCACAUCAAUCCAACCAACUAAACCUUAACAGUCUAUUCGUAAUAGAAACAUAGUGUUGUUUCCCCUUUUCUUUUUCUUUUAAAACAAAAUGACCUUUACCAAAUUCAUUUUUCCAAUUUCUUUCUAUUUCUACCUUGUUCUGAAUUCUCUUCCAAGAGAGACACUCCAUGAUAUACUUGAAGCUAAAAAGUGAAUUUUACAACCUAGUUUUUAUUUUAUUUUAUGCAUAUUAUUUCACUCAGAUUACAUAAAUAUAGAAGUAUCGUAAAUUUGUUGAUUUUGUUGAAAAAUAUUUUUUUUCCCUUCAUAUAAUAUAAUAGAUGAAGUUUUAAAAUUAAUAUGUCGAUGAGUAUCAAGUGAUAGAAAACAUGUGUAAUUAAAUAAUUCGAAAAAGUUAAAACAAAUAAAAAUAUGCAACAAAAAAGGAACUUGUUUAGAUUACAAAAAAUUUCAUCAUAUACUCAUGAGAAAAAGAAAAAAAUCAAUUCAAUUCAACACCUUAAACACAAAUUUAUUCGACUUAACCUAACUAAUCACUAGUUCGUAGGUUAAACUAGUUAAGUCAGGAUAAAUGUAGAUUUUCUUAAAAUAUAUCAAUAAUUAUUUAUAAUUUAACACAAGUUUGUGCACGAAAUGCAUAGUAACUUCUAAGAACUAAGUGAUUCAAUAGAAAGCGUUUAUUUUAUUUAAAACAUUUAAAAUUGUAGUGUUUACAAUGUUGGUUUUGUCCAAAUACAAUAGAAAUGAAAAUAAAGAAAUAGAAUAUAUUAAUGAGGGGGAAGGGAUGGAUGAAGAGGAAGCGAAAGUCAGGGUGGGAAUGGUAGUCAACUUCUAUCAUUUAAUAGCAUUUGUAGUUAGGAGAGGAGAGAGUGAUAUGGGCAUUUGUUUUUGGUUCAAAAGAAGAGUAAUUAGGAGAGACGAGUAUGGGUGUGGAUGAUGACACUGACAUCCAAAAAGAUCAAAGGGAGAUGUUCGAAUCUACUAAAGUUGUCGUAAAUGCUUUCCAGCGACUGUGAGUAAGAUGCCCCGAGAUCCGCGUAAGAAGAGAAGCUUUUUAUGAGCGCCGACACAUGGAUUUUCACACAAACCCUUCCCCACAAAACGUGAAUGUAGCAUUCAAAUCAACGCGCUAUCUCCCCAACCCCCUGCCUUUAAAGUUCCUUUCCCUCACCUUCCAACUGGACUCUUCAUUUACUUCACCGAUUUUUGUUUUAAUUUUGCUUCAUCAUCCCAUACAUACUGGCCAGGCCAAAGGCAGCUCAAUAAUUCCUAUCUUAAUGGCCAAAUUAACUACACAAACCCUUCAGUUUUGCUGCCUCUUGAUCCUUUUGUUUCCCAUGCUGCUUCCGGCCAGCUCUCCACCGGAUCUUGUGCAGACAGAGUGCUUGAGCGUACCCUCCUCCCAGUUCUCCAACUCACUCCUCUCCACCAUCGAUGUUGUACGACAGGUUAUGGCCAUUUUCUCUCCGUUCAGUAAAUUACUGGGAGACUUCCGGCUUUCCACCGCCAUUUCCGACUGUCUCGAUUUGCUUGACUCCUCUGCUGACCAGUUGAGCUGGUCCCUCUCCGCCACCCAGAAUCCCAAGGGUACACCAUUAUUUACAAUACCCCACCCCCACCGCAUUCUUAUAAAUUUGCAUAUUAACUCUCUACCCCCUAAGCCUAUUCAUUUAUAUGUUGCGCUUUCAAACUUUGCUUUAAUAUGUGUUGUUGGUUAGUUCACGGGGAUAUUGUCGGUUGUGCUGCUGCUGGACCUACUAGUUACUUUUAUAAAUUGCGCAUGCAAAUGCAACUACACUAGAAAUUCAACAUAUUUACAAAUUAAACAUCCUCCUGCUUACAUUAUUUCAGCUAAAAACCAUAGCACGGGAGAUCUGAGUUCUGAUCUGAAGACAUGGCUGAGCGCUGCAGUGGUUAAUCCGGAAACAUGCAUGGAUGGAUUUGAGGGCACCAAUAGCAUUAUCAAAGGUCUAGUAUCUGGAGGCGUUAACCAGUUAACUUCACAGCUCUAUGACCUUCUUUCCAUGGUGAAAUCAAUCCCCAAUCAACCGAGCGAGUUUCCUUCAUGGCUGAAAUCUGAGGACCAGAACUUGCUGCAAAUAAAUGACUUGGCCGCCGAUGCCACAGUGGCCGCCGACGGGACUGGGGAUUUCACCAAUGUGAUGGAUGCGGUACUAGCAGCCCCUGACAAUAGCAUACGACGUUAUGUCAUAUACAUAAAGAAGGGUGUGUACUUGGAGAACGUGGAGAUCAAGAAGAAGAAGUGGAAUCUCAUGAUGAUUGGGGAUGGAAUAGAUGCCACCAUCAUAUCGGGUAACCGCAGUUUUAUUGACGGUUGGACAACAUUCCGAUCAGCGACCUUCGGUAAUUUUCCCUUUCAUUAUAAUAAUUUCUGAGGACAAAACAAAACAGAGAAAUGAAGAAGAAGUGGUUAUUAAUUAAUUUGCAAAUGAUUUGCAGCUGUAAGUGGAAGAGGAUUCAUAGCGCGAGACAUAACAUUCGAGAAUACUGCAGGAGCAGAGAAACAUCAAGCAGUGGCACUUAGAUCGGACUCCGAUCUGUCGGUGUUUUUUAGAUGUCGAAUUAGAGGCUACCAAGACACGCUGUAUACGCACACCAUGCGCCAAUUUUACCGCGAGUGCCAAAUCAGUGGGACCGUUGAUUUUCUUUUCGGCGAUGCCACCGUCGUUUUUCAAAACUGCAGCAUCCUGGCGAAGAAGGGUCUUCCCAACCAGAAAAACACCAUCACUGCUCAGGGCCGGAAAGACCCAAACCAACCCACCGGUUUCUCCAUUCAAUUCUGCAACAUAUCUGCGGAUUCAGACCUUAAACCCUCGGUUAACACUACUGCUACGUACCUUGGAAGACCAUGGAAGGAAUAUUCCAGAACCAUUAUCAUGCAAUCAUACAUCAGCGAUGCCAUUAGGCCAGAAGGUUGGCUUGAGUGGAACGCCAAUUUUGCAUUGAAUACACUAUUCUACGCUGAGUUUAUGAAUUACGGACCGGGGGCGGGAUUGGCCAAGCGUGUCAAUUGGCCCGGUUACCACCGACUGAAUCAAACCAGUGAAGCUACUAACUUCACCGUGGCUCAAUUCAUUGAAGGAAACCUGUGGCUGCCGUCCACGGGUGUCAAAUACACUGCAGGACUGGGAGCUAAUUAGUAAAUCAACAAUAUGUGGUGCAUUGAUGCUCCCUCCUAUAUAUCUCACUUUCAAAAUAUACAUAAAAAUGAAUUAAAACAUUAAAAAAAAAAAUCCCUUGCCGUAGUUUAGAUGAUACAAUUCGGUGGACCCAGAAAGUUAAGUGCCUCUAGAUAUUUUUGGUGUUGUAAUUAAAGCAAACCCCCUAAAUUCCCCUCGAGUCUUCAGUUCUGUGUGUGCCACCGUGGUGCACUUGCCAUAUGCUUUUGUGUGACCAUUUAUCUCUUCACUUUGACCUUCAUUUUGUAACAUGUUGUUCUAGUGCUUUUGGUCGCAAUUGUCCAUUGUUUUCUGCCCCUCUUUUCAUUACCAUCGUAUUAUUGUUUGAUGUUUGUUUAAUUGUCAUAUUGCUCUUCGUCUCUGUCUUUCAUCUAUUAUAUAUAUGUUGUGGUUUUUCUUGCCUUCGUGGUCUUUAUUAUAUCGUUCAUGUUGAUAUCACCAUGCAGCAACUUUGCUCAUCUUUCAUUAUUGUGUCAUCAUUUGUUAAAAUCAUCAAUAUGAAUGUUGGUUAAAAAAAUAGAUUUGAAGAGGUAAUAUCUAGUAAAAUUUUAAUAGUUAUUAGUUUCGAUAUAAUAGUACUUAACCUAAUCAGUAAAUUAAUAACUACUUUUUAGUACCAUGACGACAUUGCCGGUAUGACCAUAACUCAAAUCUUAACUAACAUCAAGCAUCUACAUAUAGUAGAUGGCGUUAAAUGUAUCAAUUUGAGAUUAAAAGUUUCAACCUCUCGUCAAAGGAAAAAAAAUGUAUUCAAAUUUUAGUUUUAAGUUACUAAAAUUUUAAAUAGAAUAAAAGUGGUGGUUGUUUGAAGAAUCCACAUUUGGCUCCUCGAAAUUCUGCUGUUGAUGUAAAAAAAUGAAAGCUUUUUACUGCAAUCACUGGGUAUCGAUGGUCUAAGAUUUCAUGCAAAGACCAGCUUCACGAAGACAGAAUCUGGAAGAUGAAAGAAGAUCGACGGAGGGGAAGAAGAUAUUGUAGAAAGAAUAUUGCAAAGAGAUCUACAAAUGAGAAGAAUAUGAAGAAGAUCGAGAAGCAUUGAGAAUCGAGGAGAUGAAAGAGAGAAUUGAGAGGAGUCCUUUGCUACUUUUACAUUUUUAUGAUGAUGUAAGCGAAAAACCUAGAACUUACAUUUUAGAAAAGUAGGUCAAUUUCACUUGGGUAUUUCAAAUUAGGUCAUCUGUGAAAAGGAUAACCUAAGCAUGCAUUGCAUAAACAACCCAAGUUUAAACCUUCGAUUUUGCCUGUAGCUCCGCAAAUCUUCAAAAAACCGAGUAGCAUACCCAGUUUUUCGGUAAACCCUAGCGAGUUGGUUUUCUUCGAUUUCCUCCACUCUCAUGGUUCUGUUGCUUUCUUGCAUAAUUCUCAAUUGCAAAUCUAAUUAUAAGCAAAGUAAAAAGAAUAUUACAAAAAUAAUAUCCCAAAUAUAUUCUAAUUACAACAAUACCCUCCUCAAACUCAAGGUUCUAAUCACGAACUUGAGUUUGCUAAUAACUUGAUAAAACAAAUCCACGAAUGACUUAUGGGAUAGUAAUGUAGGUUAUCGUAUAGAAAUCUAUAAUAUAACCUACAAAGAACAAAGCAAGAACUCAGCAAGAACAACUCCUAAAACUUGAUAGAGAGAUAGUGGAACGAAAAGUAAUGCAUGAGGUAAAGGUUGGUUGGAUUUGGAGCGGAGGACGAGCUGAACGGAUCUUUAAAGUAAAUCAAAACCAAAGCAGGUGGAAACGAGGCAGAUAUGUGGGACAAAGCAGACGAAACCUAGAGGUGAAUAGAACAAAAAUCGAACUGAUUGGAGUUGAGAGGCUGAGUGGAUCCGAAUGAAAACCGGAUCAGGGCAUAAUUGGAUCUAAGCUUCGAUCUAAACUUGAAGUGUUGAAGAGCUGCCAAAGACACUAAGCGAGAAGAGGAGGAAGAUAAGCAUUUCAGGUUUAACUUGUUAAGUGUUGUGAGUGUUUUCUUUAAAUGUUUAAAUGAUGAUUUCCAGUGCCUUGUUCAUUCUUGUUGAUUUGAAAUAGUGAUUUAGUAGAUUCGGCCUCGUGUUGAGGACAUUUCCCCGACAUUGGGAUAAACGAGCCGGCUUUCUCCGAUGUCGAGGACAUUUCAAAUAAUUUCCAAGCGUCAGGAUUAAGGUGUCGAGAAAAUAACAUUUCCCGACGUCGUGAAGAGGACAUCACCAAUUGAGAUUUUUGUCGACGCCAAGCAUCAGCGGGUUGGGAAAAGUUAAAACUAUUUAAAUUUAGAGCAAUUAUGAUGCAUACCUAUAUGUGACAUCAACAAUUGCUCCACAAAUGCCGACGUUGGCAUUGACCACGUUUGCAAAGGUUCAACCUUUAAGUAAUUUUUAUAACUUUUUCUGACGUCAAAAGUGACUACUCGAGAUUGGCCUACUUUUUGCCGACGUAGGAUCUAACAAUGUUGGGGGAAAGUGCGACGUUUAAAAAUUUUGAAAAGUUUUUUCGACGCCAUGAGUGUCAACGUCAGGAUCAGUGGAAAAUGUCGACGUUGUCAAUUAUGGCAUCGUAAAUAGAAUGGUUCUCGCAACGUACUCAUGUUGCGUCAUGAGAACCCAUUAUUAUAAAAUAUUAUGUUUUCACAUAACACAGAACACACAAGAGAACGUAAAAUGAAAGAGAGAAGAGGGAGUGUAGUCCUUGCUCGAUGUCGUCAUCGUUUGCAGCCCGCCGUCCUCCUUUCGUCGUCAAGUUACUUAGUCGUCUCUAUUUCGGUAAAGAGUUGUAUUUAUUUAUUUAUUCUAAAUAAAUGUAUAUUGUUUUCGGUUGUAUGUAUAUUGUUUUAAGUUGUAUGUAUAUUGUAUAUCGUGAAUUGUAGAUUGUAUAUUGUAUAUAUUGAAAUUGUUGAAUGUUUUUUAACUAAAAUUUAUAUGAGUUGUUUAGAUUUUAUAUUGUAUGUAUGUUUGAUAUUUAAUCUUGUGUCAUUGUAGGUUGGGAGGCAUGGGAGAACUGACGUCCACGUGUUUAGAAUUAUGUUUUCAAGUUUUAGUUUUAAGUUUUCAUGUAAUUUCUAAACUAAAACACGUGUAUUUUUUUUUAAUAUUUGAAUUAAUAUGAAUAUAGAUUCGAUUUUGGUAUGUUUUUCAUCUUAUGUUAAUAUUGUUUUUAAAAAUUGAUUGAAUUUAUAAAUCGAAUUCGUUCUCAAUACCAUAUAUAUAUAUAUAUAAUAAAUUAAAAAAAGUUAUAAACAGGUUUUUCUGACGCACAAAACGCAUCGAGCAUGGACCCUAUACCGACGUCAUGUUGGCUUUUCCCUUCCUCGACGUACAAGACGACGUCGAUGUAGGUAUUGUCGACAUCUGGUCAACAGGUCGAAAGAGCGAAGCAUGCAUUGACAAAAUCUUUUGCCGACGUCAUGUUGUUCGUGCGUCAGUAUAGCCUAUCCCAACACGGUAAUGCCGACGUGGUUUUCUGCGUCGAGAUAGCCUAUUCAGAUGCAUUUUGUGAUUUAUGCCGACACACACAUGAGUCGGUAGAACUCCCCUUUCUUGUAGUGUUUGUUAAAGUCUCUGAAUCUCACAAUUUUCUCGAGAUCACGAAUACACCAAAAAAAUAACUUCUGAAUAAGUGAGGUAUUGGUUGUGAGAACUAAUCUUAAUUUUUGGGAUUAAGGCAUAUUAGGAAUAACGAGUAACACGAGGAGAAGGUUAUGUAUCAAAUAAUUCCUAUGCGGGAGUUAUUUAAAAUUUAAUUUCACAACUAAAUUAUUAAUAAGUAAUUAUUUUAUUAUUUAUUUUAUUUAGAGGCAUUUGUAGAAUUAUAAAAAAAAUACAAACUAUUUACUAUUUUAUAAAUAAAUAAAAAACUAAUAAAAGACAAAAGUGCAUGAUCUAACAUAAUUAGGAACAAUUUUAAAAAUAAUAAUCAAGUAUAUAACAAUUUUUUUUUUUGCAAAUAUAACAAAAUCGAAAUGUGAUAAGCCUCUAUCGGUAAUAGACUCUUAUGGUCUAUCAUUGAUAAAUCAAUAUUUAUUUUGACAGGUUCUGCUAUAUUUGUAAAUUUUUAAAAAUGUCGUUCUAUGCUCAAUUGUUUUGAAUCUAAUUACCAUAUUUGCAACUAUACAUUUUUUUGUUGUAAAUAGUUGGCUUAUUUUUCUUUUUUGGACAAGUCCCCUUUAAUUUAUUUAAUAAUUAAUUAAUUCAAUUCAAUUUAAUUCAAUUAAUAGUUUCAUUUAGAUCAUAUUUAAAUGAACACAUAGUCCACGUAACCUAUACCUUUAAUUCAGCUAAUUUAAUUAAAUCAAAUCAAAUUAUAUCUAAUUAAAUAUCAUAGGUUUAAUUUAACGUAAUCUAUAUAUGAAUCAUAUUCAAUCAUAUUUCUCUCAUAAUCUAUAGCAUUUAUGUGUAUCUAAUACACACAAAUUUUAACUUAUAGUUUUAAUUUGAAUUUAAUUUAUAUUAAAUUAAUAUUUAAAUUCUUCAAAUAUUUAAUUUAAUUAAAAUAUAAAAUUGAUAUUAUAAUGUAUAUCAGUCUUAAUCUAAGUAAAAUUGAACAUUUCAAAUUCUAAAACAUAAUAGCCUCGCUACCCUCUACUAGCUGCUGAGGAGAUCUAAUAAACCUAUAGAUCACAAAUUUCAGUUUAAUUCGCUAAAACUCAUUAACCACAUUAAUCAAUACUCGUUAAUUAUGUGUACACGUAACUAAACAUUCAUAGUUUUACUCUUCUCCUUGUAUAUAUUAGUUUAUGUAUCCAUUAAUAUAGACUAAUAGCCAAUUAGUCAUUCAUGAGUGUUUGUAACAUCAGUUGAGUCAAAUUAUCAUUUUACUCUUAUAUUAAUUCAAAUCAUUAAACAUAAAACCAUCUCGAGCUAGUGAGAGGGUAAGACCCUUUGUUCGUUUCAAGUCAUUGUUUAAGGGAACACUCAUCUACUUAUCAUAAAGUUGUAAAUAAAUGGUAGGCUUAUUGAGUCAACGAACUAGUCAAUCUCACCCAUACAAAUCAAACGAAAAUCACUCGUGAAUAGAAAUACAUAAUACACUCGGAAUUAAGACUAAGUUAUCUAUGUCAUUCUAUUGAAAUAGAAACUCAACUAGUAAACAUAAUUACACCUAGUGAUUACUAUUUUCAUGGUUGGAUUAGGUUGUAAAACCACCUAAAACCAAAGCAAGUAAAAUAAUUAUAAAAUUGAUUUUUGAUUCUGCAUUUAAAGUUGAAUUACAAGGAGUUAGAACAAAAAUAACUUAACUCAAGCCAGCAUAAAAACACAUGAGAGCCAAAUUAUCUUAUCAAGAGGGAAAACGAAGAUAAACGAUUUUUAUCAUUUAAGAGCCUCUUGUAACUUUUCAUACCCCGCAUUGUCCCAAAACAACUGUUCUAAAAACAAUCCCAAUCUUUACCCCUCUCACCAAAACAGACUUAGUUUUCCAAAAAUCUUCCUUACAAAUUAAUCCCAGCAAAUCUCUAACUCUCAUCAAAGUUAUGGGUGUUCAAAUCAUCCGAAUAUCAAUCUAGACCAGCAGCCUUGACCAACGCCGCCGCUCGUGCCUUCGUAGCCAGUAAGCUCUAUCUCUGAUUCAAGGGGUUUUCUUACUCUCUCUACCGGUUAGGAGCAGUGCGUAGGAGUUUUGGUGAGUUUAAUGUGAGUUCUUUGGUUCUUCUCACACCAUAACCCAUUUGGCUUAAAUUUAACUUACCCACGUUGUUUUGAUCUUAGAUUCUUGAGUUUGCAGGAGUCUAAUGUGCUAUCCAGCAAGACAUUAAGAUUUUUGGGGUACGUUUCGAUGGGUAUUUACCCUCCGAUCUUCUCUUGGAGAUACUUUCAUGGCUUGAAUUGGUACUGAAUUCAGUUUUGGUUAGAACAUUGAUCGAGGUUCCGUAAGGAGAAGAGAAUUGUUAUUGGUGGAUAUUGGGAUUGGAUUCGAGGUAAGGGACCUUGCCCUUGGAAUGCUUUAAGGGCAAGUUUGGGUGUUACCACCGACUGUAUAUCUUACGUGAAUUCUUGUGCCAGUCUUAGACCAUGAAAGUCAUGUUUUUUAAAUGUCAUGAAUUUCAAUGCAAUGUUUUAUGACUUAUGAGUGCCAUUUCUGAAAUUUAUCCAUAAUUGAUUAAGCCAUGAAAUGUGAAUAGUAUAAUAUGUGAAGCUCGUGAAUGUUAUGUUAUGUACGUCAUGCAUGUGAAGUUUGAUGUAUAUGGCUGCAAGGCUUGUUAUAUUGCACAGGACCUCAUGCACGUGUGAAUGCUUGUCAAAGUCAUGAAAGCGUUCAAUGGUUUCCUUCCCUUUUAUUGAACAAUUUAACUGCAUGGAAGGUGCGUGUCCAAGGGCUCCAGUGCAUGAAAACGAUGUUCUAGAGUCGAUACACAUGGACGUGAUACAUACCUAACGGGGCUUGCUAUGAAGCACAAAAUACUUCACGUUAGGUAGAGAAUUGGUGUCGGAUGUCAGUAUUAGAUACUGAUAGAUGUGGCAUAUCUGUUUUCUUAAAAUUAUUUUGUUUAAAUAUAAGAUACUCAUGCCUACUUCUAGAUACGUAUAGUGGACACGCUGGACCUUACCAAAAAAUAUAUAAAAAAAGCUCAUUUAAUUUUUCCUAAUCUGAGACUAAGUAGUCUAUCUAAAAAGCUCACUGCCUGAACGAAAAAUUAAAAAAUUAAAAGAAAAAAACCAGAAUCAUCUCAUUUUCAUCUUCAUGUCAGGGUCCCCACAAAGUCAAGCAUAAAUAACCUAUUGAAUAUCUUCAACAGUUCAACGAAAAAGUCCCUCGUUGUUCUCCCUCAAGUCUUCUUCUCUGAUCAGUCCAUACUCUGGUGCACCACCAACCUUUUUAUUGUAUUCUAAUGACUAUUGUAUUUCAGUAUUUUUUAUGUUGCUUUUUGUAUUUAAUUCUAGUGUUUGUAUUGUAUUUUUUGAUAGAAUCAACAACUUUCAUUGAGAAAAAGAACAUGAAAAAUACAAGGGCUUAAAAGAAAAGAAAAGAAAAUAAGAAUCCACAAAACAUCCCCUCUAAAGAAACAUAUUCCAACUAAAAAAGAUGUUACCUAGAGCACUGUAGAUUGUACUAUUGCCAUUAACUUAACAAUAUUAUUGUAUUGUUGAUUGUAAUAUUGUCAUUAAUUUGACAUUUUUUAAAUAUAUUUUUAGUGGAUUAAAUCUAGUAUUUUUAUGUUAAAUUUACAUGUUUGAACACACACAUUCUUAUCCUAGUUUUUUAGGGCCUCGCGUUUCACCAUAUCCUAUAGUAUUCGUAUGCUAUAUCCAUGUUUGUGCUUCAUAGGAAGUUUUGAGUAUAUGAAAUGAUACACGCCACGCCCAAUGUGCAGUGGGUUAUGUGUUUGAAAGUGAUGUAGACAGACUGUGUACAAAAGUGAUGAACAACCCAACUUAUGAAAGGGAAGAAGUGGAAAACAUAGAAAGAAAGUUUAGUCCCACAAUGAUUACUUAAGAAUAGUCUCGAUGCACGUGUGUUUGCAUUUUCUUACCCUAGUUGUGGGGUUUCAUACUGAGUAUUUUUUAGUACUCACCCUUCCAGAGAAAUAUUUUAGAUAAGAACAAGUUGACUUAGGCGGAUGGCCAUGGGUGACUGCAAGGUCCAGUUACAUUUUAGUUAACUUAUUUGUAUCACUCCUUUAAGUCUUAUGUUAUGUUUUUACUUUAAGUUUUUGUUAUUUGUUUUCUAAACUUUGGGAUCCCAAACUGAACGUUGUUAUGGAAUGGAUUAUGAACUUAACACAUCUUUCAUGUUUUUAUUUGAAUAAAAGUUCGGUGAGUCUUCUAGUUUUGUCCAGUGCUGUCGUAUUGGUUGCAUGCAUGAGUCAUGACCCUUGUUAACAAUUUUGAAUAGUCGGGUCCUUGCAAUCAUGCAUUAUGUGGUUCUGUAUUGUACAUCAUCCUCUUGCUGAUGCCGAAGUCAUACACAGGGGCUUGAGGCUUGUUCACAGAGCCCUACGACAGGCAUGGGCCGACAUAUGGAGUGGGCAGGGCGAAUGGGCUACAUGUGGGGAAUCCCAAGGAAAAUGUUGUUCGUGGCAGUGGGUGCUUUUGCCAAGGCUGUGGCAAAUGUUCUAAACACCACUACUGUCCACAACGCCGAUACUCUCAUUCGACUUGUCCAACACCGGCCUCCCGGAGUGCCCCUCGUCACUGUUAGCAAUCAUAUGUCCACGUUUGUCUCUUUCCCUUGUUUUUUGGCGUUGUUUCCAUUAGCUUCUAAGCUUCUCAGUUUGUCGCAAUCCACCUCCCACGUUAACUUGGCUGGGUUUCACUCUCUGUAUCUUUGUGUAAUUUCUAAGUUGAUGUUGCUUUUGUGGAUACAACAGGAUAGACGAUCCAGUCAUGUGGGGCUUCAAAGGUUUUCCGACCUCUGAUGCAACAUUAGGUAGGUGGGUGUUGGCAGCAGAGGAUAUUUGCUUUAAGAACGUUGUGCUAUCUUAUUUAUUCCGAUUAGGUAAGAGACAUCUACUCUAUGUUACUUCAUUGUUACUGUUUUCUUUUUGGUUUUAUCUUCCAUUAGUAGGAGUUGGUUAGUGAAAGGUGAUUACAAAGCAGUGUUAAUUCAGAUGCACAGAAAAUUUCCAAUAGCAUAGUUGUCAUUAGUGGGAGUUGGGAUAUCAUCAUGACUCAUGAGAAAAGAAAUAUCAAAGUAACAUUGAAACAGUAUUAUGAUAUCAAAGACAAUGAAUCUGGAACACUUUAAUUUGUUAAGGAUUCCAUAUUGGAAAAAUCAAGGGACCUCAUAAUUGUUAAGAUACUAUGCCCUAAUAUCUUGAUAGACCCCUAUCAUACAUCAAUACAGUAGAAGAGGAAAGAAAGCUUCAACAUGUGUGGGAGGGGAUACAAACACGGAGGUGGUAAAUAAUAAAUAGGACUGGUUAGGAGCAAGUAUAAAUAGUUUUUUAACUGAGAGGGAAAGGCAUUUAGUAUUUUCAAAUGACAGUUGUACUCUGUUUCUGUUAGGAUACUAACAAUAAUUUAGACUGAAAGGACUGUAUAAAUGGCUUAAACAGAGGCGGUACUCUGGUUUACUUUAUUUAUAUAUAAAGCCAAAUGAUCCAGAUUCACAAGAUGAAAAGAAAUAACAAGAAACAACAAGGAAAAAUGCAGAAAAGAUCAUACCAGCCUCUUGGUUUUAAGAGACCCUGGUGGCUGCUGUAGCCCUACCUCCUAAAAGUUAAAAAUACCCUAGCUACUCCAACCUAAUAAUCCUAUUUAUAGACUCACAUAUUCCUCAGCCCAGUGGGCCCUACCACUCAGAACGUCCUUCCAAUCAUUUCUCCAUAAUAAUUCCCUGUGCAGUUACUUUUCUACCCUUCCUCCUAUAAGUAUGGAUAAUUGGGGGUCUUACAGUUUCAUCCUUGAGAGAUAGGAUAGCAGAAGUGUGCCCUAGUUUCCAAAUUGAGAACUCCUCAAUUCGUUCUUCUACUUUCUUGAUAUUGUAACAGUGUUACGAUUCAUCAACACUAUCAAUAAUAUACUAAAGUUGAUAUUCAAUAUCGAUUCCCAUCAUAUCUCUGAAGUUUUUCCGCUAAUGUUUCUAACAAACUCCCACGGGGAGCUAUUUGUAGUGGAUAAUCAUGGGACUUAGCUCUCAAUGUAAGUUAUUUGCAGUUACGAGAAAGAAUAGUUUAGUAUCUCCCACCAGAUGCUUUUGUAGUUAUGGGAAGAAUAGGAAGAGUGUGAUUAUUUGUCUUGAAAAUUAAUCCAAGGAGACUUUGACCAUCAGAAGCAUCUAGGGCAGACUGAAUCUCCAAUUUGAAGUGUCCUUAAUAUAUAAUCGCUUAAGUUCCUAUCAGUAUCUCCCUAAAGUUUUUAUAAAAAAGUUCCUUCUGUUUCUUAUAAGGAAAAAUAAUGCAUGUAUCAGUAUCUCCCUAAAGUCCUAUUCUAUCAUGCAUGAAUGCAGAAACAUAUUCAUUAUUGCAUUCUAAUUUGUAUGCUUGUAUGCUUGUAUGCAUAGCUAUGUGAACUGUCUAGUGUGUUUUGUGAACUACAAUUUCAAAAUGUUUAAUUCUGUUUUACACAUAAAACUAUGCAGGAAAAUGUAUACCUGUUACUAGGGGUGCUGGAAUUCAUCAAGAAUAUAUGGAUGAAGCACUUGAGCAUUUAAGGAAUGGAGAAUGGGUACUUAUCCAUAAUUAUGUCUUGAUAUCUACAAAUAAAUUCUUUCAACACUUUUGCACACCAAAAAUAAGGAUUCAUAAUCAUUACCAUUUGUGACUACGAACCUUCCUUUUCUAGCCUAAAAGACAUUAGAAAAGAGGGGUAAAUUUGACACAAAUACCACAUCGCAAACAUAAUUCCAAAAAGAAAGUACAGGUCAAAUGUUCAACUAAAAGGCCAAAGAACUUGAUUUGCCGAACAACCAAACUCAAUUAUAGAAACAAGCAAAUGCUCAACGUUCUUGGAGACAAUUGUUCCUUGAUAACUAUGAAAUUAUAUUUCAGAUUUUAGGAAAUAUUUAACAAUUUAAUUAGACUCUCAGAGUUAUGUUUUUCCUGUUUACCCUUAGAUUCCAUAAAUGAGUCCGUGUAUGUGUGUGGGGUGGGGGGUAAUCAUUGGAUUGCAACCACCUCUGAAUGAUCUUUUUUUCCUUUUAUGUUUUGAUCGUGAACAUUGCCAGCUCCAUACAUUUCCAGAAGGUAAAGUGACUCAAGAUGAUGUGCCCAUCCGACGAUUAAAGUGGGGAACAGCUAGUCUUAUUGUUCGUUCUCCUAUAACACCAAUAGUUCUGCCGAUUGUCCAUCGCGGCUUUGAUGAGGUAGUUUUCUUUUUGCAAAAUUAUAGCAAUAAUUCUACUAAUCCUGCUAAUAUUUCUGUCUAGAUGAAACCAUGGUGCUAAACUAUGGGGUCAGUCAUAGAGACCAGCUGUCUAAACUCUAAAGCAUUAGUUGUAGAAAAGGUGCACCCAUAAAAUUUAAUUUAGGUGGAUAAAUGUGAAGGAUUGAAUUUCUUUUUAGAACUGAAAACAAAAUUGCAUUCCUUGAUAGAGGAUAAAAUUUAGCUUGUUCUGGGGCAUUUGUUUGGAUAGAGUUCAUCUCGGCCAUGGAAUUGACAUCUAGGUUCUCCGAUUUUUAUAGAUAGGUACGUAUUUGAAGAUGUGUUGGGUUCCUCGAUGGCCCCUUCCCAUUAUUUCCAUUUUCCCCUCAAUGCGAAUCAGUUCCCAUUUCCAUCGACCACUUGUGGAAUGUGAUUAUUAUUGUCAUUAUUAUUAUUUAAGUUUCUUUUAAGUAAACACAACCUUUCAUUGACAUAAUCUAAAGAGUCUGAAGUACAAAAUCCAAUAAAAAAAAUAUUUUAAAAAAAUUACGAGGAAUUUCUAACUUAAACAAAAGGGCACUGUUUAAGCACUCUCGUCUGUUAAUGUCUAUGUUUUUAGAGAUAUGAUACAGCAAAGCCGAAAGGCAUUACUUAAUGGUGAAUUAAGUGUCCUUGAAUAUUUGAUGCAUCGGUCGAAGUCAUGUCAUAUGAUUUGCUUGAUGAAUUUUUGUUUGUUUUAAUUUUCUUCUCAAGGUUUAGUAUCAUCAUUCAAUGACAAGUUAUUUUUAAGAUUUUCUUGUCUCCUCUUCCAUAUGUAAAUAGCUCUCUUAAAAAAUUCACCCUGGGCUUGAGUAUACGAGUAUUUGCUUGUUUCUUUUAGUAGAAACCCAAUAUUUAUCUUUUCACCCCGUCUCACUUUAUGAUGAUUACCUAUGUGGAUUCUCAGAUAAUGCCUGAAAACUCUCUCUUUGGUAGGAGGCCUCCGGUUCCCUUGUGCUGUAAGAAGAUUGAGAUUAUUGUGGGUGAGCCGAUUCAGUUUGACAUACCUAGCAUGAAGCAGAUGGCAAUUUCCAUGUCGCGUAACUGGGCCUCUCCUCUACUAGGAUGGCCUGCCACUGGAGAACAAACUAGGCUGGAUGAGCCUGCACAGAGAUUCUUGUACGGUCAUAUCUCAGAUCAAAUUCGAAGUGUUAUGGAGAAACUACGUGCACUGUCAUUACAGAAGAGAAGCUGAAGAUUUAUUUUUGGCUGUUCAUUAUUUACAAUAAGUCCACUGUAUUUCUUAGAUUAAAUACUAAUUCAUAUCAAAUGGAAUUUUUAUUUCAUUUCAUAACUUAAUUUGUACUUUAAGUUUAUAACUAAUUUCUUUCUCUUCAAGAAAUUCGAAUAUUUCCUUAUGCAUAACAUUAUUUUCAAGGAAUAAUAUUAUUAAGAUUAAGAAUGUAAGACAGACCUGAAAACUAACAUGUUACUAUGGAUGAAGGUUAUUGAUGCAAAAUAUGAAACUAGCCAUCUCAACAAUAAACCUGGCAGCAUCUUGCCUGGAACAGCAAAGAGCCCUUGGAUCAUACCGGUCUUUUAAUUUGUAGUUUUCUUAAUGAAUAAUGGAUUAACGUCUAAAUGUUUAAAUGUUUAAAUGUUUUAGAAAUAAAAUUAGUGUUUGUGAGUUUAAUUUUUAAAAAAAGAAAAAGAAGGAACAAAAAUUACCAAACCAUAUCUUAGAUUUUGAUGUUAUGAGUGAUGGGAAUUAAUCAUUAUGAAUACUUAAAAUUAAUAAUCCAUUUAAUUAUGGAUAUGUUGUCUGUGCCCAUAUUAAUUGUCCAAACUCAUCCAGGUUUAAUUAUGGAUAUUUUUGUUUUCUUUUCGAAAUUCAAUUUUUUGUUUUCUUUUCACAAUUUAAUUUUUUUGGAAAGGAAUACGUUGGAUUGAAAAUUGCAAAAAAUUAGAAAUUGAAAUAUUAGUACGUUGAAAAACUUCGAGCAGACAUGUCCAAAAAUAUAUACUAUUACCGUCAAAUUUAAGAAAAAACAAUUUUACCAUUAAUAUCUCUAUUAGAUAUGUGACUUGUUUAUAUAUAUUGUUUGAUUUUUUAAUUAUUGGUUUGAUGCAUAAAACAUUUUCUUCUCACUUUAAAAUGUGGUAGCCUGACAUAAAAGAAGGUUUAGGAAACUGAUGAGUUGGUCUAAAGUUCAAACUUGAAAGAGUUUAGAAAAUACUUAAAAAUUAUAAACUAUAAAAGAAACUUAUAAAUUAGAAAAACUUUAAACUUUAGUAUGCUAACUCUUAUUAAGUUCUCAUUUUGUACAUUCUAGAAGGAGAUUGAGAAAGAAGUGUGAACGACCAAAAGGUUUGAGAGUGUUUUUGUAAUUAGGGUAAAAAAAAGAUAAAUUGUUAUUUACUAUUAUAUCAAUUUUUUUAUUAUUAAUUUUUCCUAAUGUCUCGAUUAUUUUUCUGCUUUUUUUUUUGGAUAGAAAUGAGAGGUUUUUGCCAACAGUUAUGGCACUCCGAUUGGAAAAAAAUAAAAGAUAAAAAAUCGUCAGCAACGUUUUAUUAGAUGAUGUGAACAUAAAGAUUGGUUUAAGAAAACAUAAAUGGACAAGAUUAUAGAGAUGUAGAUUGAAAAAAAAAUAUUCUACACCAAAUAGAAUGUAAUAGUAUAAGGUCUGUUUCUGCCAACCUUAUAAAGUUGUAGGUUUUAUUGGAAAAAUGGUAUGUGGAAAUAUGAAAGGAUGAUAUUUAAAGUCGAGGGAUUUUGUAAAUUUCCCCCUCCCCGGUUUGAAGGAGUAGUAGAUUUGCAGCAAUGAUAAUGUAAAUGCCAGAUUGUCGAAGAUAUUGUCAGGCCGGCAACUCAAGUCGACUAGCUACCAAUAUUUUUUUUUUUUUGUUGGCUUAGUCUUUUGCUUGCUUGCCAUUUAAAACACUCUCGUGACUCCCACCACUGCUGCUCCGCUCUCUCUCUCUCUUUCUUUGCCCCUCUCUUCCUAUAAUCUAUACCAACCAGCGACUCAAUGCCUGGCUGACUUUCAAGUUUCACCUCAGAUCUCUCCGCCUCCUCUCGUUUGCUUCCGAAAGGUAACUCCUUUACAACAUCUCCACCAUUUUGCUUCAACCUCCAAUUAAUCCAUUCAUUCUUCAAGCUCGGCCAAUUCUGCUUCUAUGCAUUCAACUUUUUUUUUUGCCCCUUUCUGUUUUGUCAAGGGCUGGCUUCUUACAUUGCUGUCUAAUUUUAGUGGAUCUAUUUUCUUUCUUGUAGCUCAUAUGGGUUUUAUACAUAUAUCUUUUACUCCUUAAAUAAUUGCUAGCGCGUUUCAAUGUCUCACUAUCUAGCGGCGGCCAUUGAUAAUGGUUCUAUUGUUCGAGAACACAUUCCAUUAUGGACUAGUUCAAUUUUUUUUUUUUUUUUUUUUUUUUGUCUCCCUUGCACUUCUCAUUCUAUUUAUUGUUAUGAGUAUUUAGUGGUAUUUAAAAUUAAUUGUACGUUUGUUCGGAUGCUAAUCGUAUAGUACAGAAAUUAACCUUUUCAACCACGCACCCUUUUUGCAGUUUUUAGUUAUAGGGAUCCCCAGAAGUUAAAUCCAUUUCUGCCACUGUCAAAUGACCUUUGACAUGGCUCAGAGUGCUAGGACAAUCGGAUCUUCCUUUAACUCCAGCAGUGGCAAUGAUGAUACUCUCCUUCAAAGCUUUGCUGCUGCUCCAAAUGGGGAUGAUUAUGAUAGUGAUGGCUCCAAUUUUGCACCCCCGUGAGUGUAAACCGAAUACCUGUAGCAACUAAGCUCUUAACUUUAUUUAUUACAUGUUGAAUUUCAUGAAUGCAUAUUUUCUCUAAAACUUUAUUUACUAUAUUGAAUUUCAUGAAUGCAUAUUUUCUUUCUCCCUUGAAGCAAUGUUAUUGUAAUAUUGUACGUUAUUGGUUUCAGUCUUCAGAAAAAAGAUUAUACUGAAGUCAUUAGGUCAUAGCCAGGCUUGCCAGCUACACCAUUCCCGUGAUUAAACGUAGUUUAUAAAUUAGAGAAGCUAGCGUCACAUUAUUAGUUUAAUUGGUCUAAUAUUCAGGUAUUUAGUGAAGCAACGAAGAUCAGAAAGCAUUGUAAUUAGAGGAACUAUUCUAUGCAUGCAACUAACGGAUUACAACUAGUGUCAUGAAAAGCAUCUCACUUGUAGUUGUUUUACCGGGCAUUAUGAUCUCCUUCUUCGAGGACUUCAAUCCACACGUGCAUUAAAAAAGUUGUUAGUGUUACUUCUAUCAAUAGUAAAUUAAUUAUUGACGAUUUUAUUCUAGCAUUUUUCUCAAGCUUGAAAGCUUGGUUUCUCAUCCAGAAAAAUAAUCAAUAAUGAUAAUACUUACAAUUCCUUCUUCUUUCUUUUUUUUGUCUGUUUUUCUUUUUGGGUGUAAAAGUGAUAAUACUAACAAAUGCAAACUCACUGACUUCUUAUAUUCUCUCAGUGGCUCCUUAGCUCAUAUUAUAGUUUGAUGUUUUCUUGAGUAGAUUUUUCAGUCCCUCAAAAUUAACUUUCUCCUUGGUUGUUUCUGUAGUACUCCUACAACCAUAUCCACAGCAAUUCCUGCAGAACUUGCUGGUGUCAUACCUUUGAUUGAUAGAUUUCAGGUGGGAUAAUAUUUAUGAUGCCUGCAAGUGUGAAAGGGAUUGCGAGUUGUUUCUGAAGUAUGACAAUUUUAGUUUUCAUUAUAAUCCCUGAAAAGUAACGUCUCUAUAUUGUAUUAUUUUCCAAGGUUGAAGGAUUCUUAAGGAUGAUGCACAAACAAAUCCAUUCUUCUGGAAAGCGUGGAUUCUUUUCCAAAAGAUCUGUAGGUCCUCAAGUUCGGGAAAAAUUCACAUUUGAAGAUAUGUUGUGUUUCCAAAAGGUGAAAACAUCUUGUUUGUCAUGAAAUUUAAGUACUCACCAAACUUUUACAAGUGUAAGUUGUAAAUUUUUACAGGAUCCUAUACCAACUUCGUUGCUUAAAAUCAACUCUGACUUGGUGAGCCGAGCCAUAAAACUAUUCCAAAUAAUCUUGAAGUACAUGGGUGUUGACUCUUCUGAUCGAGUUAGUGCAACAAGCUUAGAUGAACGAAUUGAACUUGUUGGAAAACUGUACAAGCACACUUUGAAACGUUCAGAGCUACGAGAUGAACUUUUUAUCCAAAUCUCUAAGCAAACUAGAAAUUCUCCUGAUAGGUUUGCUCUAAACUAUUAUUUACCUUGUUGAUCCUUGGCGUUGAUGAUUAAAUUCUAUUAUGAAUUGCUGAUAUUUUAAUUCAAAUGCAAUACCAUAUAUUUUGGACUGAUCUCUAUAUUCAUAUUCAUAUGAAUAUUACAGGCAAUAUUUAAUCAAAGCAUGGGAGCUGAUGUAUUUAUGUGCAUCAGCUAUGCCUCCUAGCAAGGAUAUUGGUGGAUAUUUAUCAGAGUAUGUUCAUAAUGUUGCUCAAGGCGUAAGUACUGAUCCGGAGGUUCGAGUUCUUGCAUUAAAUACACUGAAUGCUUUAAAGCGUUGCAUGAAGGCUGGUCCCAGGCAUAUAAUACCUGGUCGUGAGGAAAUCGAAGCUCUUUUGACAGGCCGAAAACUUACAACUAUUGUAUUUUUUUUGGAUGAAACUUUUGAAGAAAUUACAUAUGAUAUGACAACAACGGUCGCUGAUUCUGUUGAGGUAAUGAUAAUUUUGAAUCUUGAUGGAAUGAUAUAUUUUUGUAUUUCAAUGAUUUAAAGAUUAAAAAGUAUAUCUCUCAUAUAUAGGAGAAAGGACCAUAUAAGAUAGAAAAGUGGAAUCGGAAUCAGAAUUAAAUUUAAGCUAUUUAGUUAGUGCUUACUAAUAAUAGAGUCAUAGACCAACACUUAUCUUUCAUUGCCGAUUAUUCUUGAAAAGGAAACAAACUUCUUCAUUAAUGAUAAAAUCUCAAAGCACAAGAGGUAUAUACAAUGAGAAUAAUAAAAAAGCAUAAAGCAAAAAGCCCUAGAGGAUCAGGAGGUGCACCCAGACAUCUCAACUAGGUUGGCACCCCUUUAGCACCAAAACAUCAUAUCCCAUAUUUAAGCAUGAACAAAGCAAAGAAAAUAAAAAUAGAAAGUACAAACUAUGAAAGACCAGCAAAAUAACAUAGGCCGAGACUAGGAAAGAAGAUUAAAAAGAUGAUGUAAAGACAAGAAUUAAAACUACAGCUGCUGAGUAAUAGAAAAAAAGGCUGGAACCAAUGCUGGACGAAAAUUAAGAGGCUGGUUGGGUGAGGAAAGCUGCCCAGUUGAGAUAAAUAUCUUGAAUAGAAUAAGCCUCGAACUCCUUGUUUAAGGAAACCCAAGCUGCUGCACUUCUUUCUGCAGAGAGUUCUGAACAUGGCUUUUCUUUGUCAUGGAAUAUCCUCUGAUUUCUUUCAAACCACAGUUUAGAGAGGAUAGCUUUUAGCAAAUUUAACCAUAAUUGUCUUGGCUUCUUGGAUAGCUGAGGAGACCUCGUGAUGAUUAUUAACAGUUGGUAUACUUUUCUUUGCUAAUUUUGUUGAGGGAUAUUCUCAACCCCCUGCCCUUUGUUUUUCCUUUUUGUUUCUUUUUGACAUACAUAUGUUUAUUAUCAAGGAAAGAAAGAGAAUAAAUAGUUUUGUUUUUGCUAUAAAUGCAUGAAUUUUAGUCUACUUAAGUGAAUGUUUCCCCGUGUCUACCACACUCAUUAAUGUGAUUAAUUAGUGGAUAUUUAAUGUCAAAAUUCAUAUUACCCUCGGAACACUUCAUAUUUUUUUUCAGGAACUUUCAGGUGUUAUAAAACUAUCAGCACACUCUAGCUUCAGUCUUUUUGAAUGCCGUAAGUUCGUUAGUGGAGCUAAAGCACUUGAUCUAGGGAAUGGUACAGUUUAACUUAUUGUUUUUUGGUUCGAAUUUGAACGAACAAAUGUACAUCUUAAUCUUACAUGGAAUUCUUCUCAACAGAGGAGUAUGUUGGGCUUGAUGAUAACAAAUAUAUUGGAGAUCUGCUAGCAGAAUUCAAGGCAACAAAAGAUCGAAGCAAAGGAGAAAUUCUGCACUUCAAGUUGACAUUUAAAAAGAAGCUGUUUAGGGAGUCUGAUGAAGCUGUUGUGGACCCAAUGUUUAUACAACUAUCAUAUGUUCAGGUAGGAGUGUUUUAUCUUGAUUACAUUACAAGGUGGAUUUUAGAACUUCGAAUGUUCUGUCUAAUAGAUUUAUGAACUUUGAAGAGUGCUCCUAAUUUUCACUUUUGUCAUUUUGUGUCGAGUAGGCCCCCAGCCCCAAUCUUUGAACUAUCAAUUUUGUAUCUAAUAAGUUAGCGGACUUUAAAAUGUAUCUAGUAGGUCAGGAUUGAAUGGAGAUAACAUCGAAAGAUUAAGAACCCAUUAGAUACAUUUUGAAGUUCAAAACCUACUGAUGAUUAAAUUAUAAUUUAGGCCUAAUUUGAUAACCAUUUGGUUUAUAAUAGUUAAACUUGCAAACAUUACUUCGACCAAAUCCACAACAAAAUACGAAAUGGUUACCAAUGGGGCCUUUAACUUUUAUAUUUAACAUUUAUGUGAGAGUCAGUCUAUAUCUACAGCUGCAGCAUGACUAUCUGUUGGGGAAUUAUCCUGUUGGAAGGGAUGAUGCUGCACAGCUUUCAGCAUUACAAAUCCUUGUUGAAAUUGGAUUUAUUACCAGUCCAGAAUCUUGCACGUAGGUGUUUUUCUUGCUCUCCUUUAUUGCAAAUUUGUAAUUUAUCAUUUUGCUUUGUUUUCACAUUUUAAAUUAGUAUGUUAAACUUUCAUUUCCUUCAUUUUCUACAACAAGCAUCUUCUUCGCCCCCAAUUAUGUAGGAAAAGUGUUACUUUUUUUAGUAUAGUUUUGUACACUCCAUUUUAAUCGCACUUUUAACUGCUUGAUGGGUACUAGUGAUUGGAAUUCGCUUCUAGAAAGAUUUGUACCGAGACAAAUUGCCAUAACAAGACCAAAGCGAGAGUGGGAGUUGGAUAUUCUCUCGCGUUUUCGUUCAAUGGUAAGAUUUGGUAUUUGGAACAUUCUGUUGCAGACAAUUACUAUCUUGAAGAGUCUAUUUAGAUUACUAAAUGUUCUUUUCAAUUGAUUAUUGAGGCAAUUUUACUCUCAAUUUUAUGAAUAUUUUCUUAACACUGAUAAGCAUUGUUGUUUCUAGAGAUAUGGUAUUCAACAUGAUCUAUAUGUGAGUGGUUUAAUAUAUUCCUUGGAGCACACAUUCAACUCUUGAGCGUCUCUUUUUGUUUGAGUCAGGCCUUUGUUUCUGAUUGAUGUACCUAGUUCUGUACGAAUUAGUGAAAAAUAUGUAUCAAAGUUUAUGCUCAGUUUUCCAUGCUAUUUUUUCGUAGGCAUAUAUGUCUCUGUCUUCUCCAUCGCCCCUAGGUUGCUCUUUCCUGCCUUUUUGUGAAAUAUACUCACUAUUUCUUAUCCCCCAAAGAAAAGUCACCAAGUCAAUCUUGACCAAGAACAAAGAGUUUGCUGAUUUUUUUCUUACUAAUUUCCCAGGAACAUCUGACAAAGGAUGACGCAAGACAACAAUUUCUUCGAAUAUUGAGAACACUUCCUUAUGGGAAUUCAGUUUUCUUUGGCGUCCGGAAGAUUGAUGAUCCCAUUGGACUUCUACCUGGACGAAUCAUUUUGGGUAUCAACAAGAGAGGGGUAAUAUAGGUUUCUAACAUGCACAGCUACUUUGUUUUGGAGUUAAAGAGAAUUCCAAUUCAAUUAUUAAUAUACACAAAACGCAUAGAAAUAUUGCCAGUUUUCAUAUGUUUCAAAGCCAUUCUUCCCUCAAAAGUUAGAAUUCAAAGAAUCACUCACUUCCUCAUCUACCCAACUACUUAUAAUGGCUUAAUAUUCAAACGCUUGCAUAUUGGCAUUCAUGUGUCAAAUAUAAUGAGAUACCUGUCUGGUGAUUUAAAUUUUUCUAGAUGGUUGCAGUUGGUUUAAUUGCUCAACUUUCUAUAGGUUCAUUUCUUCCGUCCAGUUCCAAAGGAGUAUUUACAUUCUGCUGAAUUAAGAGAUAUAAUGCAGUUCGGUAGCAGUAACACUGCAGUCUUUUUUAAGAUGAGAGUUGCGGGUGUCCUACACAUUUUCCAGUUUGAGACCAAGCAGGUUACCGUCAUUGCUUUCUUCUCCGUACAUCCAUCAUUGCAUUUUGGGAAUUUCAACCCUUCAUGUGCCCUGUCACGGUGGUUUUUUGACUAGGUGCUCUAACUUUUUAGGGAGAAGAAAUUUGCAUUGCUCUCCAGACACACAUAAAUGAUGUCAUGUUGCGUCGUUACUCUAAAGCUCGAUCUGCUGCUGUUGGCUCCAUGCUUGGAGACUCUUCCUGCAACUUGAAGACUCAAAGUGUGGAAGCAUAUGAGAAACGAGUUCAAGAUUUGAGUAAGGGCAUUGAAGAGUCUAAGAGAAAUGCUGAACAAGUAAACCUUGAAAGAGCUUAUUCUUCCUUUUGUAUCGCUCCUUGUGAAUUGAAAGUUAUGAUUCUGAUCCCACCAAAAAAAAAAAAGGAAAAAGAAAAAAGAAAGGGCUUAUUCUUUGCCUUGAAAUGUUAAUAUGUGGAAAUGCAGAUGAAUAUGUGCUACUUCACGAUACCAUCCAUUAAUACAAUUUUGUAAUUAUAGCUUGUCUACUCACGAAAUCAUCCAUUAAUUUUAGCUUGUUUACUCGCAUUACAAGUGGAAGUGUUUUUUUGCAAUUGCUUUUUAUAGGAUUUGCAUAUAUUUUACCACAUUUAUCAUAUAUAAAGCAUUUUCAUUUCGAUAAUGGAAACCGUUCUUAAUGUAGUUGCUGAAGGAAUUGCAUGAAAAGAAUAAGCAAGAAGUGGUAAUGCAAGAAGAAUUGGAAGCUCUAAAAGAAUCUUUGAGAUUUGAAAAGCAGAACUUAGCUGAGGCAACACAUAAUCUUGAGAGGUUGAGAUCGCAAUAUGAUGAAAAAGACAAUGAACAUCAGGUCAGUACAGCUAUCUUUGCAUCAAACUUAUUUUGAGCCUUUAUUUCUAUUUAUUUGGUCUAUUCUAUUUUCAGAUCAUGUUAACCGAGAGAAGGAGUCUGGAAGCAAAAAUUGCAAAAUUGAGCACUAUGAUGUUGGAAAAUAAUGGGAAAAAAGAUACGGUUGGAAUUGAUGAACAGGUAUGACUUUAAGCUAUUUGUUUGAUGAAAAACAACAUUAUGUUUUUGUUUGAAAAUUAUUUUAAGAAUUAUAGCUCCAAAUUUUAAAACCGUGAUUUAUAACUUGAAAAGAUAAAAGAGAUUGAAAUGGGAAUGGAAGGGGGGGGAAUUGACUUGGGACUACAAUUUACAAGUUGGAUGAAGGAAUGAAGAGAUGAAUGAUGAGGGGAAAAAAGCUGGGGGUACUUGAGGGCCUCAUUUUUAUUUAUUUAUUAAUUAUUAUUUUUUUGGGGGGAGGGGUCAUAUUUUAAGGUAGGGGCGAGCAAUAAGACCCGAAAAAGCGAACUGACCAACCAAAACCAACUGAAUUGAAGUUGGAGGGUUAGUUUAUGGUUGGAGUUGGUUUUGUGGUCAGUUUGUGAAAAAUGGCUCUGCCCGACUAUAUACUUUAAAAGAAACAAAAGAAGGAAGAACAAAAAUAGUAUAAAAAGAAAAAGAAACAAAAGAGAGAAUGAUGGAAAAAUGAAAUGAUGGUGGAUAGUAAUAAGAGGGUGGUGAAAAUGAUGGAAGAAAGGUUUAAGAAAAAUAGUUGUGGCAAGAUCUUGGAAAUGGAGAGGGUUUUGAAGUUCGGGAGAGGGGUUUAUGAGAAGAUGAUGAAGAAACAGGUUUUGAGUUCUCUUCUUGAACUUGUCAACCAUGAAUAUGGCCACUAGAGCAUCUGUUAGAUAUUAUAUUAAAUUUACCCUCACCCACAAGCUUAAACUUUUGGGUUGAAUUGGUGAUUUAAGAUGGUAUCAGAGCAGAUGGUCUAGGAAGAUCCUGUGUUUAAGUGCUUGUCCUCCUCAUUUAAUAUUGAUUUUCACUUGUUGGGUCUUUUUUUAUAAGUUAAACCCACAAAUGAGGGAGAAUGUUAGAUAUUAUAUUAAAUUUACACUCACUCACAAACUUAAGCUUUUGGAUUGAAUCGUUGAUUUAAAAGCUUCUGUAGCUAUCACCCUACAUUUUUUCUGUUUUGUUCUUUCCAUCUGCUUGUGUUUCGUGAAGUCGAUAAGCCGGGGUUUUUUAUUGUCUAAAUUGCUUCCAAAAAGAAAAACAGAAUUGAUUUCUCAAAUUAGAGAGGAACAUGUUCAAUAAUGAUUCAAACAACUUGUUAUAUUUCCAAAAAAGAAAAAAAAACCGUCUUAAACAAGACCAUUAAUUUCAAAGGAAAAGCUAAUUGGAGGGAAACUUUGAAAAGAUAAUUGAAGCAUAUUUAUCUUUUUACUGGAUUUCUGUUCCAAUAAGCAGAAAACUACUCUUCAAAGCAAAAUCCCAACUUUCAAUUUUUUUUUUCUGGUAUCCUUUUUGUAAUUAAACAUUAUGAUUGAUAUAACUAUUUAAUAUAAAAUAUAUCGCAAAUUGCAUUGAGUUUAAUGUUUUUCUUUAUAGCUUCUACAAAAACUUCAAGAUGAGUUGAGGCUUCGAAAUGAUGAGUUGCAAGCGUCUGAAGAAAUUAGAAAGAAACUGGUAAAUGAAAAGCUGUUCUUGGAACAAAGAAUUUUUGGACUUGAGAAGAAGACUAGCAAUGAGGUACAUUAUACAGGUUCUUAAUAUGAUAUCAUCUUUGCUACUUCUUAACAGAGUAAUGUGUAUUAAGUUUUUUACUUGCAGAUGGAACAUCUCCAGAUAAGCUUUGAACAUGAACGCAAAGUCUUGAAGCUGAGAGUGGCAGAACUUGAAAAAAAACUUGAAGAAGUAACUCAAGAACUAGCUGUCAUGGAGUCAACUCUCACGACCAGGAACUCUGAUUUGGCGGCCCUGCAAAAUAAUUUGAAGGAACUAGAGGAACUACGAGAGAUGAAAGAGGUUCUAGUCUGAUUUUUUCUAUUUAGUUUUGCAGAAGCGGAUUGAGCGACAGUAUCUCUUACAUCUAUUUAACACCUGGUGUAUUCUUUCGAUCUUAUUUUUCACUUUUCUUUUGCUCUUUUUGUUAUCAUUCUUUUUUUAUUUUAGGACAUUGACCGAAAGAAUGAGCAAACAGCCAACAUUUUGAAGAUGCAAGGGGCUCAGCUAGCUGAGAUGGAAGCGCUUUAUAAGGAAGAGCAAGUUCUGAGGAAACGAUAUUUCAACAUGAUAGAAGGUUUGUUUACCAUAACGUCCAUAUUGAAUGAGUUCUUUUGUAUCCAUAUAGAAAGUUUUGAGAAUUUCUGUGCUAAAGUACCAUGGGUUGGCUUAGUGAUUGAUACGACAUGUGAGAGGUAAAAGAAAAGAAAUAAAGACUUUUGGGGGAUAACUUUGUUGAGAAAAUGAAUUUGAUAAAAAAAAUUACGUUGUGGAAGCAAUGAUAGAAAUGUUUAUGUUAGAAAAUGAACUUUGGAAAAUGAGAGUGAAAUCCAAUAGAUAAAUAAAGUUCUAAUUGAAGGAGAACAAAUUGGUGAUACCAACUUUUCAUGGAAGCUCACUUUUAUGUAUGGUUCAUUAAUAGUUUAAUACCAUUAACUUACAAAUCAAAACUGUGUUUUUUCUUUUUCUUUUUCUUUUUUAAUGGAAACAAACCUCUUCAUUGAUACAAUGAGUGGGACUGAUGCUCAUAUUACAAAGUAGUGAAACAAGGAAAUAAACAUGUUAAAAAUAGAAACUCACUUAACUUAGAGAAAACUAAAAAGAACGAAAAAACUGAAAAUCUUAUAUCUAAGAAUUAAAUCGACUUAAAGAUACUAAACUGAAAAUUAAAUCUAACAACAAAAUAAGAAACUUAAAAACAAAAAAACUGAAAUUUGAUUAGGAAAAAUAACGUACUUUUUUUAAAAACGGAAACUAGCUUCUUUAUUAAUGAUAAUAAAUGAGACUAAAGCUUAAAGUACAAGGGUAUUAUACUAAGAGCAAAAAGAAAUAAGAGAAAAUGCAGGCUAAAUCUGAAAUAAAGACUAUACUCGGAAAACAAAAUAUGAUGGCAACCUAGAACGAACCCAAACAGAAAACAACGACCUAAUCAAAGCCACUAAAAGACAAUACAAAGUAAAAUUUAAAUGCCCACUCAAAUCUAAAUUUUUCCACACGCAAUUCUUCAAGAUGAAAAAAGAAAAAGAACACUAAGAAGAUGCAACCAGCUGCUUCAAAACUAUCUUUCCAAUGCCCAGAAGAACUUGAAAAUAUCUUCCAACCCACAGAUUUGACAAUCAUGCUUUGGCAUCAAUGUUUCAGUGAAGAAAUAGGACCCAAUAAACAGCAAAAAUUAAUUGCCUGUUCCAAAAGGUAUCCCAGCGGUUGUUCUCCAUUGGCAAGCAAGAAAUCGAAGAUCAACAUAAUAACCAUUAUUAAGCUAGCAACAACAAUCAGUGAGACUUUACUUGCUCGCCCACGUGAAGAAAAAUCAUGGAAAGACAAGUUGUUCCAACAGGUGGGGGGCAACUACAUUCAGCGGCUGAAGAAUCAAACUAGAAUAAGUCCACAAUCAGCGACUAUUGACUUUAGAUGAUCUGGGAUUUCACAAUAAUGAGGAUGAGAGCGAGUAGCAGAGGGAAGUUUUUCAACUUUCGGUUCUUCCUCGCAUUGAAACAGGGUAUUAAGAUCCGUCUCUGAUGGCUCAAAAUGUCUCUACCUCUAAAGCUCAGCUGAUUUAUCAAUAUGCAUCCCUUCCUCACUACUUGCUACUUCCAUUGCACUGGGAAUAAGCUGAAGAAAUCACCAGAAAAGUCUGAAGGUGAUGCUAGAGACUGAACGUAGAAAGUGAGUAUGCCAGAGCAAUCACCGGAGAAGGUGCAAAGGAUCAAUGGAGAAGACGACUGUAGAAGGAGUGAGUAGAGUAUUAAACCACCAAUUCAUCCCAAAGCUUAAGCUAGUGGUUGAAGACAAAUUUAAUUAUGUAUCUCUAACACUCCCCUCAAUUGUGGGCUUGAAAUAUUUGAAAGGCCCAACAAGUGGAAAUCAAUUUUAAUUGGAGAGGAAAUGACAAUGCAGAGCUUGAACAUAGGAUCUCCUGGACCACCUGCUCUGAUACCAUAUUAAAUCACCAAUACAUCCGAAAGCUUAAGCUAGUAGUUGAAGGAAAAUUUAAUUAUGUAUCUCUAAUAGAGAGAGAGAAUACUUUACCUUGUUCUGCUGAAAAUUGGAAAAUCAACAAGAUCCUUUUCAGUAUUUGAAAAAAAUAACGUACGUUAAAUCCAAUGCUGGCCAUCUACAAAGGAUUUUAUUUUAUUUUCAUGAGUUUUCUGAUAACCAAAAUUUGAGGUUCACGUAAUAAUGCAAAUCUAAAAUAACUUUUUAUUCAAACCGUCAAAUUAGCCCAAACAGCUCGUAGAUACAAGUAUGUGUAGGUGGGGCAGCAGCCUCCAAAGAGGAGAAGAUUAAUUAAUUGGCUGAAACAAUAAGCCCAAGGUAAAAAACCUGAAACUUACCUAGGUAAAAACAACAUUUAUCUAACAUUAAAGAACGGCCAAGGAUGGGUAUAACUUAGGAAAUAUCAAGAAAUACAAAACUACUCAAGAAACACACUAGAUAAUGUAAGCUGGCCCAAACACUCACGCUAUGAAAUAAAAUCAUCCUUAGUGCCUCUCAACCUUAUCUAAAGAUGCCUAUUUUCUUAAUUUAAUUACUAGUAUAUUUAUUACAUAAAUAUGUCAUAAUGGUUUUUAUUUUUAGAAAAAUAAUUGAACAGAAGCCUUGUGUGAAACAUGGUUGUUUUGUUGGUUCUUUUUAUUAGGAUUCUGUUGGUUGUAAAUAUGUUAAUUAGCUAUAAAACCAUUAAUGGUUUUAUUUUAUGAUUAUUUCCUUCUAUGUAUCAAGUAUUUCUCUAUGUAUCUUACAUUAAAAUCAUUGGAAUACAAACAUCUUAUUUUAUUCAACUCAAGAUGGUAUCAAAGUACAUGAAGCCUAAAUGGGCAUUCAGUCCAAAAAAGAAAAAGAUUUUUUUUUUGUGAUAUGAUCCAAGAAUAAUGAACUCAAAAUAGGCAGCCUUAAGGAGGCAUGUUGAGGAUCUCAUAUAGGGAAAAUCAAUGAACCUCAUACUCUUUAGAAAAUAGAUGGAUUACAUCUCUCAUAUUGUGAUUGGUUUUGAGAUGGAACCUAAUAGAUUCCUUCUUCUAUCUCUGAAGAAGGUGAUGGGGUCGUGGAUGUUGAAACUCCUUGGUAUGUCUCCUCUAUGAUUUUUGAGGAGUUGGUUGGUAGUGGUUCUAAUUUUUUUCAAUGAAGCUAUCUUAAAAAAAAAAAAAGGGAAAAAAAAGAGAGAAUAGAAAACUUAUGCAUUGAAUUUAUGAAAUUUGGACGAAUAUAUUAUAGAAUACCUCAAUGACAAAAUAAAAUUAUAUGUUAUUUAAUUAUUAUACUAGUGAGAUCUUCCAAAAACAUGAAAGUUCCCUUUGUUUCUUUUACUUUCUAUGUCUCAUUGUAUUUCGAGCAGUAACUUCCUUUCAUUCAUCAAUGAAAAAUAUUCUUUCCUUUUCAAAGAGAAAAAGACUAAAAUUGUUACAACCAAAUUAGCAAACUAAACUCGGAAGGUGAAUAUAUGUACUGAUAUAAUUUUUAUUAAUAGACUUGAGUUGAGGCUGAAAACUAUAUGGUCUAUGUGAGUGGUGGUUUGACUGUUUGAGUGAAAUUAUACAACUAUUUAUGUAGCCUAAGUAACCUCAUGGAGAAAUCCUCCAAGAACCAAGGUUGUGGAUUUUUUAUUAGAAUGAAUAAUGUGUUUUAUACAAGAGGAGAAGUUUCCUAUUUAUAGAGUUCUAUUACAAUUGGGGUAAAAAGGGAAUUAACCUAGAAUAUUACCUAAUUACUCAAUUAACCCUUAGUCUUCUUACAUCAACUGUUAUGGAAAAGGAAGGAAAGAGAGAGAAAAAUUAUUAUUUUUAAGAUGGAACCUUAUAUUAUUUAAUUAUUGUAUGUAUCAGAAUCCAUAAAGUCCAAACGAGUGUUUGGUCUCCAAUAUGAUGAACCUAAAAGAGGUACCACCUUGAAUAGGGGUGUACAUGAGUUGGGUUGUCGAGUUAUUUAUUAAACAAAAAGUAAGGAAAGGGGGGAGUUAUGGCUGACAAAAUGCUUCGUUUCUAUGUUGUAUUCUCUAACUAAACCUUUUUAAAUUAGUUGUUGAGUGUAACUUAUAUUUCUUGGAGUUGUAUGUUUUAACUUGAGUAGGGUUCUAUUCUGCUUACUUUUCUAUUUUUCAUCAAAUCAAUGAAAUUUCUGAGGUGUACAUUAAAAAGAAUUAAAUAAUAUCCAUAUAUUAUAUAAUUACUACAAAUUGAUUUUUUUUAAAAAAAAACUUAUGAAAAGUUCAAUUAAAUUUGCAUUUGAUUUCAUUGCAGAUAUGAAAGGAAAGAUUAGAGUUUAUUGUCGGCUUCGACCUCUUAAUGAUAAAGAAAUUAUGGAAAAAGAGAAAAAUGUGCUUACUAGUCUAGAUGAGUUCACAGUUGAACAUCUAUGGAAGGAUGAUAAGCUGAGGCAACAUAUGUACGAUCAUGUAUUUGAUGGCACUGCCUCCCAGGAAGAUGUUUUUGAAGAUACACGGGCAAGUUCAAUAGAACUCAAGAGCUUCAUUUAUUUAUUUUGAUAAAUAGAACUUUGUUGUUCUUUUAGCUGUCAUGAAAAUAGAAAACAUUAAUUGAUACUCUUUUGUACAAUCUUAAUGCAGUAUCUUGUCCAGUCUGCUGUAGAUGGUUAUAACGUAUGCAUCUUUGCUUAUGGUCAAACUGGUUCUGGGAAGACAUUUACAAUAUAUGGAUCUGAGGACCACCCUGGAUUAACACCUCGUGCAAUUGGAGAACUUUUUAGGAUUUUGAAGCGGGAUAGUAACAAGUUCUCAUUUUCUUUGAAGGUAAUGAUUUACAUUCGCCAAUAUUAAGUUAUGUCUUACUCAGUACCUUUCUUGAGUUUGUAGAUCACUGUAUACUGUGUAUAAAUUAUAUAUCACGGAAAUAGAUGGCUCGGUACUCUCUCUAGAGUUCAAUGAUCAGAAUGCGCAAUGUUUUAUACACUGGCUUUCAUACAAAAUGCCUUGUUGGUUCUAGUUUUUUCCACGUGUGAAUAAAUUUGAUUACAAUGCGUAUUUGAAGAUUGUUAAAAUGCAUAAAUGGAUUCUGUCUUUCUCACUCAUACUCUGCUUUGAUUUAGGCUUACAUGGUAGAAUUAUAUCAAGAUACGUUGGUAGAUCUUCUUCUGCCAAGGAAUGCAAAACGAUCGAGAUUAGAGAUAAAAAAGGAUACAAAGGUUAAUAUUUUAACAUUUGAUCGUUUGUGAUUUUUGCAAUUUACCCGGAUUUCAAUUUAUUUGAGUUAUUAUGUUUCUAACUUUAGUGGGAUGAUUAUUUGCUGAGGUUAGGGAAUGGUAUCCAUUGAAAACGUUACAAUAGCUUCUAUCUCAACAUUUGAAGAAUUAAAAAGUAUUAUUUAUAGAGGAUCGGAGCAACGGCAUACUUCAGAGACUCAAAUGAACGAAGAAAGUUCAAGAUCACAUUUGAUACUUUCAAUUGUUAUUGAAAGUACCAACCUUCAGACGCAAUCUGUUUCUAAAGGGAAGGUAUGGCAAUAACUUUAGUAGUUUCAAUAUUUUUAUUUAUAGUGAAGGAUGUCUGAGAGGUCGUAUGAUUUAAAUAUGAAAAUACACUAUUUGUCCUGGUAUGUUUGCAUUUUCUUCAUUCAUAAGAGACAAUUACUUUACAAAUGGUAGAUAUGAUUUAAAAAUUUAACGAGCUUUUCAUGGAAUAAACAAAUGAAUGUUGCUUCUUACCAUGUAACAACUUGAUUAUCUUUUAUGCAGCUUAGUUUUGUUGACCUUGCGGGAUCAGAGAGAGUGAAGAAAUCAGGCUCUUCUGGUAGCCAACUUAAGGAAGCUCAAAGCAUAAAUAAAUCACUUUCGGCACUUGGAGAUGUCAUCAGUGCUUUGUCUUCAGGGGGUCAACACAUACCUUACAGAAAUCACAAGCUCACUAUGUUGAUGAGUGAUUCACUCGGUGGUAAUGCCAAAACGCUCAUGUUUGUCAAUGUCUCUCCAGCCGAAUCCAACCUGGAUGAGACAUACAAUUCACUCAUGUAUGGUAUCCUUUUCUUUACCAUAUACACUUUAAAGAAUUUACUAAAUUAUAUAUUAUUUUAUAAACCAAUUGGGAAUUUUUGUUAAAAUAUCUUCUAUGAUUUAUGUAUAUUUGAAAUUGUCAUGAAGUAUGUUUUUGACAUGCAGAUUUAUCUAGAAGUUGGUAAAUGUGGUCAUGAGUAUUUCUAGACUCAUCAACUAUUCAUUAAACAUAAAACUUCAUUUACUUAUUCAUUUUAGCUCAGAAGAAAAACGAUGAGAAUAAUAUAUUAAAAGUAUUUUAAACGAAUUGAAAGAAGUUUUACCAUCAAAUAUGGAUGGAAAAUGCGGACUUUGUAGAAAAAAAUUGUAUCUUUACAUUGAAGCUUCUUUUUAUGAAUUUGUUUUGUAUUUCAGGUAUGCAUCAAGAGUUCGAUCAAUUGUUAAUGAUCCAAGCAAAAAUGUAUCUUCUAAGGAGGUUGCUCGACUGAAAAAAAUGGUUGCUUAUUGGAAAGAACAAGCAGGUAGAAGGGGAGAGGAUGAGGAGCUGGAAGAAAUCCAAAACGAGCGACAUACUAAAGAAAAAGGAGACGUUAGAUAUUCCAUGUAGAACCUUUAGUACGUUGCAAUUAUCAAGUAUAUAGCUUGGUAGGUAGGGUUGGACGAUGAGAAGUGAAUUGACUAAAUGCCAUUUGUUACCAUUCUUACGUCUGAUUGAAUAUUGCCCAUUGGAAAUUUGGUUUGUAACUAGCUUAGCUUUUUUAGGAUGUCUUCCAUUGUAUAGUUCGAGUAGUUUUGUAUUGUAUAUAUGGACAAAUGUGUUGUCUUAUCUAUAGGCUACUUCUGUAAUUAAUGAAUACUUCAGCCCCCCGGGUACUUCUGUUUUGAUUUGAAUGAACUUUCAAUUCCAUCCAGCUACACACCCUUGCAAUAUAUUAUAUAUAUAUAUGUAUCAUCGUGAACAAAUUGUCUAAUGUAAUUGAAAAAAUUGCAUUGUCAUUGCGAAUGGUAGUAGUAGAUGUUUAAGUAAAAUUUCUAAUUCUUUAUUAGACCGUCAAUAAUGUAAUAUUGUAUCAGUUUUCAUCACUAGACAUUGACCAAAACAAAUAAAAGAAACUUCUGAAAGACUAGUCUGGAUUCAAAAUAAAAGUGCCUUCAAACCAAUUUUAAUGGGUAUUAAAACUCAUAACCAAACCACCAAAAAAUCACUCAAAAACAACCGGAUAGCAGCGGAAACGAGUAGAUCCGGCGGCGGAGAUGUGUGAGUGGUGGCCGUCGACGGUGGAGGUGGACGAGCAGCCGGUAAAACAGAAGUGCAAACGGGCCGCGGUGGUGACCCUUGGGGUAAAGAAGAUUUGAAAAUAUUUUCUUCUCUUUUUCUUGUUACCUUUCACGUUUCCCAACCAAACCCUAACAUAAAUAACCCAAAGAGAAUAAUAACCAUAUUAUUAUUUAUUUCCUUUUUCCUAAAUAAUAUAAAAUAAUUAUAUGUAUUUACUUUAUCUUUCCUAAUUAAUUUUAUUUUGCCCCAUAUAAUCAAUAAAUACAAACCCACUCUCCUUAUUAAAUAUAUUUUCAUUUUUUGAAAAUAAAUACAUACAUCAUCCCUCUCACUCACAAUCAUUUUCUUUUUCUCUUUUUUUUUUUUGGCACAAAACUUCACCAUUUCUCGAACGAGACCCAUUACCAUUACUAGCUGGAUGUGAGUUUUCAACGUUAUUUUGAAACCAACCUAAAUUGGGUCAAUUUUUUGAGAUAUAACAUUGACCAUUUUUCGAAUGUUUUGGAUGUCACCUUAAUUAGUGCACCACAAAGUAGCACCAAUUGCCAUCCUUUCAAUUUUUUGUGCAAUAAACCAUGUCCAAGAUACGAUCUCAUACUUAUGAGUCUAGAAUCCUUAAACUAAAAAGGUACAAGAUCAAAACAAAUAAAAGAAACACUAGAAAGAUUAGUUUGGACUUCAAAAUAAAACUUAGUCUAAGACUUCACUAAUAAUCUUUUUUUGGAAAAAAAACUUCUAACAUUUCUCUAACCAAGACCAACUACUAGACACACUUUGGGAAUUUUCAACAUUUUCUUAAGCUUGUCAAAAUUGAAUCAUUUUUCAUAUGCUAUAUCAUUGACCAUUUUUCGAAUGUUUUGGGUGCCACUUUAGUGCAAAACAAAAAAGCACCAUUCGCGACUCUUAGCUUAAUUUUCUGUGUUAUAGACCAUGCAAAAGAUACGAUCCUAUAAUUGUUGAUCUAGAAUUCCUUAACCAAAGAGGUGCAUGACCAAACGAAAUUAAAAAAAAACCAUAGAAAGACUAAUUUGGACCCCUAAAUAAAAAUUGUGUAUGAGAUUUCAUUGAUCAAUUUUUUGAGAAAAAACUUCAGCAUUUCUCUAAUGAGAACAAUUACCAACUCGAUGUAAAUUUUAAGCACUUCUUAAAACUAACCAAAAGGGGGUCAUUUUUCAUAGGUGUUAAUUGGCUAUUUAUCGAACAUUUUGGGUGCACCUUAGUCCACCACAAAGAAGCAUCAAUUGCGACCCAUAGUUCAAUAUCAUGUGCUAUAGAACAUGCAAAAGAUACGAUCUUACACUUAUAAGCCUAAAAUCCUUGAACUAAAGAGGUGCAUGACCAAAACAAAUAAAAGAAUCCAUAAAAAUACUAGUUUAGACCCCAAAAUAAAAAUUGUGUAUGAGGCUUUACUAAUCAAUUUUUUGGGAACAAACUUCAACUUUCUCGUACACAUACUAUUUACUAGUUUGUUCUGAAUUUUCAGCAGUUUUUUGAACUUGCCAAAAUUGGGUCAUUUUUCAUAGGUGUGCAAGCCAUUUUUCGAACAUUUGGGUGCCACCUUAGUGCACCACCAAGGAGCAACAAACGUGACCCUUAGCUCAAUUUUCUUUGUCAUAGACCAUAACAAACAUACAAUCUCACACUUAUCAUCAGUCUAGAAUGCCUGAAAUAAAGAGGCACAUGACCAAAAAAAAAAAAAAAUGAAAGAAAUUGUAGAAAGACUAGUUUAGACCCUAAAAUAAAAAGUGAGUGUGGGACUUCAGUGAUAAAUUUUUUUUUGUUAAAAAGCUUAAACAUUUCUCUAAAUGAGAUCAAUUACAAGAUGGAUGUGAAUUUUCAACUGGUUUUCUGGACGUUUUGAGUGCUCCCUAAGUCCACCAUUAAGGAGCACCAAUUGUGACCCUUAGCUCAUUUUCUAUGUCAUAAAACAUCCCAAAUAUAUGAUCCCACACUUAUUCGUCUAGAAUCCCUAAACUAAAGAGGUGCAUUACCAAAACAAAUAAAAGAAACUCUUGAAAGACUAGUUUGAACCCAAAAAUAAAAACUAAGCAUGUGGCUUGAGUUAUCAUUUAAAAAAAAAAAAAAACUUACAUUCAUUUAAAUGAGACCAAUUGCUAGUUUGGUGUGAAUUUUCAACAUUUGUGAAUAUGCCAAUUUUCAACACUCAUUCCUCUAAAUGAGCGGCGGGGAACGACGACGACAAAUCUCUUCUUCUUCUUCUCUCUCUCAUGCUCCUUCUUCUCUUUUGAUUUUUUAAUUUAACAUAAUGAAAUGAGUUUAUUAAAAGGGGAACUCCCGAUGUAUCUUGAAAACGUCGGGAAAUCCACCCCCAUUCCCGAUGCAUAACUAAUGGUGUUGGGCAUGGUGAUCAUUUUUUCCAACGUUCUGACGUCGCGCAAAGUAAAGUUAACGAUAUAAUUAAUUCUUCAGCCUUGUCCGACACGACACUAUAGACGUCAAAAGUACCAAAGGCAGUCCCGACAUGCUCAAUAUAAACGUCGAGGCUUGGCCACAUUUUCCCAGCGUGCAUGGACACAUGGACAAUAUGUCUAUAACAAUAACAAUACUACUUAUGGUUAUUUACAUAUUAGUUAUGGUCAUUCAAGUGAUUGUGGUUCCUAUGGUUAUAUUGACAGUUGUAACAUAUCGGUUUGCAUAAGGAGACCACAACUUCCUCAUGAAAGUGAUGGAAAUUCAUACUCAAAGUCUCUAUAUUAUCUAGAUUCUUCAAAGUCAUCCUCAUUAGGGUGGAAUAUGGUUUGAUCCAAGGUAUUGUCCUAUUGGUAGCAUUGAGGUUGAUAAUGAGAUUCAUGGAUGACAUACUUUCAAUUAUGUUGGAAACUUUUAGUAUACUAAAAAAUAUUAUCAUUUGAAAUCGAACAUGAUUAUUUCUUUUUCUCCUCCUUCGAGAUUUGAUGUUCCAACUUACUCCUUCACCGGGUUUUCCUAUUGCUCUAAUUCUUGGUUCACCAGCUCUAUGGUCAUGUUGCAUGCGUGAAUUGAGAUUCUCAAGUGUGGGGGCUAAGUUCUUUAUUUUGUUGACUCUUCCCACAUUGUCAUAAGCUUGGCCACCCCCAUUGAAAAAUGUUGGUUUUUGAAAAAUUUUAAUUAGAAAUUUGAGUUGGAAAAUGUUGUAUUUUAAAAAGAAUGAAAAAUAGAUACUUUUAGAUAUAUCAGUUGAAAAUAUGGAGAAUAUCCACGACAUUCAUUUGAUAGUUCCACAAUAUUUGUCGAUGCAUUCACAUUUACCAAUUUUUGUAUGGAUAAUAUUCACAAAAUGGAUAUUAUCUAUGUAUGGAAAAUUUUGAUCGGUUUGUCAUUGGGGACAACCAUUUUUCAACCCUCGUAAUAGUAUCAUGAGGUUUAGUGUAUGCUCUUUUCCAUAAACUAGUCUAUCUAUUCAAUGAAAAAAAAAAGAAACUUUCCUGGUGAUCAUUAUCUCCCUUAUUUGAAUACAUUUAACAUUAGACCUAAAAAGUUGAGAUCUAUGAAGAAUGUUUAAGUGCCUAUUACAACUCCAACCAUACCUUACACAUUGAAGAAAAAGAAAGAGAGAAGAAAAAUGAAGCAUGGGCGUAAAAACAAAACUUCACUGAAAUGGUAGUGGAAAUUGGAAGUAACAAGUACGACGUGACUUUCACUCAAGCUUCCACAACUGCUUCAGCAAAUUAGUAAAAAGGGCUGGCAACUAGAAAGUCCUGUGCUCGGUUCUUUCUGGAUAUAUUGCGAAUUGCGAUAACUUCUCCAUUUCUGGGGGAAACGGAGUAGUAGGAUGGGGAUGGGGAUGGGGAUGGGGGUGGCGAGGGAUGAGAUAGAUAAAAUCUCAGAACCUUCCGUCACAGUUUUCAAGGGAGGCGGUGGGUCGGCGACCAAAUGGCGGAUGAUGCACAUAAUAGUAGCCCUGGGAAUUUGGCUUGGCGGUAUUCAUCUCAAUUUUGCUCUAGGCCUCAUAUCCCUCUUCUACCUCUCCCUGUCCAAAGCCCUCUUGUGAGUUUUGUUUUUCUCAUUCUCUCAUCCCUUUUUUACCUUUUCCUUUGGGUGCGUCUCUUUCUAAUCUCUCUCUCUCUCUCUUUUUAAGGGUUUUCGCUUUACUUUUGAUAUUAGUGUUAAUUCCUGUCGACCAUAAAAGCAAAUACGGCCGCGUAUUGGCUAGGUAUGUUUUGCACCUCUUUUCGUUGGCCCCCCUCUCCUUCUUCUUCUUUCAUCAAUCUGUUGUCCCCCCUCUCUCUGCUUAUAAUCUGCUGUUUGCUUUCAGAUAUAUAUGUCAAAAUGCUUGCAGCUAUUUUCCAGUUACUCUACAUGUUGAGGAUAUACAUGCGUUUGAUACCAAUCGUGCUUAUGGUUAGUGACUGCUGUUUUUAUUUGUUACUUUAUUUUUUCAUCCCCUUCUACAAUUGUUCGGUCUCUCUCUCACCAUCGUAGAAGAAAUUAUUUAUUUAUUUUUUUAAAAAAAACCAUAAAAGAAAUAUGAGAAACGAGAUGUUUGGUUAUAGGAAACUUGGCUCCUCGUAUCUUGUCUUAAUACCUUGUUUAUGGCACAAGGUUAUAAUGAGCAAACAUGCAUGAUAUCCUAUUGGGUGCAUUUUGGUUUUUAGUGCCUCUAAGAUUACUGAAUGAGGCUACACUUCCCAAAUUGUUGUGUGGUCGGAUUUUUGUGGCUGAGCAUGAACCACCACUCUUUUGAGUCGUUUCCAAGUAGUGGAAGGGCUUGAGCAAGAGCUUUGGAUUUUAUACAACAUCUUACGUACUCCACUUUUUUUUUUCAAGUGUUAUUGUGUUCUUUCAUUGUUUCUCAAGGAAAGCAAUUGUUUCUAAAAACAGAAAAAGAAGUGUACUCCUCAUAACGUCUCUGGGGCUUAUGCCUCAAGGAUGUCUUGAAGCCUUUCAAAACAUGGAUAAUCAUUUUGUAUUUGCGUUUAGUGGUUUCCUUUUUGUUUUCUGCUUCCAUUUUGGUUUAGGUGAUAAAAAACUUAUGUUCUUUCUUUAUUUUGUAUUACCUAAAGUUUUGUUUCCCAAAUAAAAAAAACAAACAAACAAAUAAGUUGGUAAUAAAUUACAAUAGUAGGAAACGACAAUACAGUAGUCUUCUAUCAUUGUCCUUGUUUGAUAGAGGAAUCAACUGAAUCCAAAGGAGAAAUCUUCACUUUCUUCCUUGGGGGACUGUGCAUCUUUUUCCUUAUUUUUUAUGGAUAUUUCUUUUAUUUAAGAAAUCCUUUAUUUUCAGAGAAAAUAUUUGGAAAAUACAUUUUUUUGAGCAAUUUUAUUUUCCAAUGUUGUAGUUUUUGGUUAUGAGCCACAUUCAGUUUUACCUAUUGGUGUUGUUGCGUUGGCCGACCUUACUGGUUUCAUGCCUCUCAAAAAAUUGAAAGUCCUUGCAAGUUCUGCUGUAAGACUUCUUUCUUUUCAUUCUAGGCAUUUACUAGCUUUCUUUGUAACUUCUAAUCGUUUCAUCAUGUGCGGGGUAUUCUACCAGGUGUUUUAUACUCCGUUUUUGAGGCACAUAUGGACAUGGAUGGGCCUAACGCCAGCGACAAGGAAAAAUUUUAUCUCCCUCUUGGCAGCUGGCUAUAGUUGCAUCAUUGUGCCUGGUGGAGUACAAGAGACAUUUCAUAUGGAGCAUAAUUCGGAGGUCUUUAUCCAUCCUUUCUUUACCUGUAAAUUUUGACAUUGAUUCUUCUAUCUUUAUUUGAUUUAUUUACACUUUCCUCCAUUUUAUUAGAAGGUUAAGGCUUAUCCACUUGCACAAUGGAGCCAAGAUAGAUAAAACUCUAGUCCCUUCUUGUUUGUCUAUUUUGAACUUAGCCAGAGCAUUGCUAAAUUUUCUCUCUUUUUCUUCUACAUUCUCCUAUUUUCUAGUAUCAAAAGGUAGAUAUAACUGCUGGAUUUUGCUGCUUCAAGCAUUCUGGAGUUACUUUUCCUUUGUGAUCAGUGCUAGAUGAGUUUGUUUUUUGUAAUUUUUUGGGGUCUUAAUCUAGUUGAGAUGUCUGAGAUGCUCCUGAUCCUUGAUCCUUGGUUUCUUUGCUCAUUGUAUGUUCCUCUUGUACUUUGAGCUUUUGUCUCCUUAUUAAUAUAUUAAUGAAAGAGGUUGUUUCCUUUUCAAAAAAUAAUGGUGCUUAGUAUGGAGCAUGUAAGCCUUAAAUUAAUUAAUAACAUUUUACAAAUCCUCAAUUGGUAUGAACAAGUAUUGUUGAACAUAAUAGUUAUAUAAAAAUUAAAAAGUAACAAAUUCCCACACUAAACAAAAAAUCUACUUCACUACUAUUAUUAAUAGGAUGGACUUAUAAACAUUUUUUAUCAAUAAAGUCAUAGUAGUAGUAAGAGUCAAUGUUUUCGAGGCAACCCAUGGUUCACUCCUAAGGCGAGAUGUGAGGCAAACCAAAGCCAUUGAUGGUGAGGCAACAAGGCUACAGCAAAAGAAUAUCCUUUCAGAAAGAUCCUUGGAUUGACAAUUAGUCUUAUGUUCAUGUCUUCCUCGUCUUUUCAGGAUAGCAUUGUUGCCCGAUGGGUAUGUAUUUGACCCUUAGGAUGGUGAAACUUUAUCAUGAGUAGUUUUCUUUAGAAGACUGUUGAAAGAAGUUGAAAUUCAAGAUUUUGAGCCAUUACUACAAAUCGGCAUUGGUGGUUCACAAAUAAAAACCAAAUAUGUCUAAUUCUAACUCCUUCUUGUGCUAGUUGCUUCACAACAUUCAUGAAAAUGGCCCUAACCAUUAGCACUUCUGGAAACAGAUCUUUUGAAGUAUGGUGGCAGAUGAACCAUCAUGGGUUGGCCUAAUGGUAAAAAGGUCAUUACUUAACUAAGAGGUCAUGGGUUCGAUCCAUGGUGGCCAUCUACCUAGGAAAUAAUUUUCUAUGAGUUUCCUUGACAGCCAAAUGUUGUAGGGUUAGGCGGGUUGUUCCGUGAGAUUAGUUGAGGUUCGCGUAAGCUGGCCCGAACACUCAUGGAUAUAAAAAGAAAUAUAUGGUGGCAGACGAAUACAUUUUUGGUUAGACACUUGGAUUGUUGAUUCUUCUCUAAAAGUUGAUAUUCCUUUUCUAUUCAACAUAGGUUCUCCCUCCAAUUGUUUGGUUUAUGAUAAUUGGGAUGGUAAUUUUCGUUCAUGGAACAUUAUCUUUCGAUCAUCGCUCAUAGAUGAAGAUCGUUCAAAGAUGAGAUUCUUGUUUCUCGGAUCUUUACAGGUAAAAAAGUGAAAUUUGGAAGUCUGGGACUCUUAAAAGAAUCAACAUUCUUAUUUGGAUAAUGAGUUCUGGAUUGCAGAAUUGUUUUGAGCUUUCUUGAAAGAAAUCUUCCUUUGCAUUGCCCAUCACCUUUUAUUUGCUUUCUUUGCAUGAAGUAUAGGGACACCUUGCAACAUUUAUUUUUUGAUUCUAUUUAUUGAAGGCAAUGUUGGUGGAAACCCUCCACGCAUCCCACUAUUGUUCCUUUAUUAGUUGGUCUCAGAUGUGGCAUUAGCGUCCAAACUUUUGUGGUCUAAUGUGGUCUAAUGGGCUGAAAGAGUGCAACUAGAGAGUUCAAGUCUCUUCCUUAGGAUGACCGUUUUGGUUCAGCUUGUCUGAAAGCCUCCCCUCAUGAUGUUCUUUCUCUAAAAGCUUGGCAAACUACUCUAUUUGGGAUAUUUGUCUUAAUUGGAAUGCUUUAAUGGAAGUGUCUGUUUCCUUUUAAAAAAAACUUUUGAUUAUAAGAACAAUAUCUAUCGACAUUCUGUUACGGGAAAAAAUGUUGAGGUGGUCGCAACACUAAAAGAAAGAUGAUUUUUUUCUUCAAAAAAAGAAGGAAACAGAAGAAAAGAGAAAAUAAGAAGUCCGUAUUUCUCUUACCACCACAAAAUUAGGAAACAAAAGAGGAGAAAGCCUGCAGCUACCAUUCAGGUCGGUAUUUCUCUUGUCCCAUUGAUGAUAAAAUUAAGUUUGUUCUAGUGUGUCACUUCUUGCUUUUAAAGUGUAAACUUGUCAAAUUCUGAGGUUUUAGCUUCAGAAUAAUUUGUCAGAUCAUUUUAAUGUCCUAAGCAAUGCCUUUUGGUCUUUUUGUACUCUAACCCCCCCCCCCCGGCACACACACACCAAAUAAGGAAAAUAAUUGUCCAAAAAUGGGUCCAGUUAGAGGUAGGACGGUGGUCUGGCUUGGCGGGAGUUCUUAGUUAGAGUAGAUUAUGGAUUAUGUAAGGAAUCAUUAUGGAUGCAGUAGGUCGAUUAAUAUAAAAUAAAAUAACACUAACAGCAACAAUAGUCACGAGCCUCCUUUUGUUUGGUUGAGGCAUAAAUCCUGAGACACCUCAAAGCCCUCUUGCUAAAGGCUUAUGGUUAACAUUCAGGGAGAGGAAAAGGAAAUGUAAUUAGUAGAACUUCUUGCUUUUCUGUAAAGUUGGGUUGCAGUAAUCAUUCUCAUUCCAUGAGAAGCUUGGCAGGAUUGACAAUUCUGAAAUUCACUUUGUAGACUGUCUUCCUCAAGACAAGACGAGGAUUUGUUCGUAUAGCGAUGGAGAUGGGUACACCACUGGUCCCAGUUUUCUGCUUUGGUCAGGUAUUUUUCUAAUGUUUUCGUAGUGUUAUAUUUCUCGUGCUAUAAUUUGUAUUUUAAAAUUUGAUUUUGAUCAGUUUCCUCCAAAUUCAUGUAGUCAAGUGUCUAUCAAUGGUGGAAACCUGGUGGUAAGUUUUUCCUCCAAUUUUCAAGAGCAAUCAAGUUCACACCAAUUGUCUUCUGGGGAGUUUUUGGGUAUGUGUAUAUUUUCUCGCCGAGUCUUCACAAAUAUCAUGCUCUUCUCUUAUCUUACCAUGCUGUUCUUGUCCAUCUUGCUAAAAAAGAAAGAGCACGUCUUGUUAAAUGGUUGCGUGGUUGCAUUGUUGUAUGAUUGUAUCUAGAUUAUUGCUUUUAGGAGUCUACUUUAAAUAUAUGUAUUUUUAGUCAUUAUAUCAUCAAUUGUGCACAAAACUUCUAGCUUCGGAGUCGAAGCUCUAUUAUGUGCUCAUAACACAAACACUCCAUUUUAGUUAGUGUCUAGUGUCGGACACAGACAAACACCUGUCCAACAUGAAAAUUUACAUGUCCUAUUCUUAUUUGUUGUUUUCAAUUUUAAACAUGCGGGCCAUGUUUGGGAUACUUCCUGGACACGUCUAAACAAUUCUUUUAAAGAAUAAAGACAAAACAGCCCAACCUUUCUUGUUGCGAAUUUAAAGCCCAAAUCAAUUAUAUGUUGAAAGAUGGGGGAAGCCCCUUUUUAAAACCAGAUUUUCUUUAAAAAACUGAAGUUAGGAACCUUGGGUUUCAUCUCUUAUAAUUGUUAAUUAACUUCAUUCUUAAAUCAUCCAUUGACCUAAAAGUUUAAGUUGACGAUGGAAGACAAAUUUAAUAUUAUGUCAUCUAACACUCACCCUCACUUGUGGGUCUGUAAUUUGUAGAAGACCCAUUCUUGCCCUUCACUUCAUAGGGAUACUCUCCUGCAAUCAGGGAUGCCUAUUGUAGGCUUUUGUUGAACCUUCUAGGAGUUGCAUAGACUGCAACUUGAGGCAAGCUGAGUUUGGGUGUCAUUAACAACCAUGUAAUUGCUCAACUGUUCAGGAUUUAUGAUUAUUGUUAUUAUUUUCUUUUGUGUAUUUCCCUUUCGCAGGUUUUUUGAAAUCUAUUUAUUUUUCUACCUAAAAGGUCAUUAUGUACUCUGAAUUAUUAUAUUUAAUAAAUAUAAAAUUAACAGGUGCCAUUAACAACCUCGUAAUUGCUCAACAAUUCAGGAUGUCAGUGUUGACACUGCACAGUCAAUAUUGAAUUAUAUAUUUAGUUAUUUUUUUGGGAAAUUGGACCGGGCAAAACUAACUUCGCGCCAGCCUUGGGCUUUAGUUUGGUAAAAAUGUUGUAUACAUGCAAUUUAUUUUGAGAAAUUUGCCUCAAGAGGAGGAGGAACAAGAUGAUCCAUGAAAAAGUUCAAUAGUAUGUUAUAACAUUGGGAUCAAGUGUGUUGGUUGGUGAUCUUUGGUUUUGUUCGUAAGUUAAUCUAUCUAGUUCUAAUUUCAUCGUUACCUGCCUAUCAUUGAAUAUUGUUGUGUUUUCAGAUCGCCUCUUCCUUAUAGGCGGCAGAUGCAUGUGGUGGUGGGAAGACCCAUUGAGGUGAAGAAAAAUCCAAAUCCAACGAGUGAUGAGGUAGGUGUCUCAAAGGUCCAUUAACAAUUUAACAUAUAUGCUAGAAUGAUUGCAAUUCUUUACGAACGUUUAAGCAUACAUAAUAUUGACGUCAAAGAAUCUCUCUUUUUGGUCCUCUAUGGAACUCCACCGCCCAACUUUGUUUGGCUAGAUGAGUGCUGAGAAAGAGAGGUAGUGGGGGAGCUGAGGGGUCAAAACUAGUUGCCUUACUUUUUGAAUUUAACAAUCAUAAGUAGGAUUCAAACCGAUUGUUUGAGUAAGUUCUUUAGAAUUAUCUGCUUAGGGGGAUCAUUUACCAAGUCCUGUAUUUCAUUAUUCUUACAACUAUCAUGGUAAGUCCCAUAUCUCUUACAUGGUUUUUAUCAGGUGCUUGAUUUACACGGUCGGUUUGUUGAAGCACUCGAAAGUAUGUUUGAAAGGUAUAAAGGACAGCUUGGCUAUGAUGAUCUGCAGUUAAAUGUCCUUUGAUUAAAGGUUGAGAGAUUUAUUUGGUCCAACUUCAAUCAAUCCUGUACUCAUCUCUUGUAUUCAAGAAUAUCUGUAGCAAUGAUCGGAGUGCCCAUUAUUAUACAUUCGAGAUCUUUUGGCAAAUGAUGUGGGGUCCAGCAGAAUAGAAAACCAGGGUUUUAAAUCUUUGAGAAUAAUACACUUAAAUGGAAUUCGAAUUCAGUUAUGAAAUGUUGUAGGAUAAACCAACCCUUGUUGAAUUAGAAAUGAUGAUCAUAAGAUGGUUCGAUUAAUAAUUUAAUCUUUAAUAUUUUGUAGUCGGAUGCUAUAAUGGUUUACAAAUUGAAGGUUUUAACUCAAACCAUGCUCGAAAACUUCGAGGAUGGUGAUUUUAGAAAAAUAAUAAAUCACUAACAGUUGAAUUUUGAAGCAUUGUAGGAUGAAAUAUAUGUUUCGAAUUUUCUUUUAUUUUCAAUAUGUGCAUUCUUACCUCAAUAUCAAUCUGCAUGUUAUUGAUCUAACAAUAAAAUAAAUUAAUAAAAAUAUAUAUUUACUAUAAUUAUUUUUUAAAAAAUAAACUUUCAAAUAUAAAAUACCACUUUAGCAAUACAAUGGUUCUAAAAUCGCUUUUUGUAUUAAAUUGAAAAUUAAUUUUAAGAGUUUGUUAUCAAUUAUAGAUUUGAUUGUUUGAGAAAGGGUAGUUUAGAUAUGAUUUUAAAAAAAUUGAUCGAAUUUUAAACAGGUAGUAAGCUUUUUAAAUUAAUCUUCAUAAUUUAGAAUUGAUCUUUAUAACCCUUAUGUUUGAUUCAAGGUUAAUUUAAAGUUGUCUAGUUAUUCAUUUAUUUUCUAUUUGAGAAACAAUUAUUUAAUUAAUUAAUUACAGUAUAAAUGUACUUCUAUUUAUUUUAUUUUAUAACUCAUAUACCUUUAUAUAUAUAUAUAUAUAUAUAUAUAAAAGAAUUUACGAAAACCAUCUAACUCGGAUAUAAUAAUAGAAGCAUUGCAUUUUAACAGAAGAAUGGUAUGCGGUAAUAUUGAGGCCAUCGAUGUUUCGCAACCACUUGUGGAGGUCCAAGUUCUGAUGGCGAUCGCUCUCCUUCAAGGCGUGCACCUCCUGCGCGAGAUAAACUAGAAAUAGACAACCUCCAAUUCAAAUUUCUGAAGAAUCACGUUAUUGAAACGGACAAUCGGAUUGGAAACGGUAUCAUAUAGGUGUGAUUUUUAGGGUUUCUUUCUGGGUUGCAUGUUCGUAAAAUUACAACCACACAUCAAAUCAGCAAUUUCAGGUUUGAAUCCCCAAGCAUGCAGCUCCUUCUCUUUUCCAGAUUAACCCAUUAGCAUCUGCAUCUCAUACCGUUUCCCCGUCUUCUCCCCCUCAAAAUGCAUAUCAUAUAAUACUACCUUGUCUCUCUUUUUCGUCAAUUUUAGGAAAAUGUGUGCAUGCUGUUCCGUUUAUUUGAUUCGAUUGAUGCAGGGAGGGCACGAGAAGCGAAUCUUAGGGUUAGGUUUUUCCAUAAAAGUUAAGAUGAGGAUCAUGGGUUGAGCGUUUUGUAUAGGAAGUUGCUGUCAUCUACCGAGUAUUGAUACUUUCAUGUCUUAUUUCUCAUAGACGCCAACUCCUUUUUACGGAUUUCUGGGUUGGGUUUCCCUUUUAUUAAGUGCAGCAUUUUUUUCCCCUUAUCUGUCUUCUGAAAAUUACGUGUUGCAUUCUUUCCUUCAUUUCUUAAACUUUCUUCUGGAAACCUAACUUCCAUUAGUAUUUACUUGUAGGAUUCUGAUUCUUCCGUUGGAACUGAAGAUGUGUGACGCGAAGGAGAAACAGGAAUCUGUACAAGAUGUGUCAACUGCUUUAAGUGAAGGAAACCAAGUUAAUGCAAAAGAAGAUGAGCUCCAUGAUUCUCUCUCUGUGCCAGCUGAGGCAACUCCAAACUCUUGCGAAAAAGAGAUUGAUUCACCUGGAACUUGUGUACAGGAAAUUGUACCUCUUGAGGAUAAUUUAGAAAAACCUACAAUUCUUCAGCAAUCCAAUCAAAUUUCUGGGCAUUCACUUCCCAUGGAUUAUGACCAAGAGUUGGAUAAGUCUGUUGCAGAACCUGCUUCCGAUGUCAAGUCUGGCCCUGUUGAGUUACCCUCGAGGGAUCUAGAUGCUGCUGUUUCCAGCUCUCCCCUAGAAACUGUUCAGUCCUCCAUAGAUGCCAAAUCUGAGGCCUCUAAGAUGCCUGAAAUUAAAACCUGUUCUCUUGAUGAUGCUUCAACAGUGAGUCACGAUGAACCUGUAACUCCCCAUCCAGUGUCAUCUUGUGUAAAAGCUGAAACAGAAAAUGCCAUAGAAUUGAAGGUCAAUGAAGACAUUGUUACUACACCACAUAAUGGGGAUUCAAACAUGAAUCACUCGUUUCUUUUGGAUGAAAAUCAUAUUGCUGAAGGUAGUGAAUCAGGAACAGAAGAAGAGCAAUCUGCUUUCAUGAAGGAGCUUGAGAACUUCUUCAGAGAAAGAAGCUUGGAAUUCAAACCUCCUAAGUUCUAUGGAGAGGGUCUGAAUUGCCUCAAGUAAUAUUUUUAUUCUUCUUUACUGUAGCAUGAUUUACAUCAUCCAAUAGGAAAUGGAGUUCUCAGCUCACAUUUUGAACUUUUUAUUAUAAGGUUGUGGAGGGCUGUGACUAGAUUGGGAGGCUAUGACAAGGUAUUUUUUGUUCUUUCUGUAAUGACCACAAUGUUUCUUGCUUCAAUGAUGACAUGUUUGGAUCGUGUGAAAUCUAAUAUAAAUAUUUCAAAGAUGCUUUUAGUUCCCAUGUGACUUUUUGUUUAGGGCUUAAGCUGCCUCGUACACAUUGAGGCUAUAAAAUGCAUUUGAGUUAGCACGGACACUUUAGUUUGGAUAGUGUGUUCGUGUCGGACACUUGGACACUUUGACACUUGGUGGACACCUUUUGUACCUUUUUAGUGCAGCAAAUGUAUUAGAUUUGCAUAGAACAUUCAUUGAUUAGACUAAAAAGGCGUAUAUAUGACAAUGAUAAUAACUUUUGGGCAUGGAAUACAUCAAGCUCAGUUUUUUAAGCAUAUAAAUGCAUCAAUUCAUUUACUAUGAAUUUUCUUUUACUAUAAAUAUGAUAUAUAUACUUUAAAUAUGAAUAUUUUAAUAAAUGUGUCCUUGCCUUGUCGUGUCCUAGAUUUUUAAAAUAUGGUGUGUCGUCGUGUCCGCGUCAUGUCGUAUUCAUGUCUCGUAUCUGUCUUCGUGCUUCUUUGGCUACUGUGCCUAAAUUUAAUGGUCGAGAAAAUGAACAUGGUAUUUAUAUCUUCAUGCAAAGUGUUUUAACUGCUCCCCUUCAUCAACCUUAGGGCAUAGGUAGUUAGGGGAGAAAAUUGCGGGUGUAUGAUUUACUUUUUUAUUUUGCUUUCUUCUCAUGAUAUUUCUUGUUUCAUUUGAUUCAAUUGUUUUUUUGGCUCUGAAAUCUUAUUUUUGACACAUCCAUCACUGGCAUCCUUUCUGGACAGGUGACUUCAUGCAAGUUGUGGCGUCAAGUAGGAGAGUCUUUCAAGCCUCCAAAGUAAGGACACAAUUGGUAGUCUAAUAUCAAAAUUUUCCUACGUGUGACACUGAGGGAGACAAGUUGCUGCUUUUCCCAAUCAUAUUUUUCGAAUUGUUAAUUUAGCUUAUGUUCUUUCACCUGUCUUUCUUAUUGAGUAAAAUUAGUUAUAGUGCCUGAAAUCUUGAACAGCAUAGCCUAAUGCCCAACCUAAUUCCGGUUUACAUUUAUACUAAAUCAUUGUUGACAAAUUCUUCAGGUAGUUUGAAGAAUAAAUGGUAUCAUGGUAUCUGAGUUGUAACAUCUCCAUUUUAGGAGGAUUUUUCUUUAUCUUUUACAUUACCUCAUCUUUCAGCCUAUAUAUGAUAAGCAUUCUUUUUUUUUUGGUUCUACAGGACAUGCACAACAGUUUCAUGGACAUUUCGAGGAUUUUAUGAGAAGGUGAUGGCGAAAAGAUAUUUUCUUUGAAUAUUUGUGUAUUUCCAUUGAUGUAUUUAUAUCCAUCUUUUGUAUGUGCAUCCUAUGGGAUUUUCAUAGUCACAGGUUUCUUACAAAUAAAAGGUUAGGGGAUUAUUAAUACUUCUUGUGGGUCAUUUGAAGUUUUGUAAUGUAAAUAUAAUCCAUUGCACUUGUUUCAAAUGGAUGAAGUUUUAAAUCCAUGUUUUCUUUCUUACCAUAGCAAGUAUUUUUUCAAUUUAUUAUCUGAGUUUUGUUGCACUCGUUUUACCCUUAGCUUUGUAUCAAGACUCAAGUGUCUCCAAUCUCUAUCUACUGCUUAGAAGCUCAUGGAAAGAGAAACGUAUAUAGUUGCAUAAGUUAUCUAACACAAUACUUUUGGUUGUAACUUCUCAAUUUUUUUUAGGCUCUUCUUGAUUAUGAGAGGCAUAAAACCAAUGGUGGUGAACUUAGUGUACCUAUUGCUUCCAACUCAGAACCGAUGAGUAUUGAAAACCAGGUAUUGCAGAAUUUCAAGCUCUGGACUUAUAUUAUUUUAUUUCUUCAUGACGAAUAGCUAAUAUUUUUUGGGCAAAUUUAUUUCUGUUAUAUUUUAUAUAUGAUAGCUAUUAUGGUGUUUUUUGCUCGUAAGAGGUAAGAGAGUUGAAGGUUACAUACAACGCAUUUCAUUUCAUAGAUUCAGGGCUAGUGACUGGUUUCAACUAUUAUUUAGUUUUUUUCACACUUUUAUAUGACUUGUGUUUAGCGAUACUUGGUUAUACCAAAUUUGGAUUUGAAAAAGGUUUUUAAUUCACUAUCAGAGGCUUACUCCCCAUUUUCCUUGUUGAGGCUUUUGCCUUACCUCUCCGUGAGGAAAAGGUCUUCUUUAGUCUUUUAAGACAUUGGUCAGAGACUCCCAAAUUUUGGUGGGAAAUUGUGUCAGGCUUUGAUAGAUGAUUGAUAUCUCUAGAAGCUUACUUAUUCCGUAAAAGUACAACAUUCCAUCAAAGAAAAUUUUCAAUAGACAAAUAGUGUUCAAUAAAAUCAUUGGUAUUAGUCCUGCCAAUAGCCACUGGCUAACCAAAAAGUGUAUUUUCUUUGAAUUUUUUAACGUCCAUAGCUUAGAUACGAACAAAAAGAAGCUGAAUCAUGAGGAUGGGUUUGAGGAGCUAACCAAAGAUCUGGAAUAAGAGAAGACAUCCAGUCCGAGGUCAUCUUAAAUGUUGCAUAUGUUAGAUCAUAAAAAAUAGUGGGGGCUAGUUUUAGGAAGUAUAGGUGUUAUUUGUUAAUAAUGCUGGUGUUAUUGAUCCUGCUCAUGUUUGUGUUAUAUUGCCCCGAGGAAAUAGCAUCCUGCUAAUAAUUGUUUGCCUCAAGGAUAUACCUAAGAGUCUAACUAGUACACGAUUGAACAAAUUAAUGUACAUACAGUCAAAUUUCUUCAGUAAUUUUAUACAUCCUGAUUUUCUCUCACACAACUUUAAUCAGGGAUCCGGAUCAGGUAGAGCACGAAGAGAUGCUGCUGCACGUGCCAUGCAAGGUUGGCACUCACAACGUCUUCUGGGAAAUGGUGAAGUUAGUGACCCUAUUAUCAAGGUCUGGUGAAUGCUGUGUUUCAUGGAUUGUUUUCUCUUGUGCAUCCUCAAUUUAUUCCCUUACCAUCCUUUUCCAAUGGAGUAUCAUGUUUAAUAAUCUCUGUAGGACAAGAACUCACUCUCAAUGCAGAAAAGGGAAAAACAACUAAAAAGCAUUGGUAAGCUUCUUUUGUGUUCUUCACAGCUAGGAUGGCUGCAUAUCUGUAAUUCUUUCUUCCUCUGGUUACAACUAUUAUUAAUAAUUUUUGGUUGAUGUAGGUCUUCUUAAACGUAAGAAACCAUCUUACAUGGAGCACUCCAUGAAAUCAGCACGUACAAAAUCACCAAAACCACAGUUAGUAAACUCUUUAUAUGGAUUUUUAUUUGUGCAUGUAAGAAAACAUUGGAUGGAAUGUUGGUAAAAAAAUUCCUGUUUGUGGCUUAGGUUGGACGUAGCAGUAGUUGAUAUUGGACAACCAGCCGACUGGGUCAAGGUCAAUGUGCAGAAAACUGUAAGUUGCGGAAGUAUGUUUUAAUGAAAAACACCAGUAAUAAUGAUCAUAGAGCCAACUCACGUAGUUCCGUUCUUGUGGCAGAAAGAUUGUUAUGAGGUCUAUGCAUUAGUUCCUGGACUACUCCGCGAGGAGGUACAUCAUUUCUGUUUUAUGCCUUUUCAUCAUUUGCAAUGUGUACAGUUGUCAUGGAGAAACCAUUUAAUUUGUUUUUCUAUUUUAUUUAAUCAAUAAAAACUUCUAAGAAGUUCAAUGGACAACGUAUUUGCUUGGGUUUUUUUUUUUUCUUGCAAUGGUUAAGAGAGAUGAGCAUCUUCUAUCUGUUUGCUGUUCUAGCAGCCUUUGGCUUGUGAGGCCUUGUGCUAUGAGCUCAAGGCAUCUUUACUUUUAACCUUUUUUUAUUGUUUUGGUCUGAAUUAGUACAUAUGUUUCAGUGUUGUCCGAGCAGUGUGUAAAUCUUUUCCAAAUUCUGUUUCUGCAGGUGCGUGUUCAGUCUGAUCCGGCAGGACGCUUGGUCAUUAGUGGUGACCCUGAACAUCCUGAUAAUCCAUGGGGUGUCACACCCUUCAAAAAGGUCCUUACUGACCGUAACUUUAUUAAGAAGCAGUUUAUUUUAGUAACCAGGAUUACCCUCAACAAUUUACAUUAUCGUUGAAAUUUACAAGACUUCCUACGUUUUCUCACUCUAAUCUGCUUUAUUUCCCUAAUUUCCUCACCCUCGGACCUUCAAAUUCUUUGCCUGGAAAGAGGCUGAAGAAAUAUUCAAUGCGUGUUUUUCAACGAUUAAAAUUAAUCUUGUGAAUUUAGAAAAAAUAUUCAAUGCUUAUUUUUUAUUGCAGGUGGUCAGCCUACCGUCAAGGAUUGAUCCACACCAGACUUCUGCCGUUGUCACCUUACAUGGACAGUUGUUUGUUCGUGUUCCAUUUGAACAGUUGGAAUGAAUGCAUUACAUAACCACUCAACUGAAGCUCGAUGUUCAAACCAAUCUUGUAGUUUGACGUGUUAGUCUGUUUUAUAAUGUUAAUACAGUUUGACAGUGGCAAAAGACCGUUUAGAUAGGCAGGAAACAUGAUUUUGUUUUGUUUUGUAAGAUCUUUGAUAGUGGUUAGCUAGUAUCGAAAAGCUAUUAAUGUAUCUUAUGUGAACUCCUAAUCUAAGUAUCCUUUACGGCGUAUUUAUAGUAGCAAGGAUACUACUGCUCAUUUUUUCUUGUUGACGGUUGCAUCAUUUUAGCCCUAGGAAAAAGGAGUACACCAAUUGGGAGUAUACUGUAACAAAUCUUGUAGAUGACAGCAUUGAAAUAGGAAAGCAGAUUGAUCAGCGUCAAUAUUAAGCAUGAACGUGAUGAUAUUUUCAUUUUCAAACAAACUAAGGUAUGUAGUUCAUAUAAAUUUAAAAUAGAAAUGUAAAUAUUUUAUAACACUUAAAAGAAAUCAACCAGAAAAGGAUACUCUUGCAACGUGAUGUAACAAUCAAUAUCCAUUUAAAAAAAUUAGAAGUUUACACAUUCAUUGUUCAGUUGCCAUUGAGGCCAAGUCUAAUUCUUCGUCGGAAUCAAUUACAUCCUCAAAAUCAUAAUAUGCUUUGACCUGCAUGUGAAGUAAUAACGGUUAGCUCCAUUUACAAGACCUCGAUAAGCAUAACAGUACGAUACAUCUAUUCUAUCAUCAUACAAGAUAAGAAAAAGGGCUACAAUUGAGAGGUGGAAUGUGAUUAAUCACCUUUACCAACAACUGAGGCAUUCUGAGCCUCUUUAAAGGGAAACCAAGAGGGUGUUGCGUUAAAGAAAGAUCUGAUUGGCCAUCAAGCAAAAGGACAAGAUGGUUUACGUCUUCAUUUUUUAUGCAGUGCAGAUACGAUCGUGGAUUAGCCAUUCCUCUCUUUUCUUUCAUCGCUCUUCUCUACUUGACCCGGUGCCUGGAGCUAAAACAAUCGGGGUGCAUAAAAGACUCGUUUUCACUCUUUCUUUGUUGAGUGCAUCAUUGGAACGUCAAAUUACAAACAGUACUUGUCCAGAUAUCUCUAGUUGGACUCCAAAUACAGUUUUCUAGAGAUCUUUAGAGAACUUGGGACUCAGAAGGCAUUUCAUUCAAGUUAAUAUUGAAGCUCAAACUCUUCAUUCAUUCCAAACUUUUUAUAUUAUACAUAACAUUCAUAUCCAUCUCACCUUUUAGCAAGAAGCGCUAGGUUAAAAGGCUAUUUCCACCCAAAAGCUCUGAGCAAAUUCUUUAUAGAUGGUAAUGCAGAUGGCAAAUUAAGCCAUUUGGCUUGUUCACAAUUUGCUUCUCAAUCGCUUGAAGCUGGCUGGCUUGCUAUCCGAGGCUUGAAAAAGAAGCUAAAUGGUACUAAAAGGAAAAUGGGAUUGGAGGCUUUUUCAUGAAUUAUCUGCUUUGUGGAGAAAAGUGAUGACUAAUAUUUAGUUGAAAGGAGGGAGAUCUCCUUGUCUAGUUACCCUUAAAACCCAAAAUUCAUCUCUAAGUCUUCCAUUUAUAGUAUAAUUGGAAAUUGGAAAGGCAACCAUUUAUUUCAUCAUGAAAAUAAACAAUUGUUGGAUAUAUGAAAUAACAAAAAAGGGAAAGGAUAAUUUAAGGCUAUGUUUAAGUAAAUUUGUGUAAUGGCAAUUUCGUAUAACUACAAAAGGAUCUUCCACCUUCGUAGGGCUUUAACGUGAAAGGUGUUUUAAGCCAUAAGAGGAAAUUAAAUUUGUCAUUGAAGAUACAGCUAUUUCUUCGGGCAUUCAAUUGCUUAUCGGGCUCGUUUUGAGAUAAUUUUGGGGAAAUUUUGCUCCAAGUUCCAUGAAUCUAUUGGCAACUUGGUUGGAUUUUAUAGCCUGUUGAGCUUAGUGAAAGAUUUUGGUAAUCUUUAGAUUUUGAUUUUGAUGUUUUGAAGAGGGUCAUGGAUUGGUUGAUAGUUAAGCCUCAAGAAGCUGGUUUUUUAUUUCUUCAAAAUUCAAUCAAUCAUAGAAGUCUCAUUUCAUGUGAAUCUUUUAUUUUCUCUUCUUUUAUUUGAUAUCUUGGUCUGGUUUUGAUUUACCAUUCUUACACUGACAAGUCUUUUAUAGCUUUAUGUUCCGUAUAUUCUUUCGUAAAUUUGCGCAUUAGUCUCAGUUCAUUAUUUCAAUGGAAAGCUUUGUUUCCCUUUUUUAUUAAAGAAAAAAAUGUCUACUGCAUUCGAUCUAAACGAACCACAAAAAGGCUCUCAUGAGGUGCAACCAUAAGGUCCUGCUUAUUUACAGAUUUAACCCAAGGGGUUCUAAAAAACAUCAAUUCCAUGACUAAUUUAACUCCCUGUGCUGUGUGCACCACGACUAAACAACUCUACUCCAGGCUACAAAUGUCAUAAGAGUCUCCUCCAUUGAAUGGAUAAUCCUCUAGAAUAAGAUAAAUUAGAUAUAUCGAUAGAAAGAACCACGACCCAAUUGAAAAUAGAGAUCAUGGCGCUCUAAAAUCUGUUAGAAUAAGGCAGAGGAUAAAGAGGUGGCUUUGAGACUCAUGGACUGUAUACUCUAUAGCAUAGGGACAGUGCACCAACACUAAUGGUCUAGGUCCUUUCAUUGAUAAUGCCAUGUUUGAAAAACUCUUGGAACACUCUAAUUUUGUUCUUUCUUGGUGUCCCCAUCCUUUCUAAAAAAUUCACAUUUGAAGGAAUCAGGACCUGAUGAUUUUUAGUUUCCAUUUGCCAAAGUUGAUUAAUAGAAAGAUUUCUGUUUCUUCAAACGGACUCUCUAACCAUUAUACUAAGCCACUGCUAAUAGGCUGGCAUGAACUUCCCUCUAGAACAAACCGUUGCUUCCAUCAUAUUCAUUUAGAGGAGAAAAUCCAUAAUUUCAUUCUACAUAAACUGGAAAUGGAGUUUUUACCCACUCUAUGAGAAGUCCAUCUAUGAAAGAGUUUUGAAAUAAGGUAGCUCUUUCAGCUAUUUUAGCUUAGCUUCUAACACAGCCGUUACUCUUUCAGAAUCAACUUCAAUAUGUUUUGUCUUGUCGUGAAGGACUGUAUUGUGGACAAUGGAAAUUGCUGCCUUAUUAUCACAGUAAAUGUGCAUGCACAUUGUCUGAGUGAACUUCAAUUCUUCCAACAGUCUUCUUAUCCAUAUAGCCUCACAAACACCAUGAGGUAAAGCUCUAAAUUCUGCUUCUCUACUACUUCUUGCAAACACUCUGUUUUUUACUUCGCCAAGUAACAUCCUCCACCAAAGGAGCAGUAACCAAAAGUGGAUCUUCUAUCCAUCGUGCUACCUGCCCAAUCAGCAUCAAUGUGAACUUCACCUUUGAGAUGGCCAUUCCUUUUUCUGAAGUACCUAUCAAACAUCUUAGGGUUCUAUAAACUGCAUCAAAGUCAGUUAACUUAGGACCAUGCAUGAACUAACUUACCAUACUGACUGCAAAAGCGAUGUCAGAAUGUGUGUGGAAAGAUAUACGAGUCUCUUCACAAGUCUCUGGUACUUUUCUCUUUCUUUUAUCUCAUUUUUUAUUGCAACUUCCAAUUUCAGAUUCUGCUCAAUCGCAGUUUCUGCCACCUUGAAACCAAAGAAAUCUUCUCUUCUAGCAUAUUAAGAAUAUACUUCCUUUGGUGGACAAGAAUGCCACUUUUGGACCUGACGAACUCCAUGCCUAAGAAGUACCUUAAAGUUCCUAGGUCUUUGAUCUGAAAAUCAUCGACUAACUUUUUCUUCGCCAGUCUUGUCUCAUCAUUGACGGUAGAAUGAUAUCAUCAGUAUACUCUACAGCCUUAUCAUUUUCUGUAUGUUUAUAAAACAUCAUAUGAUUGACUUGACUUUAAUUGAAUCUAUGAGUGAUAUAUAAUUAAAUUUUCCUUCAACCACCAGCUUAAGCUUUUGGGUGAAUUGGUGAUUUAAUAGAAUCCAUAGCUUGUGCCUGCUUUUUCAAAGGGUUCAAACCAUGCUCUAAGAGAUUGUUCGAGAGUGUAGAAUGAUCUCUUUAACUUGCACAAUUUGUUAAUUUCGAGAUCUACCUCAAACCCGGGUGGAACAUCCAUACAUACCUCUUCUUCAAGUUCCCAAUUGAGAAAGAUAUUUUUAACAUCCAUUUAAUAAAGGGGUCAAUCAAAGUUAACUGCAACAGACAACAAAAUUUUGAUAGAAUUGAUUUUAGCAACUAGAGCAAAUGUUUUUUGAUAAUCAACUCCCUAGGUCUAAGUAAACACCUUAGCAACCAAUUUGGCCUUGUACCUUUCAACACCACCAACUUUACAUUUCACCGUGAACACCCACUUGCAUUCAAUUGUUUUCUUUUUUUUUUUAGUUCAACUAUGUCCCAUGUGCAAUGUUGUUUCAGAGCAUUCAUCUCUUCCAUCACUGCUAAUUUCCAAUUCAAAUUACUUAAGGCCUCCUGUAUAUUCCUUGGAACAAACAGGUUGGUUAUUUUGGAUGUGAAGGCUUUGUGACUGUCAGACAAUCUAAGAUAAGAAAGACAAUUUGCAAUGGGAUAUUUGACAAAAUUAAAAGUACCUUUCCUAUGGGCAACUGGAAAUAUCAAGAUCAGAGACAUCAGAUAAGGGAUUAUGAGAAAAACUGAGAGAAUUAGAAGAAGGAGAAUGUAUUUUACCUGGAUCUUUAGAAUCAUUUAUCGAGGUAUUAGAUUGAUUUUGUGAUAGAUCAACCAUCUGUUCUCAAUUCUUUUGAGUUAAGUUUCUUCUAGUGUAAACCCGUAGUUUUUUUACUUGUCAAGUCAGUCGGUACUGUUUCUCUGCCUACAAGAAGAACUCUCCACACUUGGCAUCAAAGAAUUAGAACUCAUAAUUUCAUAAUCAAUGAUGUUUGGGAUAAGUGAAGUGUUCCAAAAAUUAUCUUUCAAGAUUAGGUCUCCCCCCUAAAGAGAAUUUUGGCCAAAAAAAAGGGUUGAUUCUCCAAAAAAGACACAUGCAUACUCUCAAAGUACUUUCUGGUCGGAGGGUCAAAACAUUUGUAAGCCUUCUUAUGGGAGAACAACCAAACCUUGAAUGAUUGGCAUCUCCACCAAAGGAGUGUCUGUUCUCCUUAUUUUAAAGAAACUAUAAUGCUAUGGCGUCAGAAGGCUUACAAAUCUAGACAUAUACACCAAAUACAAGAAAGGUUUGGUUGUUCAUCAGCCUUCAGACACCAAAGCAUUAUAGUUUCUUUAACUUAAGGAGAACAGACACUACUUUGGUGUAUAUCUCCUAAUUUGACAUUUCAACUCGAUUUCUACUCGUAUGAAUCAAAGAGAUCUAGGUCUCGCCAAAUCUUUUCGAAGGAGUGAAAGUAUUGUGUCACUGAGUUACUUUUUUGGCUUAUAUCUUCCUAGUUUGAGAUUCAACUCAAAAACUUGUGAUUGAUUGCCUAAAUAAGAGUACAUUUGUGUCACACUGUCCCACGAUUCCUUGGUCGUAGAGUAGCACAUGUAAUUACAGUUGAUGUCUUCAACCAUGGAGUUUACAAGCCAAGUCAUAACCAUGGGAGUUUUCAACAUCCAAUGCAGCAAACAAUGGGUUGUUUGGUUUUGAGGCAGUUUUCUCUCUGAUAAUGAAGCCAAGUUUCCCUUGUUCACGAAUAUAAAGUCUAACACCUUGUGACCAACGAAGAAAGUUGACUCCAUUAAGUCGCAUUGUGGUGAUUUGGAUAGUGGGGCUAUUGGAAUGGAUACAAUUAUCGACUUUAGCCAUAGGUAACUUAGUAUUUGACAUGGUUGAAGCAACAAAGGUAAAAAAAACGGAGAGAACAGAUCUGAAAACACAAACCAAUCUUGUCAUUGGCAGCGGACGACUCAGAAAGGGGUAACCGGCAAGGACCACAACAAACAACGGCAAACAAAAAAAAAACCAACUUACAAACAAAAAUCGCAAGAAAAUGCAGGUACUAGAGACGUCCGACAAGUUGUGGUCGGCAAGGCGAUCAGUCAAAGUAGAACUACUGGCAACGACAAACCUUGAGGGGGCAGAACACAUGGCUAGCGCUGGCAAAGGGCUAUAAGAGUUUUAGGGUUUUUUAGGGUUUCAAAAACCUUCUCUGAUACCAUGCCAAAGAAUGUAAUUUUUAGUAUACCUCACAAAGAGAAAAGGGUUUUCUUAAAUAGAAGAACAACACAUCUACAAAGAAGCAAAAAAAAUUGGCAAAUAUAAUACAACUAGUACAAUAAAAUAUAAUACAAAAAAGAAAAUAAUCAUCAUAUAGUUCUAUAUCAAAGUAGGAAAUAUCCACCAACUUGAGAAUAAUUUUCCAAACAAGGCAAUAACUUGCUACCUUCGGUCGUGGAGUAAUGGCUUCAAAACUAUGAAUGAUUGGAACAUCAAAAUUCGGAGGUUCUAGAACAAUAUAUGCACCUUUGUUUUUGUAUCUUUCCUCAGUGGCCUACAAGGGAAAAACAAUAAGAAAACUAGUUCUCAUUUCAAGUGAAAUAAAAGGUAAUAUAAAGUUUACUCAUUUAUCAAAAAGGUUCCCAACUGGAACUUAGGGAAGGCUGAAAGAUAGACAGAUUGGCCCAUGUAGAAUAAUUGCUAAAUAUGAGCCAAAUGCCUACAAGAUUGAGUUGUCUGAAGGGUUCAACAUCAGCCCAAUUUUUAAUAUUACUAGUUUACUGUUUUAGCUUACUGUUAUAGUUUAUUAAAACUACUUAGUUAGUUACAAAGUAACCAACUUGUAUUACUUUUCCUCAAUAAAUAAACACCUCUCGUAUUGAGAGGCAAGAUAUUCAUUCAUUCAAAAAAUAGUCUUUGAUAUUACACCAUAUUAUAUCACUGACACUGAUUUUUUUAUUGCCAAGUUGAUGGAUAGAAAACUUAUCCCUUCAAGCUGAGUUUAAAUAGACAAAAGGGAAGAACUCAAAAGAAAUACAAAAAUUAAAAACAAUCUAUGUCAUCCACUCUACAAAGAGAUAAAGAUCCGGUCAAUACCUGAAAUUGUGGAUAGUCUGGAGCACUAAACAAAGUAAUCAGCUUCCCUGAAUCUACAACAUGAUCUAUCGUGUAACCCUGAUCCAUUCCUGCAAGACCGGGUCUCUUUUCUCUAGCAUCAGGACCUUCAUGGGAUCUGAUAAUUAGCUAGACAACCGAAAGGAAAAGGUUACAAACUGAUUGUUCAGACAAUUUGCUUUAUGUUAUAAAAUACGUCUAGAGUAAUGUUGGAGCGUCCAACAGUAUAUGCUACGUUAGUUGACAGAUGGAAAGUUAGGAAGUUGGACAAGUUUUUACUUGUUAGUUAGUGAGUUCGGGUGUACCGUGUACAACAUGACCUGUAUCAGUCCUUGUUUUCUCUAUUUCUGUCGACUUUAGAAUUAAAGCACCAAAUUCACCAUGUCAAAGAGAUGGAACAUGAAAGGGGAAUCUAUGAAGGAUAGAGUAAAGUCAGCUGCAGAAGAGAUUAAGAAGACAAAAUACAGAAGAAAAAAAAAGAAUGGAAAUGGAGAGGGGAUUGCAAUACUCUUGGAACGAUGGAGAAGGAAACCAGCAAGCAACCAAAAAACCCUAGAAGGCUAGAAGAACCAUAUCAUGAGGCUUGAUCUAUACGUUAAGCUUCUAUAUCUAUAAGAACAGUUAAAAGGAGAAGAAAGCAAAACAUACUUAUCCUAAAAGAUAUAUAGAAAUGGAGAAGAAAAAAACUUUUUUGUUAAGAAAAAACAAAAGAAUACACAGACAUUAAAAAAACUAUCGGGCCUAUACAAGAAGGGGCUCUAAGCAAGAGAAAUAAGUCCAAGCGAAUAAUUACAAAAGAGCCUAGAAACAAAGAGCCAAAGAUAAGCAUAGAAUCUAACAAGAAACCAAACAUCAUCAAAAAAACUAUUGAGCCCACUAUUGGUUCACCUAACUGCCACAAAGCAAACCCUUCAUCACAGAAGGGCAGAUGAAGGAAAAGCUCUUCAAAUGCCUCCCUACACUAUCAUGGAGAAGCCUUCGUAUCAAGGGUCCACUGCCACUAAUCAAUCUCCUCUUCCGGAAGGUAGCAUCUCCCAUAUUGUUUAGGAUAUCACAAGUCAAGGAGGUUCUAAUGAUUGAAAUAUAGGAGGGAUGGAAUGCCAGAUGGAAUAUUAUUAAAAGAAUCAACCUUAACAAUAAUGAGUUGGAUUAAUUCCAAUCUCCAUGGAAGAGAAGGUAGAAGUUAGUUGGUGUUCGGUAUUCCAUCUAACAAGCUCAUCCACAUUCUCAUGAGAUACUUCGUCUUUGGAUUAACAAACACAAGAUUAAUUUUGAACCCCAAAAGGAAAAUAGUGAAUGUAAUACGGAAAGGCAACCAGAAAAGGUGAAAUCUUUUACUUGAAGUAUUUGCCAUGAAGUCUUAACAUAGCCUAAAGGUUCCAAUAAAGAAGAUGAAGCGUGAAUCUUGGUCCAUCUCAGAGUGUCUUUUGCUAGAGGGAGGAGGAAUAGAGGAAGAAAUUAAUGUGUUUCUUCCCAAUGCAACUGGGAAAGAUUGAUGUAAAUAAGAACAAGAGAAUCGUUAUAAAAUCGUCUAGAAACAAGGAUGAAAAACAAAGAAUCUAUUAAGGGUCCAAACAUCAAAAUAAGAACUCACGCCCUCUAAAAAUUUUGAUGUUUCUCGGUCUCUGAAGGCCCACAAAGUAGCUCAUAAUCCGUAUUAAUACAGAUGGCUUAGUUGUUGAUGUCACAUAUAAUCAGCUUGGAUCAGACAACACUCAUGCUUUUAUGCAAAUAAAGAUGGCUAACAUAAACCUGGGCGCAGUCCAAGCAACAAAACUUAAAUAGUCGAGUGACUAUAUACUUCUAUUUAAUAUUUCAAACAAGUUUUGGACCCACUGACUGCCACCGGUAAAACUUAAUUCAUUAGCUAAGAAUUGCAUUAAAAAUGUAUCUCUGACAAGAAACGCUUUUAUAGAUGACAAGAAAUAACCAAAAAGGAGGAAAAAACUCAAGCCCCAAACCAGGGGAGGGUUGUAUUAAAAUAUAUCUUUUAAAGAAACAAUAUAGAUGUCCUGAUUCAAACACACACACGCGUUUUAACAUCUAAAAUAAACUAAGGAAGUGUUUGUUAUAGUUACCUUCAGAUCGAAUUUUUUCAAGAAUUCUUCAGUGCAAUCAGGACCCCACAAGAGACCAAUGCCCCUCUCUCUAUUUGGGGAGAGACCAGGAUUCAUAGAAGGAUCAGACCACAACACAUCGCCCGGAAUUAAAUUCAAGCCUUCCCAUGGGGGAUCAAGAACAGAUCUUCUGGCUUUGGAUAGCUCCUCCAAAGAACCAAGAGAUAACCCGUUGGCUUCCGGAUUUAAGAUUAUCCUACGAUUUUUUUUUCCUUUCGAUCUUUUAGACGAAGGAACUGAUAUACUGCGGAAAAGUCCUCCAUGAGCCGUAUAUACACAUCCAGCAAUAAUGGAGGCUAAAGGCAGCCCUUCGAAACACCCCAAACACUUCCGAUAGACGUGCUUACCUCUGUCUCCAUACUUGGCUAGCACCUCCUUCUCAAAACCAUAAACGGAUGUGCAGUACUUGGAUUCGUGGUUUCCACGAAGAAGAAAUACACGAUGUGGCAUAAACACCUUUAGACAUUAUGGAGCAGAAUUUAAUCAAAGGAAAACCACCUGUUCAAGGCAAAGAAAGACUAGAAAGUAGCAAGGAUAAAUGUGAUGCAAUGUUUUUCUUUUACAGAAGGGCAACUACUUCUAGGCUGAGAUAAUAGAGAUUGGACAGAGACUAGAUAGAGAAGAUUAAACAGCAGGCCACAUGCUACUGUACGCAUAACAUAAAAAUCCCGACGAUGCAGGGAACAUGGUUACAUGAAUGAUUAAAAGUAAAACUGAUGUUCAAAAAUACCUUCCAAGCCAAUAAGAGCAAAAAAGUUUCAAGACCCCAAGCCCCUCUGUCGACGUAGUCCCCAUUGAAGACAAAGAAACGGUUUUCAGAAGGAAAACCAGCAUCCUGCAGAAGAAAGAGGAGAUCAUGAAAUUGACCGUGGAUGUCUCCGACGACGACUACAGUGGAGUCGCUGCUGGGGGGUGAAUCUUGGAGGAUUUUGAGGCAAUUGGGUUCUUUGUGGAGGAUUUUAGAAGCGGUGAGGAUUAGAGUGUCGAAAACAGAGACGGGAAGGACGGAAGGAAAGUGGGAUGGAGGUAAAUUUUUGGAAGACCAGUCGAAGGCGGCGAUUAGAUGGUGUAUCCACUGGAGGGAAAGGGUGGCAUCGGGAGGCCAAGAGAGAGGUAAGUGAAUCGGAGGUGGAGUGGAAGAAGGUGAAGAUGAUGUGCAGGGAUUUUCGUCAGAUUCAGAGAGGGUGGAGGAGGUGGUGGUGGAGGGUAGAUGAUCGAAAGGAGCCGGAGUAACAUCCGUGGGAAUCGGAUUGGGCGACGCUGAAGAAUCCAAAUCCGGAAAAUGCUUCGACGACAUUGUUAUUUUCUUCGUCGUUGAAUGAUGAGAGAUGUAGCAAGCCCUAGCAAUGGCAGCGCCUCCAUUUCUAUACUAUUUUAUUUUUUUACACUUAACUACUGCCAUGCCACCCGCGCGCCAGCUCCUUUUGCACUCCACUGUCCCAUUAAUUAGGCAUCACCAUUGCCAUAAUAUGCUGGCCGAAAAGUUUUCAUUAAACCGAGCCCAUCUAUCGAACCCACCACUCGCAAUGACCCUAUUCAAAAUUAAACUCUAAUUUAAAUCAGUGAGUUUUUAUAAAUUAAAAUAAAAAUGACCAACUAUUUACCAAUAUAAAAAAUAUAUAAAAUUAUUUAACUAUUAUUUUUUAAUGUAAAUAUUUUAUAAAUUUAUUAUUUUUAUAAUUUAUUAAGAAACAUUUUUAAAAACAAUAAAAUAAAUUAAAAUGUCUACCCGCUGUACCAAAAUAAACAAAUAAAUUUAGAAGAGUGUCAAUGAGAGCAGAUCACCAAAAUAAAAUAUAUUCUCCACAUAUAAAUAUAUAUAUAUUCCAUUUGCACAUAUAAAUAACGAUAUCCUGCGUGAAGUUGGGUUAAACUUUUCAAAGCAUUUCUUUUCAGACGAGACAGACAACCGGCGGAAGCCACCAAAAAAGAAGAUUAUAUUCCGGAUCGAUUUUUCAAUAUGGACCCUAUCACAUAUGAGAGGAUUACGCGGCGGCAGAGGCGGUCCUGCAGAGGCUUCCGGCUCACCUCCAGAAGACUGUCGGUGUCAAAGCUGCGGUCCAAAUUCGGGUGGCUGUUGCGUAUCUUAAAUCGGUGGCGGCGCUCCAUUGUUGAGAUUAAGAAGAGCGGAACAUCAUCAAAAGGUUCUUCUAAUUCAGCUGCGCAAGCUGCGAAGCUCAGGUCCUUCCGCCGCUCCAACUCCUUCUACGCCGAAGCCAUUGCCGAUUGCUUGGAUUUCAUCAAGACCACCUCCUCCUUCUCAACGCCUCCUUCCACUAUACCUACACAUACCUUCUAAUUUUCUAGCUUUUUUUCUUCUUUUCUUUAUCGCAUCCCAUAUGGUAUAUUAUAUUAUUACUGGCGAUGGUUUAAUCCUUUCCUACACAAUCAAUUGAACAUACUUCUUCACCUUACUCCUAAUACUAUCUAUCAAUUAUCAUCAUAAUACAUCAUUUAUUUUAUUUCAGCUUCUAAACUAUAAACAUUUCAACUAAAUUUGAAAUACCCAAUUUAAUUAUCAAAUUAUUUAUGCAUCCAUGUUUUCACUUAUCAUUAUCCCAAUUAAAAAUCUCUCGUUUGCUCGUCCCCAGGCCCAGAUUGUUGUUCUACGCUCUUCUACUUUUAAUUAUCUGCCAUUGAAUUUUAAUUUUAUUUGCAUCACUUGCAAUGAGUAUAGUAUUUUAAAAUUAAUAAUUAAAUAUAUAUCUAAACUCCUAUAACGAUUUAAUCUCUUGUAUAUUUACGAAGUGAGAUGAUAUUAAUUUAAAAUAAUAUGGUGGGGGUAGAAAAUUGUGGUUGAGUAUUUAACGAAGAACAAAUUUAAUUAGUUGAGUUUGAGUAGGUGAAAAAGAAAAAUUGGAAAUGGAAAUUGUGAGAAAGAUCCGUGAUUACGCCACCUACUUCAUUUCUAUCUUUUGACUAAUGCGUUGCGUUCCAUCAUUGAAAACAAGGAACCAACGCAGCACUUUCUUCACCUGCUCUUCUUUCAAUCUUUUUUUUUAUAAACAUUUCUUGAUUUCAAUGCUAAAUUGUAAUCACGGCUCUUUUGGUCCAAACUUUAUUUUAAAAUUUUUAAUCAUUUUCAAUCAUUUUUUUUUUACCUACACAUUAACAUACCCCCAAUUUAAAUAUUUUGAUGUAGCUAAGGGUGUGGUAUAUGCUUUAUCGCUACAAUAAUACUUUCGUGCAUUUAAUUUUAAAUAUCUAAAAAGUUAAAAAAAAAAAUUGACAUGUGAUUGAACAACAUGUUAUGUGAUUUACAUGUGUACUCAACACAACAACGAUUUUGUUUAAUAAUGGAAUAUACUACCUUGCAAAGUAAAAAAGUUCACUAAUGAAUUAUUAUGGAGUUGUAAUGAUGGACGGUGAAUAUAUAUAUAUAUGUAUAUUGGGUAGAUAAUUUAUGAUUUAAUUUCUAAUCUUCCUCUUCAAAUUUGGGCUUCUCAAGUUCUCAAUUUUUUCUCUCAGUUACUACGAGGUUGAAGAGGACCCAACUUGUACUUCUACUGGUGAUUCAUUUGCCCAAAUCUAUCAGUGAUAUAUUAUUAAAAUUUUGGAAUAGAUUGGUUAGGAUAGUGUUAAGGAGAGUAUGUCAAAUAAAAUAAGAAAGUUAGAUUGGAAUUUCACGUGGAUCGUUAUGCUUUCAAUCUUUAAAACCCGUUUUUGAAUAAUGAUAUACUAUUGAUAGGUGAAGCCCCAACCAACACCUAAGAAGUCAGCUUAAGAAAGUCAUUUCAAAUGAGGUUCAUUAAUUAGUUAAACAACUUAACUUGAACUCAAAAGGGACAACAAAGACAAGUAUGUAAUCCAUAUUAAUUGCUCAUUGAUUUAUUGGAGUCUAUAUAUUGAUGGAUUUUAAUUUGUAUUUGUAUUAUACAAAAUAAUUAAUAUAUAGAGACACAAAUGAAUUUUCUUCUCAUGGACAUACACAUACACACAUAUGAACAAGGACCAAUAUAACACCAACCAACCUAGAGAGAAAAAUGAAUUCUCUAUUCAUAAACAAAUUUUAAACCACAUAUAUCGAUCAAUUUAUCAACCACAUGUUCAUUAUUUGACUAUUGAAAAUAACUAUCAUCUUAACUUUAGAAGAUUACUCGAUGGAUAUUAAUUAUUGUAAAACGAUCGAGGAAUUAAUAUUCAAAAUUAUUGCUUGAGAACCAUCUUUUUGUGACAUGUCAAAAUAUUGUAACCAUUAGCAAAACAAGGACGAGGAAAAACACAUACUAAAGUUUGGUUGAAAUUAAAACAUUAAUUAAGAAGGAAAAAGGAGAUGAUGUUUUGAAUAAAAACAGUGAUAUCCUAAUUAUCCAAACAAUUGUAUAGUGUGGCAUAGAGAAAAGAUAAAAGAGAAGCGUAUAUGAAGUCUAAUAUCCAAAAGAUUUUAACCCUAAACCCAAAGUUAGGUCAUUUGACAAAGAAAAAAGAUUAAGAAACCGGAUGAAUCAAAUUCACUCUUAUAAAAUUACCAUACAUAUCAUGAUGAAAAUACCAUGCGACGUUUGGGGCAAGUUACGGAGUUGGUUAUCAAAGCUCAAAAUUAUUAUAGUAGGGUUAUAAGAUUUUUUAUUGUUUGAAGUUAUAUAUUAUUUAAGUUCAAGUUAGUAUGUGUUUGAGGUUGUAAGGUAUUUUAGUUUGAUAAAAAAAAAUACAUAUUUUUUCAUUUUCCACUUCUUCUAUUUUGUAUGUUGUCUUCCUUCUUCUCUGGCGCUUUUCUUCUUAUUUGUUUUUCAAAUUUUUAUUUGUUAGGCAGUUUUUCCCCAUUUUUUGUGUUUCUACUAUAGAACAAAACGAAGGAGCGAGAAGCGGGAGAUCGAAGUGAAAGGAAUCAUAUGAACAAAGUAAAAAUCAAAGAGAAAAAAUUAUUGUUGCGUUUGAUAAGAAACUGGAAACAGAAAACUAAAAUAAUAAGUUAUAACAAAAAUCUAGUAAGAGAAACUGAAUCACAAAAUUAUCAAAGAAAAUAAUAUUUGCCAAGGAACUAGAAAAAGGAGCUAAAAACUAAAAAUAUAAAAUAUAAAGGAAGAAAUGUUCAAUGAGGAACUAGAAAGAGAAGUGUCAACUCGAGGCCUUCACCACGGUUUGAGGACAAGAUGAUACUUUCACACGUGACUGACAUAAACAAAAUGUCAUUUUCAAGCAAAUUUAAAUCUUGGAUUAACUUUCAUUUGGGCUCAUUCGAACAAACUUUAUUCUUUCGGAGGAUGAAGUGUAAUCAAGAUUAUUGAGAAUCUAAAAGAUGUUAGGAUGAGUGAUUUAUCAAUGGCAAAACAAAAAUGAUGAAAUAAAGAGUUGAAUCGAGGAUUGUCGGAAUGAAAUAAGUUUGAUAUUACAAAUGGGGUCCAAAAUGCUUAAUCAAACACAUGAAUCUUGGAAUAUAUGACAUUACAAACGCAUCCCACUUUAGUCCACAAACAACUCUUAUUAGAACUUGCACACUUAAAAGAGUAACUUCAUCUUUCCAUUUUUUAUACCUUUCACACCUACCAAGAAAACUCAAUCUUACUCUCUAUCUCUACUUUAGCAUUUGCCAAGUAAAUUUAUCUUACUUUCUCAAUCUAUUUUUCACAACUAUUAUUAAAUUUAAUAUUUAAACUCUACACCCUAAACACAAAUUUACCAAUUUCAACGUAUUAACCCCUCAAUUACUAACUCAAUUAGCGGGCCAAAUGCCCCACAAGGACGUAUAGGUCUUAUUUGGUUAUUGGUUGUGUUGAAAGGUUUAAGGAAACGAUAACUAGAACAAUUAUCAAAAGAGCUUUUUUUAAAAAAAGAAAAAAUUUCAAAACGUGCUAGUUAUAAACUUUAAGCUUGAGAAUGAUUGCUUGAAAAACACAAAAAAAAAAAAAAAAAAGCUUUAUUCAGUCUUAAAAUUUGUUGGUUUAUGCUUAAUUUAUGAUAUUUGAUGUUUUUAUUCAUGUUUAAUUUUAAGAAAUCCAAUGCUUGGACCAACACAAGCAAUUUCCAGAGUAAAAUGAUCAAAGUACCCUUUAGAAAGUCAAAAUUCGACUUGGAGCCAAAAAAAAGGUGAGGAAUGCGGGUACGACAUGCUGCAUCAUAGUUAGGUCAUAACUUUUGAUUCAAGGCGACUGUUUUGGACGAAUGAUCCAUCGUUUUCUUUAUUUUUCAACCUCUAUCUAGACCUUGCAUUAGUUUUGAGCUUUGAUUACCGAUUUUGGAAAGACUUAUGAAAGUUUGAUUAGGGCCUCCAUCGAGAGUCGAUUUUUGGACCUAGAUGACAAUUUGGAACUUCAAAUGAGUGGAGAUAUAUACGAAGGAAACACAAGAGUAUAAGUAUGAUUCAUAUUUGAGGACGAUAGUCAAGAGCCCAACUUGUAUCUCCUUUCCUCUUUAUUUUGUUAAUUUUAUAUGUACUUAGAAACAUCGUGAAUAGUUUACGCUUGUUAUGUAUCCAUGAAUAAAAAUAGUGGAUAUGUCUUAGGAGGGAUGAUUUAGCACGUUGUUUGGGUUGCAAGAACCUUUUUACUUUUGUUUGUUUGAUAUUUUUUUUUAUUUGCUUUUAUUAGUUUGGGGAUGACUAUAAUUCUUUUGCAGUCAUUUUGGUUUUCAUGUAAGUUUGAAAGGAUGUAAGUCUUUGUUGGAUAAAAAGAUAAGCAUGCCUUGUUUCACACUAUAGGCAUAAUUCACAGAGUAUUAGGAAGGGUUAUGAAAUGGAAUAAUGGUGAUGGCUUGAACAACUUGGAAUAAUGUGAAAUCAAAGGAUAAGCAUACCUUUUUUGACACUAUAGGCAUAUUUUUAAGCUAUAUGUUUGAAUUAAUAACAUAAAGCAUUGGGAUUUAAACCUAAAAAGAAAAAGGGUAAAAAGAAAAAUAAUUAAAGAAAUCAGAAUGAGCAGAGGGCUUGGCUGUGGAGGGAAUGAGAAUAAUAAUAACGAUAAUAAAAGAGGGUUGAAUACCAUUCCAAGCUUACUGCGAAAAGCGCUCUAUUCUAUUUGCCGCGCCUCUGCCCCUCCUUCUCCAAUAUCUUCCGCUCCCAUCUCCUCCAAGUCAACGACCUCAACAUCAAUGGCGGAUGCUACCGAGACUCUUAAAACCAAGGUUUGCGUUAUUGGGAGUGGCCCUGCUGCCCACACUGCUGCCAUAUAUGCCGCCCGUGCCGAGCUCAAGCCUAUUCUCUUCGAAGGAUGGAUGGCCAACAACAUCGCUCCCGGCGGCCAGCUCACUACAACAACCGACGUUGAAAACUUCCCUGGAUUCCCCGAAGGCAUUCUUGGCAUCGAACUCAUGGACCAUUGUCGCAACCAGUCGCUUCGCUUUGGCACUCAGAUCUACACCGAGACCGUAACCAAGGUCGAUUUCUCAUCCAAGCCAUUUAAGGUCUUUGCCGAUUCGAAAACCGUCCUCGCCGAUUCUGUGAUUGUCGCCACUGGUGCGGUUGCCAAGCGAUUGACAUUUCCUGGCUCCGGUGAAGGGAAUGGGUUCUGGAAUCGGGGUAUUUCGGCUUGCGCUGUCUGUGAUGGAGCUGCGCCUAUUUUCAGAAACAAGCCCUUGGCGGUCAUUGGGGGCGGAGAUUCUGCCAUGGAAGAAGCCAAUUUCCUCACCAAGUAUGGCUCCAAAGUGUAUAUUAUCCACCGAAGAGACACUUUCAGAGCUUCCAAGAUCAUGCAACAGCGCGUCUCCAGCAACCCUAAAAUCGAGGUGAUCUGGAAUUCGGUGGUUAAGGAAGCUUAUAGCGACGCUAAUGGGCGAGUCCUGGGAGGUCUGAAGGUCCAUGAUCUGAUCUCCGGAAAGGUUUCUGAUUUGGCAGUUUCCGGAUUGUUCUUCGCUAUUGGUCACGAACCAGCCACCAAAUUCUUAGAUGGACAACUGCAACUCGAUUCUGAUGGGUAUGUGUUGACGAAGCCAGGGACGACGCAUACCAGUAUCCCGGGAGUCUUUGCUGCUGGCGAUGUUCAGGACAAGAAGUACAGACAAGCUAUCACUGCCGCUGGUACAGGUCAGUAAAAAUGUUUCUGCUUUCCAUAAUUAUUUUCCUUCUUCCUUGUGCCUGUUUGUCACCAGACAUGGCCAUAAGUGAGGUAAAAACUUCAAGAAAAAUACAUAUUAGAUUUGAAGAUGAAUGUGUAUUAGAUUAUGCAACAAAAAGUUUACUCCGAACUGUCUAUAUCCAAGUCUAUUGCAAAUGUUGCAUUUAGUUUCUAAUAUAUCUGAUAAAAUAUAGAAAAAUGAAAUGAUUGAGGUCCACGAGAACGAACUUCCAAACACUUGGUGCCUGUGUCUUGAGGCGUUAGGGACACCGCCAGGCUAAAGCUUUUCCUCAUAAAAACAUUGCUUGAGUGAAACAAUGUUUUGCUAUUUUAUUUGUAAAAACGGAUACACACGUUCAAAUAUUUAGUGUACUUGAAUACAUAACCUAAAUUGUGAAGGACAGGGAGCACAUAACAUCAAUUUUACCUCCUAGGAACUGUUUAACAAGACAUGCAUACUAGUUGAUCUAAAUAGGAGAAGAUAAAGAAUUCUCUCCCUAAUUUAAUCAGGAUAUGAGGUCCGAUUAGCCCAAAUAAUGGUUAGCAAGUAAUUUAAGGAGGCUGCAUGUGUUGUGCACCAUGAAGCCUUAGAAUAGGUGGUAAUUUCCCGAUCAGUCUCGAAAUUUGUCUCUAACCGUUGGAGAGCUGCUUCUAUCCCUUUUAAUCCAAAUUAUCCAGAAAAUACAAGUCACUCACGUACUUCCUCGACUUCAUCGUGUGUGAAUGUGUAUGGAAGAGGGAAAUUCAUAAAAUAAUUAAUUUUAAAGUUAUUUUAGAAACAACUUUUAUCAUUGAAAAAAAAGUGAAAGAAUACAAAGGCAAAUUAAAAAAACAAGCCCAACAAAAAACAGUCCCGCCAAAGGAAGGGGAUGAAACUAAGAUUAAUGUUUUCUAGCGAAUAGUUAAAAAAGAGGAAAAACUUCGAAACCGUGUGGUGAAAGGGGUGAAAAGCACAGACCGUCCUUUUUUGUUGUACCGGUGUGUGCCUUUAAUUCCAAAGAACCCACUAAGAUUAAUUUUGAGGUUGUUUCAUUGUUAUAACAUUUAAGUCCAUAUCAAAAGAAAUCCUCCACUAACAUUUUAAGUCCAGAUCAAAAGAAAUUCUCCACUCGUUUCCUCUCUCCUUUAUUAUUUCCAGAACGUUAUAUAUCUUAUCUGCUCAUGCCUCUGUGGACACACUUGAGAUAAACGUAUUGAUCACAACUUGGCCAAACCCUACUGGGACUUUGCUUCUACCUUUUCCAAUUUCUCUUCGUGAAGGGAAGCACUUCUACUUCUCCCUUUCUUCCCGAUGCACAAGGAGGUAUAGGAGGGAAAUUACUUUAGGAUGGAGAGAAAAAGGUGUGAGCGUGGAAUUGUGUAGCAGGUAUUUGGGCAAUAUAUUAUUUAAUGGUGUGGAAUUGUAUAGCGUCGCCCCAAAGAGGAUUCUAUUAUUAGGCCUAAAGUGAAAUGAAAAGCUAACAUGCUUAAAUCCCAUAUGAAGAACUCUAAAUAAUAUUGGAUGGGUUUUCAUGGCUAUAUUUACGAGGAGUUGCUAAAAUAUUAGUGGAGCCGCGCUUCUUUGAACGUGCAGAUGUGACAGUGAACCUGAUUCAUGAUUGAGAAGUAGGAGCACUGAAUUAUAUACAUAUGUAUUAUUAUUAUUAUUAUUCAUGGCAGUGAAAGUUAUUUGUCGAAGUUUAGACAAUGGGACUUACCUCAUUUUAAAUUUAGUCCCCUGUUCCUUUUCCUUGUAAAAAAAAAGUUACUUUUGUUCGAAAAUCAUGUCUUUCUUUCACUUGUCCUUCAUAAAGGUUGAUCGAAUGAAGUUGCUUCCUUUCCUAAUAUUUAUUUGCUGUGGUACAGGUUGCAUGGCAGCAUUGGAUGCGGAGCAUUACCUGCAAGAAAUUGGUUCUCAAGAGGGGAAGAGUGAUUGAUGAUAGACUUUGCCUGGGUUUCUCAAAGUUGGCCGUAGAGAAUUUGAAGACAAAUGGCCAAAUGUUAAGAACGACUGUGGAAGGGAAAGCUUGUUAAUUAUUGAUUUUGGGGAGCUUAUGGGGAGGGAUUGACGGGAAAUUGUUAUAGUAUUUUGGAAGAAGGUUAUUCAAGAUAACCUUUAACUUGUGCACUGGAUUUGUGGUGGUUGGUUUAAAAUCUAUUGCAGGUUUGGGGAGUAAGGUUUGAAAGUGUAAACUUGGUUUUCAUGCUUUGUAUUAUUUCUUACAUGGGAUAAUUUUAAAUAACAUUUGGAUCACCUUUUUCUUAAUUUAGAGACUUUUAAGACACUUUGGAGAUGAAAGACUCGUAUGUAGUUUUUCCCAAAAUCUUCUUCGAAAUUUCCUCCCAUGAGCAUUCAACAAGAAGUGACACCUCCUGUUGCAUGAACUCCAUAACAGUGGACAAGGGAAUUUGACAAAUGUAAAACGGGAAAAAGAUAGAGUUGAUGAAAAUUUCACUGAGCGCUCCAGAGCAUCAUUGAACACUACUUUUCCUUCUCCUUCACCCCUUUUAUUUUUGGCUUCAUUUUAUAUUCUCUUGCAACUUUUCUUCUCGCAAUUCCCUUGCCCACCGUCAGUCACCCAUCUCUCAGAAUAUGUUGACAGUAGCUUGGCUCAAGCCAAACCUAAGCAGGUGGUACCACACACGUUCACAUGAAAAGAGUCAAAAUAUGUAUGUUAUUGAUAGAUUAUAUAUGCUAACUAGUUAUUGCAAGUGAGUGCAAUGAUAUUUGUCACCCAUUACAUCAUAAUAGGUUAGUGUAUAUAAGUUCAAAGUUAAAAUUUAAUGAUGUAAAUCCGUCACCCUCGUCUACUUAGCAUGUGCUCACCUAAUGGUCUCAUAUGGUUGGGUUACGACUGACUUUACUAAUUAGACAUUUUAUGGCUUGAUUUAAUAAUUUUGCAAAUCACAACUCAUUCUUCUCACCUACUUUUACAUAUAGUUGAAUUGCAACCUACCUCAUUUCUAUUAAGUUGGACGCACUAUGCACAUGUCAAUGAAUUUUAGCCUUACAUUAUACAAACCUAUUACUCCCACUUAGUUGGCCCAAGUUCUAUAUACAAUCACAUGAUGGUUUUAGGUUUCUUCCAUUAGAGCUACAAUCAACAAUAUCUUACACAUGAUUGAAUCUAUUCAAGUUGGAUGACUUGUCAUUUUAGCACUAGCUUAUCACUUUGUGUAGUCAAAUGACCUAAUUAGCCAUCACAUGCUAGUAAAAUUCAACUUGAUUACAUAACUUCUUAGCUUACAAAUCAUGGCUAAAUUUUGAAGGUUUUAUAUAUGGAUCACAUUUCUAUAUUACACUCCUAACUUUUUGUGUAGUGUUAGCUCACAAAACAUUCAAAUUUAAUGUCGUAAGAUUUAAAUAAAGUAGAGAGAUGCCCCUUGUAUUGGUCAACAAACGAAUCCCCUUUAGAAUUAUAUAUAUAUAUAUAAUAGGUAGAAUUGUCUUGGGAGGAAUAAUAAUGAAUUAGCUAAGUAUAAAAUUAUAAAUAGAUGUUUGAUUGGCUCCAAGCCAAUGAGUGGUGUUAAGACAUUAAUGCCUAUAUCUAUUUUUCUUUGUGUGGUCUAAGAAUUUUGUUUUAUAAAAUUUGGGAACAAUAUUGAUUAAUUAAAUAUACCAAAUCCAAAGAUGCUCUAUUUCUCCUCCAACAUUAAUAAUUAAUAAUUAAACAUCCAAAACCAAAAACUUUACCAUUUUAAAAUUAAUUUAUGAGAUUUUUUUUGUUCUUAUUGUUAUAAAAUAAUAUUUUACAUAAAGCUUGCUUACAAAAUAUAAUGUUGGGCAUUUCAAUUUUACAAAAUAUAACAAUAAUUUUAAUAACUUCCAUUUUUUUUUCUCUUUUCAUCCAACAAGUGGAUUUAGGAGAAUUAAAAAAAAAAAAUCAAACUUUUGAAUUGCAGUGACUCUUUUCAACAAUUUAGUCUCAAUUAUCAUGUUAUGAUUUGUAUAAAGUUUUUAAAAUGUAAUUUCAAAUCAUUAAUUUUUCCAUCCACCACAGUAUUUGAUAGGAUGUUUUUAUAGAUAAACUGACAAUAUACUUAUUUAUUAUUUAUUUUUUGAAGCAAAUGGCAAUAUAUACCUGAAAAUAUAGACAAUAACUAAUAUGGGUGCAAUUGCAAGUCACUUCAAUUUCCUAUGUAAUAUUUUGAAUAGAUUGUUCUUUUUAUAAAUUAAAGUGAGACUAAAUCGAAAAGAACUAAGUUAUGUGAACCAAAAUGCUAAAAGUGAUAAAGUAGAUGAACGAAUAAGAAUCCUCUUAACUCAUGCAACUUUAUUCUUUUCUUAGUAAAUAGAAUCUAAGUUUAGUUAUAAUAUAUCUUAUAUUUGUACAGGAGAAUAACGAGAAGGGUUCUUUUUUUUUUUUUGUUAGUGUAAACAUUUGGAAAUUUUAUUUCAAAUAAAAAAGAGUAGUUUGUAGGGUGAAGAAAAGAGAUAGAAAUGAAAAAAAAAAAAAAAAAAGUUGAAACCAUCCAAGCAAGGAAUUAUCCAAAAAUAUAUAUAUAUACAAAUACAUAUUCACAAAAAUUAUUUGAAUUUGUUAAUGAUUAAGAUAAAAAUGCUAAUGAUUAGGUGACAUUAAUAGCCAUCAUUUAUCUCAUGGUAAUAAAACAAAUAAUUUAAAUUCUCUUUUAAAAAAAUAAAAAAAUAAGUUUUAAUUUGGCAGUUAAUGGACUGACUAAAGAUAACCAAAUAUUUUUCUUUAAAGAAAUCAGGAGUAAAAUUACCUAUUUAUGGAAAACCUAAAUAAUUUUUCUUUAAUUCAAAGUAAAUUUAUGUCUGUCGAAUUUUGAAAAAGGAAUUUAAGAAAUUCAUAAAUUAUAAACUUUGAGUUGAAAAACUAAUUGUAAUAUUAAAAGCAAAAUAUGUAACAUUGAUCAAUUAGAGUAAAACAAAUGGUAGAAUGCGUACAAAAAGAGAGAGAAAAGAAAAAGGAACUUUGAUAGAGGAAGGGAUGAUCAUCAGAAACAGCAUGAGAGGGUAAUGAAGGUACUGGCAGUAUAGAAUUUAGAAUUUACAAGUGCAGUUUUUUUAAUGAAGGGGUUUUUUUCUUUUAAACAUCAUGAGUCAAGAUUUGUUUUUGUAAUUUUUUUAGAAAAAAAGAAUUCACAAAGAACUGAAUCUUGUGUGUUUGUGAUGAAGCAGAAAGAAAUAGAGAAGGUGAAGUGAAGCUAAGGUUUUGUUAAGUCAAGGCAAAAACCCCAAACCCCUGUUGUUGUUGUUGUUGUUGAUGUUAUCUUCCACUUCCUCCUCCUCGUUGUUGUGAGCACCGCCGCCUUGUACAUCCGCCGGAAACUGGCCGCACUUCUGACAUCUGGCCACUACCAGUAUCUGACGGCAAGAAGGGCAGGAGGAGUGGGUACCUAGCCACGUGUCUACGCAACUGACGUGGAAGCAAUGCCCGCACUGCGGCAACUGUCGGAUCUCCUCCCCCUCCAAGAACUCCGCCAGGCAGAUCGCACAUUCCGCCGCUAUUUUCCCAUCUCCCACCGUUGACUUGUACCUGAAUUUCGGAAGCGACUGCAGUAUCUUCUUCUUCAGUCCUCUAUUCGCCGACGCCUGAUUUCCACGGCGGAGCCAGGCGCACCGAGCCACCGCUAUCAACCCUACCAUACAAAUUAGGGCACAGAGCAAAGCCGCGAGAAUGACCACGAAGUCCGACUCCAAGGCCACCGCUUCCGGUGGAGGCGCCGACGAAGUAUUUGCGGUGAGAGCUCUGAUAUAGGGAGACAUGAGACAGAGGGUUGAGAAGAGAAGGGAUUGGGGUUUGGGGAUUGAGGAUGGAGCAGUGAGUGCAAGUAAUAUUGUGUUGAGGGUUUCUUUCUUUCUUUCUUUUGAGGGAAAAGAAGAAACUGUAGAGUGUUUUUGUUGUUAGAAGGGAAAGAGGAGAAGAGGACAACUUGGGAGGUGGGGCCACUCCAUACUUUGGUUCUUUUUUCUUUCUUCUUUUCUUCAAAAGGGUUCUGUGUUGUGCUUAUCUUUUCUUUAAAACUCACUUCAACCUUCUGAAUUCCUUCUAUGUAGGUGCCAUGUAAAAUGUAAUGGACCGAUAUUCUAAUUACUGCCGGAAGUUUGACAUGCCAUUGCCAAAGAGAAUGUGAUCUACUACAAUGCCCACAAGAUUAAAAAAGGCAGUUUAGAAGUUGCUACUGCUAAAUACCUCCAUUAUAUAAAAUCAUGUAAAUAUGUCUUUCUUUUCUUCUCUAUACAUACAUAUUCUUCAUAAAAUGACAACAAAUUCAACAUUUGCAACUUUCCUACCAAACCAAGACUUGAUGCUUUAUGGUACAUUCAUAUUUUCUUUUUAUUUUCUUAGUGGUGAUCCCAAUCAAAACUAGAUCAUAUGUGCAAACAAAUUCUCAACACCUCUACAAACUCUCAGCUAUGGCCACCAAGCUUAUUUAUCCUAGUGUUGCAGGCUUUAUAAAUGAGAACUCAUCUCCUUCUUUAGUUUGAAUUGUACUGUGGGGUUGCUCUGUUUCAGCGAUUUGUUGUAUUUCAUCUCCAUCUUUUACAUCAACAUUAAUCGAUUCACUUGUUGACGCUUGUGUAGGUGUUGCUAAUGGAUCCCCCUCGUAAUCAGAUGACUCAAGGUCCUCAUACGUAGGCACACGUAUGGAGUGUCCUGUAGUUUUAAACCGUCGCAAUGAGUGUAGAGGUGAAGCAUUUGAACUACCUCCGAGGGUUUUAGUUGCUGAGGCUCGUUUAGCCCGCUUCUUCUUGGCCGUUUCCUGCCAUUUCAUGAGUGCCUUUGAUGUCUGUUCAUCAAAGAUGGACCUCUUCAUACCUGAACCCAUCUGCAUUAACCCGUAAACGCCAUCAUGCGACCAACCUUAUGCCUCAUAACAGUAUGAUUGAGUUGGAAAGAAUAGAAGAAGAGAAGAUAACGUAUAUACCUGAUUUACAAGGGCGUAUAUUGGAAGCGUAACAUAGCUGCAUAGAAAUAAUGCUACUACCCUACGAAACCAUAAGCAGAUCCAAACCUUGUGGUAAAAAAGCUCUUUAUAGAAGACAAGAUAAUUGAAGCGUUCAUGGAAGAAAGACUAACUUACCCUAAACCAACUUUUAUAAUUGUAAGGAUGUGACCAUCAAAGAAGCAAGAAUUCAGGCCAAAAGAAUACUGCACAAGCAACCACAUCGUUUAUUGUAGCUUAUGCAUUACACAAACUUGUAAUUGUAUAGAGUCAAAAGAGAGUAUGUUUUGAUUGUCACCUUCAUUAUUGUCUCAUCAGAUAGUUAUUUAUAUUCACAUUGUAUGUGCCUUUAAACAUGACUAAUUAAGACUGUAAUGUUAAUAAGAAACUUCUCAAAGUUCAUGAACCAUAAAUAAAACUUAAUUCCUGGUCAAGGGGUUGAUAUAAAUAAUGGUUAAGAAGAAUACCAGUGUAGACAAAAUAUAGGUGGUCUGGAAUGCAUUCUGCAUGUACCAAAUGAACAAAUGAUCAGAUCAACACCAAAACACACCUUUCUCUAGAUAUAGUCUGAACUGUAACAACUCCUAACCUUAUGUGCUACAUAUGAGAAGUUCCUGUUACCUGAAAUAAAGAAAAAUGCAUGAGAUGAAGAAUCAGUUGAGGGCGGCCGAACCAGAAAUACUUGUCGGAUCCUUGCACGAGUGGAAUUCCCUGGACCACUGCAUGUUUCUCAGAGAUUUCAAGAGCCAUUCUAGUCAAAAUGGCUUGAAGUUUUGAUCCAACGGCUAAGAUUAUCUGUGUGAGGUUAAAACAGACAUCGUCGUAUAAUAACUAACUAGCCAAUCUGGUGAAUUUCACCUCAAGAAAGAGAUUUUCCUUACAAGCAGAGGGAUAAAUGAUGCCCAGAACAAUGUAUGCCAUCCUGAAAAAUGAAAAAGUCUUCUUUAUAAUCAAACUUAUCAAACUGUUCGUGAAGUCAAAAUCAUUAGUUAAAAAUAAAGUUAUCUUACCAGAUAAAUUAAGGAGCAGGAAGAUCACAAAUGACGACCAUAGAAAAGGACUGCCAACAAAAUCAUUAAAAAAGAGAAGUUGAAUCGGCAUAACAAGUUAAAAGAAUUUAGAUGACAGAUUAUUACCUCACACCGACGACUACCUUGAAGUCAUCUUCUAAUGACCUUUUGAUAUAUCUCUGGAAGUUAAAUUUACUUCCAGGUGCUAAAUGAACCUACAAGAGUAUUACAUCACUUUCAAAAAUUUGAAGCUGCGAUCAAUCUAGUGCUUUGCAAUCGAGAAGAUGAGAACUCACUGUUAUGAAUCCAUUGCGUAGCGUCAAGUAAUCAGCCUUACUAACAGACCCAUAAAAUUGCCUGAAGAAGCAACUCUGCAACAUAAAAUCAAAUCUGAGUUAUUUCAUUUUCCCUCCGGUGACUUCAAAUUUCUAUUUGUUGAUGGAAUGUCAAGCUCUCAAAUUCAUAUAAUUGUUAAUGAAAAUCUUGGCAAAUAUAGACAUUAAUAGAAAUUUAGAGAAACUUCUCGUACAAUAUAGAAGAAGAAAGGAAGACGUGUCCAAAAGCUGGUGUGUGCUUUCACAAAAGAUGUCUCGUGAGUAAGCCUAAAUCUUGCAGGAUCUGUACAAAGAAGAAUAACCAAUUUUGGAUCAACAAACAUGUGAAGCUACAAAGUUCAUGCUAAGGAAUUGACAAAUAAACUCUGAUUUGAACCCAUGAGAUAAAAGAAUCACAGUUCAACAAGCGUAAAAUGACAGACCGUUGAAAAACUCAUAGUUAUGCGUUGAAGUUUCCUGCUCCCACUCCUUCCAGCCUCGAAUCUGAGCAGAAACACUUCUGUAAAUAACAAAGCGAUAAAGUAGGCCGAAAUUCACACGGCAAUGAUCCCAAAAGUUAACUACUUGACAUAACUAAGACCAAUUGUCAGACUGGUCAUUUUUCCUGAUUUACUCUAAGUCAUGGCUCAUAUGCUGCAUUUUGCUUUAUAUGGGAUUCAACGCAAAGCACAAUAAUAUGCUAAGUUGAAUUGAAUUAAAGAAAUUCUAGCAAGCUUGCCAUUCCCCAACAGAUAAAAAGUUCUUUCUUUUUUAAGAACGCCUAACAAUUCAAUAUAAAUAUUAUGCAAGGAGAACGAUGUAUUAACACAAUCGCCCCUAAUACUGAUUGCCCAACUGUAGUAACAUAUUAUGUAUUGUUUACAGCGCUUUAGCUAUUGAAAAGAAUUGAUUCAAGUAGUUGCAUGCAAGACUUAAAAUAAAACCAAAACAUAACUUUACCUUUAUCCUUCCAAGUGUCAUUGUGAUAACACUAAAGAGCACAUGAAACACAGCUAAGAAGAAAAUGAGAAUAUGCAACUGAUGCAAUCCAUCAAUGGAUAUAAGAGACACCUUACCCUGUUUGAAAGAAUGAGCAAUGUUAUAGACCUUCCACUAUUUAGCAACACUUAAGUUUGUAAAACAAAGGGUAAGAAGCAUGAGACAGUGGUCUUACAUCCUCACACGAGACAACAUUGUGACCUCCAGCCAAUGAUCUUCGAAUUAGCCAUUGUAGUCUCCGGUGAUGUUCGUCUUCAUCGGUUGAGGCAUUUUUCUCUUCACGGCGACAGGGCAACAUGGAGUUUGCAAUGGCCGGAGGAAUACAAAUUUGGACAAUAUAUGCUUGAGCAAAAGUCAGAAGCAGGGAGAUGAAACCCAAAAUCAUCAACUCUGCAAAAAUUUUAUGGAAUGUCAAUCGCCAUCUCUUGGUUUUUUUUCUUUUUUCUCUCGUAUUCAGAAAGUUUGAUUAAAUGUUUGAUGUACGAAUAUUGUAAUACCCACCAGCCUUAACCUUCUCCAGAGCUUCAUACAGAGAACUCUUGUGCUUUUUUGUCAACCACUAGAGGAACAACAAAUACAAUCAGAAAUGAAUGGCCUAAUUGCCAACAGAACAAAUGGGUGGAUUUGGGCUAUGAAAUUGUUUUCUUAUUUAAUAAAAAAAUAAUAAAGUACACAAGUAUUGCUCGUACUUUUACACCCAAAAGCUUACAAAUAUAAUAUUAUAUCCUCGUUGAGACAAGUGAAAAUCAAAACUAAUCGAGAAAGAAAUAACAUAAAAAAAGUCAAUGAAUUACCGUUCCAAGUUUGUGAAUAACAUUUUCCAAGACAAUGGAAAUAAGAACGAAAAAGAAGCAAACAGCAGCAACAGCCCAGGUGGGUGUGUUAUCGAGAUCCCUGGAGUGGGAACCGCCGUCUCCACCGGACGCGGCGGCGCCAGUCAAUAAAAGGCAGAAGCAAAGACAAAAAACAGACAUAAGAAAGAAGAAGAAGAAGAAGAAGAAGAAGAAGAAGAAAAGGAAUAAAUUUUGGAAAAGUAAAGUGAAGUAGUAAUCAAAGGUGUGUAAAAUGAGGGAUGAAGUUCAACAUUAUUGAAUUGGAUGACCCAAUGGGUGGGACGAUGGAUCCCACCAUCCAUGUGUGAUUAUUUAAUAAUGAGAUGAGAGGUUCCAAUUCAAAUAUUUUAAAACUGCACGUUAAAACUCUAAAAAACAAAGGUUACACAGAUAAAUAAACGGAUCUGCACGCCACCAACGCCAAUUAUACUAUCACUCCAAGUCCAUCCAAUUAAAUGGGCCAUUUUUUUCUGAACAAUAAUUGCAAAGGAAAGACGACGAUGAGAUGUCCAGAGGUUUUGGAGGGGAGACCUCCACAUACCACAUUCUAAUAGAGUAACAGAUAAGAAAAAAAAGGUGGGGCGGGUCCAUUUUGUUUUGUAGCGGGGACGGCUUUAGCUUUGUGAGUUCAUUUAAUCCCAAAUGAAAGAGCUAUCAGCUAUGGGUGUGCCAUAAAAGUCACAAGUCUGAGUUUAUAGUGAUCCAUUUUGCAGUUCCGGUGGCGGAGCCUUCCUUACCUUUCCCCCCUCUUUUUAUUACUCCUCUCCGCCCUCCAGGUUCGCCAUUUUCUGCAUUCCCCACCCCCCAUCCUCUCCUGUUUUUAUUUUAUUUUUUGAUACACACCUACUACUCAAUGCUCAACCAUCAUUAACAUCAUCUUCUUCUUAGUUUACACAUUAAUUCAAACUUUUCUUAUCUUGAAAAAAGAAAACCAAAUCCACUCUGCUUAGUUAAUUACUUCUUUUCUUUUUCAUAUUCAAAUCUACUCUAAUAUUCAAGGUAUGUGAAAUUGUAAGUCAUUUCUUUUAAAUACCAAAGAUCUUAUAUACAAAAUUACAUUUCUUUUUUCUUCUAAUGUUAAUAUUCCAAGCAGACCUAAUUUGGGAGAUUUUUAACAAAAACUGUUCUUCAGUUCAGCUGGAUAAACUUAUAAUUCUUUCUUUUAUGAUUGUUUUUCAAGGAAAUUUUGUAUCUAAUAGUUGAUGAACUUUAAAGUCUAAUAGAUGAUAUGAAGAGCCUCAACGUUGAUAGCUAAAUUCGUAAGUUAACCAAAGUUAGAAAGAUAAUUAGAAAAUUAACAAAAAUAGUACCUUUCUUGUUUCAUAUUUUAAAAGUAUAGCAUCCUUUGAGAAAAUUUAUUUUUUUUCCAUUCCAAGAUUCUUUUCCAAUUGAUCUAAUUCUUCCAAGGAUUUAUCACAAGUCCAUCGUCGAAAUUGAACUAUAUAAUGCUUACAUAGUAUGAUUUCAUAGCAACUUUGCCUUCGUUCAUUGAUUAUGCAAUAUUAAUUUGUGUAUUAAUUAAAAAAAGUCAACGUUUUUGUAUGAUCUCAAAUCAAAUAAAACUUUAGAACACAUAAAUCCUAACAAAGAUUCUCGUAGCAAAUUUGAUCGGAGAAGAGUUGGCUUCAAUUUCAAAUCUUUAACAGAAAAACUAACUCUCUAGAUGCAUUUCACUUAGAGAAACUCUUUAAUGGUGAGAAAAACAAAAUUAAAAGUUCUUACAAUCCUGAUAUUUUGAAAUAUAAAACAAAAAAAAAAGAUGGUUUCCUCAAUCUUUCAAUAAAGUUUUCUUUUUUACAAAAAUAUCACAAUAAUAUAGGGAGUAGGGACCGCGUUUUUCACAUGGUGGCUUCGCUGGGCCCUUUUUGUAUAAUAAUUAAUUCCUUUCCACAUAUACAUACAUAUAGACAUGUAUGACAAAUAAAUAUAUAUAACAAAUUAAAUCAAACUAGGGGGCUGUAAAAUCUUUUUUCUUCAACCUAGCUAGUUCAUGAGUUUUAAUUAAAAACUUUAACUCCAAAUCUAUUAUGAUAAUGUGAGAAGUGAUUCUAAACAACUCAAUAGAUUCUAGGCACUAAUUGACAAAAAUGUUCAUAUCUCAGUUUGUUAAAAGUAUCAAUAACGACAUAUCAACUUUCAGGACAAUAUAAUUGAUAUAUACUUUAUAAAUUUAUUAAACAUUUAGAAAUCUGUAGGAAUCAAGUAAAUUAAAAACUAACUUUGUAUUGUGUUUUAUAUAUUUUGAAUGGAAGGAAUUAAGGUAGGUUAAGGAAUUAGAGAUGGGGUUGUUGUCUUUAUUGGAGGUGGCAUCCAUGCCCAAUAUACAACUCCUCCUUAUUUCUUUAUUGGGAGCUUUCUUAGCCACUGAUUAUUGCAACAUUCUUCCUCCCCAUGCUACAAAGUCUCUUAAUAAGGUAUCAUUAUUAUUAUUUCAUUCUAUAUUAACUCAUUCCAUUGUAUAUAUGUAUGUAUAUAUAUUCUGAUUAAUUGUUUUGUUAUUACUGCAUGUGCAGAUUGUGUUUGCUGUUUUCACCCCUUGUCUCAUGUUUGCAAAUUUGUCCAAAACGGUCACCUUUCAGGACAUUAUUUCAUUGUAAGUUAAUAAACUUUUCCUUUUGUUAAAUUUAAUAUAAUAUAUGAAGCUAUUUAAUGUUGAUGUAUAUAUAGGUGGUUCAUGCCUGUGAAUAUUGGAUUUACGUUCUUAUUUGGAGGAAUGUUGGGAUGGACAAUUGUGAAAAUUUUGAAACCAAAGCCAUAUCUUGAAGGCCUUAUCGUUGCUUCAUCUGCUACUGGUGAGUGAGAUAUAUAGUCGUCUUAAGAAUGGAUUAAUUAGUGAAUUAAUAUAUAUCAUACAAACAUACAUAGGGAACUUGGGAAACCUUCUUCUGAUAAUCAUCCCAGCCAUUUGUGGGGAUGAGGGGAAUCCUUUUGGGGAUCGUGAAACCUGUACUUCUCGUGGAUUGUCUUAUGCAUCGUUUUCCAUGGCGGUACGUAAUUAUGAAUGUAUGUAUUAUUAUUCCUGAAAAUGAAUGAAUGAAUUAAAUUAAAGAUUAUUAUGCAUUAUUGUAUGCAGUUAGGGGGAUUUUACAUAUGGACAUACAGUUACCAUGUAGUGAAAACAUCCUCAUUACGCUUCAAACAACUUGAAGUUCCACAUGAUGAUUCCCAGUUGCACACUCAUCUUCUGCCUCAGAAACCUGAUCAAGGACAACCACAAGAUUCUUAUCUUCCCUCUACCAACAACAACACACUCAAAUCAGAUCAGGUAAUUAGUUAAUUUAAAUUGAUCUGAUAGGUGAUUGGUUUAACUUAUUUUUGAAUAACUGAUCUCUCAUGCAGAUUGAAUCUCAAUUAUUAUUAGAAGAUGGUGGAAGCGUGGUACCCAUUUCAGAGAAACAAUAUUCAGAUGAUGUGAUAUCAUCAAAAGGAUCAAGAUUAUUAAUAUUAUGGGGUAAAUUACAACAUUUGCUUCGCUCUAUUGUCAAGGAGUUGAUGGAGCCACCCACUUUAGGAGCUGUAAGUUUAUUACUUACAUAUAUAUAUGUAUAUUAAUUCUCUUUUGAUCAUCUAUUAAUACUAAAACUGCAACAAAUAAAAUGGAAUUGUUUUGUUUUGUUUUGUGUAAUUAAUAAAUAUAAUUAGAUUGUUGGAUUCAUUUUUGGAGCGGUGACAUGGCUGAGACAUUUGGUGAUUGGGGAGAGUGCUCCAUUGCGAGUAGUCCAGGACGCUGUCAAACUACUGGGGUAAUACUAAUAUGUAUAUGAUAUAUAUAUUAUUGUUCUUGGAAAUAAUUGUUAAUGAUGAAUAUAUAAGAAAAAUGAAUGCAUGCAGCGAUGGAACGAUCCCAAGCACAACGUUGAUCCUGGGCGCCAACCUAAGACAAGGGAUACAAUCGUCACAAACAUCAGUGCAACCAGUGAUCAUCCUAGCCUUAAUCCUCUCUCGAUAUGUUGUUCUCCCUGCAAUCGGAAUAGCCAUUGUGAAAGCAGCAAUGUGGUUGGGGUUUCUGCCACCGGACCCAAUGUACCAUUUCUUGUUGAUGGUUCAAUACACGCUCCCACCAGCCAUGUCCAUCGGCAUUAUGACUGAGCUCUUUGGCGUUGGUCAACAAGAAUGCUCUGUUAUUAUGUUUUGGACAUAUUCAGCUGCUCUCCUUGCGCUCGCGCUUUGGUAUACACUCUUCAUGUGGAUUUUAUCUACUUAAUUCUUAUUUUGAUUCCAGAUACAAAUUAUAAGUCGUCCAACAAAAUAGAAGGGCAUUAUAUUGUGUGUGUGUGUGUGUAUAUGUUAGAGGGCAUGCAAGGCCUACCUAUUAAUUAAUUUGGAGUAUGUAAUUUGUAGAAAGUAUCUUCUUUUCAGUUUAUUUUUACCUUUCCCACAACUUUUUCUAUAUACCUAAAAGUAUUUGAUAUAUACUCUAUAUCUUCCUUCUCACAUCACAUCAUCUUUUCCUUGUCUUAUCUUAUUACCUAUCAUUAUUAGACUCUCUUACUUGAUACUAAUUCAGUUCUUAAUUAUUUCAUUCUUUCUUUUAUUAAACUAGUGUAGAUAAUUAAUAAUGCUUUUGAAUUUGGAGAUAAUGCUUUACUACCCCAAAUAUAUCAUUCUAUCGGAUUUCAUAUGUCUGGCUAGGGUUUGGCUUGCCUUGAUCAUCAAGGCUAAGCAUCUCCUCCUAGACCAACUACAUAUGUGCCUUGGACAUGCUUCAUUCACUUUUCGUUAGGGUUGGCCAAGGUAAAGGCCAAACAUAUAUACAUUUUGGACUUUCAACUUGUUUGCUUUGGGCUACGGUCCUAUUCUUCUGUUCAAGUUAGUUAUUGAAAAAUUGCAAAGAUGACUAUUUUAAGGAUAUAACAACAUUUUUUAAAAAUUGCAAAUAUAGCAAAACUAUCACUAAUAAACUUGUAUCGUUGAUAAACUUUAUAUGGUAUAUCAGUGAUAGACCAAUAUUUGACUUAUAUCAUUGAUAGAAUUUGACAAAUUUUGCUAUAUUUGUAAAUUUUUUAAGAUUGUGCUAUAUACUUAAUUAAUUUGAAUUUAAUUGCUAAAUUUGCAACUGUCCCUUUUUUAUUCUCUCCAUUUUACUCCGAUUCUUAUUUUAUAUCUAGCCAUUAUACUUUUCCAUUUAAAAUUAUUAACAAAUGAAAACAACUUCAACCCUAAACUAAAAAGUUUUCCAACACAUAUAUAUGAGUAGGAGACUUGCUCUCUUUAUCUAGACAAAACACUAAACUUAAUUAUUCAACUAUACAUCAUUGUAGAGUAAAGGAGUAAAAGUCUAAAAGUUGGGAUCUUGAUUUGACACAUGCAUCUGCUUGUAACUUAAAUAGCAUACCAAUAUCUUCAAUGUUUCGAUAAUUGAAAAGACUAUAAUAUUGUUAAAUAAUUGAGGUAUAUGAUAAUACACCAAAAGAUUUUGUUUGAUUUUUUUUAAAAAUAAUAGAUUUUUUAUCAACUACCUUUAAAAGAGAUUUUUAUAAAUAUUAAGUUAUCGUUUAAAAAAAAAUUCUCAAAAAACAUGCUCAGCUUCAGGAACAGCUUAGAAGUAUAACUAGACCAACUUCCUUGAGCAAAGAAUCUUUGGAACCUGGGCAUUUUGGAAACGUGAGAAGAACAUAUAGAGACAAACUUGAGUUGGCACCAUAUCCUAUUGAUGGGGAGUGGCUACCAAAAAGUGCUGUGUACGCGCUUGUGGAUCUUAUGGUUGUUAUCUUUAGCCGGCCUAAAGGUCUCUUCAAAGAGUGCACAAAACGAAUUUUAUCUGGAAUGCUUACUAUACAAGGUAAAUAUUUUAGAAUGUUCACACCUUAACAACUACGAAACUGAAUAUACAUUUGUCCUAGAUUAACUGAUGUAGCCUAAAGAAUAAAAUGAGAGAAAUCUCCUAGAAUAAAGUCAAAAUCAGCCGCCUGGUGUACUUUGACAAAGGAGUUUAGCGCCUAUACUAUUCAAGACUUGUGUUUGAACUGGCCAGCCUUCACCACUUGAGUUUUUUGGCUUUUCUUUGUUCCAUUUCUCUGUUUUUUGUUUCCUAAUGUAUUUCUGUUUUACGUAGGAAUGUAUUUAUGAAUUUCUUUGGAUACUAGUUUCUUGAUUGGAAAUGAUAAGGUAGCUAACGACCUUACUUUUUUGAAAUGGAGACAAACCUAUUUAUUAAUAAUAAAUGAGACUAAUGCUCAAAGUACAAGAGUACUAAGAGCAAAAUAAGAAAAAGACAGUCAUCAAAGAUGAACCCAAACAAAACAUAUGGGAAAAAGACCAACAAACAAUCACAAAGUAGAAACAACAAAAGAACCAAAGCAACAAAGAGUUGAGACACUAGUUAAGAUCUUAAUACAAAGCAAAUAUAUAUACUUUCAUGAAAAGCACCCACUUCAGAUUGAAAUUUUGAAUACCACAUGCUUCAAUUCGAAAGGAGAAGGGAUCCAUCGGUUGCUUCAAUUAGAAAUUUUUGCUCUUUCUUGAAUAUGAGAGAAUUAGUUCUGAGUAAGUGGUCAAGAGACUAGAAUCAACACUUUAUCUGCAACCUUCAAACCUUACGAAGUACCUGAUUAUUGGACCAAAAGAUGGCUGAAAUCAGAUCUCGAAAGAAAACUAAUUUGCAUUUUUCUACUAUUGAGAAAUUAUCUUCAUUGACCUAGAUGAGAAGGAGGAAGGUUAUCAAAUUUUCAUUAAACCAAAAUGAUUUCACAAUCAUUGACUAAGGGCAGCAGAUCCUUAGGCAAUUCCAAGGGAACUUUGAUGGGAACAACACUGGCUUCAUCAAAUAGAAAAGAGAGAUCAGCCCCUUCAAUUUUUUCAUUAUUCUUGAUAUCAAAACCAUUUGUAAACCCUAGGGCCUCCUCACUACUGACACUAAAUGGGAACUCCAAGGUCUUGGAGGUCGGUUUGUCAAUGUCGGCACGACAAGGGGAGUCUUGCAACAAAUUAACUUUAGAGUUAAAAAUGGGGAGUUUUGAAUAUUUGAAAUGCUUGACAGGAGAGCCUGAGUUUAUGGACCUGGAAAGACGAUUAGAAGUUUGGAUUUUGGAGCUGCAAACCUCCAAAAGGUCAGGAUUGUUUGCUGAGAUAGAAUGCUUUGAAUUAUGCCGCCGAGAGGGGGCUGAAGCAAAAACUGAAGGAGAAGGAUCCUUGAAUUAUGCUUCCAAACUAAUUAGUCUUGUUGCAGAAACCAGAAACUGAAGCUGCGGAGGCCAUAAUAGGAAGUUGCCGUUGGUUGGAGGAAAAAAUGUAAUCUUUAAUUACUUUUGAGGAAAUCUCAUAAUUCUGCAUGAUAGUACUUAAAGGAGAUUUACCCUUUUUUCUUUCACUUCUGCAUGAUAGUACUUAAAGGAGAUUUACCCUUUUUUCUUUCACUACUUAGAUUUACAUCUGCCGAAUUAAUGGGAAGUUGGUUAAAAUCCAUGUGCCCUAGUUUCUUUUUAAUUCAAUUGUGACCAAUAAGGUUUUCAUUAAUUAGAAGUGGAGACUAUUCAGAUUCUCGCCCAUGGCUGCCACCUGUGUAAUUGAACCUUUCAUCUUCUCCAGCGUCAUACGGCUGGCCGGAAAAUGUUGCAGAGAUUGACAAGGGUUUCUACAUUUUGGUAAGGUUGCAAAAACUGAUCUUGGUACAUUAAGUACAAGUGGGAAGGAGGAGAGAUCACAUCCCUCAUCGAGCAAAGUUUCUCUUACCCUUAGUUGGUCAAUGGAGUUGCUGUAAACGUCUUGUACACUGGGAGAUUUUCUGGAAAACGGAGGGUUUGGAAACUCAAAAUCUCCAAAUGUAGAAAUAUGUUUUCCCUCUUUUGGUUAGAAAUUUCGAUCGUUAAAGGAACGAAUCCACACUGGUUUUUCUUGACCUUAAUACGAGCUUCACUACAAUUGGUAAAAUUAAGGGUUGGCUUUUUCUGAAUUUUCUGUUCAUUGUUUUACAGUUUUUUCUGGUCCCUUGUAAUAGGCUGAUUGUUAUUAGGUUGCUCCUCUGUUGGUUUUUGUGUUGAUGUUUUCUUUCUCGGGAUAUGAUGAUUGGCGUUAUGGAGGUGUCAACCUAGUUUAGAUGUCUGGGUGCGCCUUCUGGUCCUAUAGGUUCCCCCUUUCUUCUUUAUUGCUCUCUUUGUAUUAAUCUCUUAUACUUAGAGUUCUUAUUAAUAAAGAAGUUUUUGUCUCCGUUUCAAAAAAAGGGUUUCAGAGGCUAUUUCUAUGAAUCCUCCAAAAUGGUCUUUGAUUGUUUCGAAAAUACUUCUACACCAGAAAUCAAGAGGAAGGUUCUUCACUUUAAUCCAACCUCCAUAACCUUUCAACACCAAUGGCCUACUAUGUUUUGCACUGGCCCAUUUUUCAAAUUUUAGGUGGAAAUUGUCCCAUUCUUGCCAUCCUAGUUGAGAUGUUCGAGUGCAUCCCCUGACCCCUAAACCUCUUGUACUUUGAGUUCUGAAUAUCAAUAAAGAGGUUGUCUCCUUCUAAAAAAAUACUCAUGUACUUUGAGCUUUAGUCUCAUUAUCAUUAAUAAAGAAGCUUGUUUAUGUUUUAAAAAAAUAUCGAGGACAACAAGGUUUUAUCAAGUGCUUCCAAACUGAAUUGCAAAGUGGACAGCAUUCCGAUAAUGUACCUUUGUCUUCCUUUGUGUGGCUAUCUAGUUGAGAUGUUUGGGUGCACAUGCUGAUCUCAUAGGCUUAGAUCUUGUCUCUUCAUUUUACUCAACACUACUUUGUCUAUUCAUUUUCUUAAUGAAGAGGUUCAUUUUCCUUUUUUUUUCUAAAAAAAUCAUAACAUUUUGGUGACUUUCCUCUCUGCAAACUUCAGAAAGAUAUCAUUUUUUUUAAAAAGGAUACGAGUCUCACUAUUAUUAAUAUAAAUAAAGAGACAAAGCUCAAUGUACAUGAGGGUUAUACAAAGAGCAAUAGGGGGGAGGGAGGAUCAACGGGCGCACCCGGGCAUCUCAACUAGGUUGACACUCCCAUAGCGCCCUCAUCACAUUCAAAAAACGACAAUACAAGAAUCAAACAAAAAGCCACAAAUACAAGGGCAAACAAAAUGAUAAAAAUAAUCUGUCCAAAGCAAAAUCAUAAAUCAUAGGCAGCAGGCCGAGAACAAAGGCAUCAUUAAUAGUGGUUAUAGUGUUUUGCUAUCCUGCCUCUAACCUCAUAAAACUCGACACUGAGACCUGCAAGAAAUUUGUAAGUACAGCCAGUUUCCACAGUUUUUUUUAAUGCUUUUGAUCCUCUUUGACUUCCACUCAUACGUACCAAAGAGGUCAAGUUCUUGCCAAAUUCUUAAGAGUGAAAAUUCUGGGUAACUUAAUUACUUCCCUAUUGUAUAUCACCCAAUUCAAGGUUUGGCAUCCCACUUGGCAAACAAAGGAUUUUUUUAUCUCUGGUGCAAUUUUUUCUUUCAUAAUGUAACCAAUCUCUCCAUGUCCACGAAUAUACAUCUGAACACUUUGGGACCAACAAAGAAAAUUAUUCCCAUUAAGCUGGAUGGAGGUUAUUUGGAUGGUAGAACCGUUGGAAUGGAUUCAAUUGUUUAAAACUUUAGCAAUAGAUGACUUGUUAUCGGACAUUAUUGCUGGAAGUAGAGGAAAAACGAACUAAAACCCAAUAACCAGAGAACCAAAAGAAGGAAAGAAGGGAAAAGCUAGCCGCGAUAGCCUUGUUUGAUCUCUACCUCCGUCAAAAGGAAAGGUAUCAUCUUAGGCAAACCCAUCACUGAUUACACAAGUUUUUUCUGCCAUAUCUUUGUUCGUUACAUCAACCUCUCAUCUGUUCGUGUAGCUUUCAGAUCGACCGCCGACCUUUGGUGGGUCUCUACUAGGAGUUGUUUCCAAAUCCAUCGUCUGUUGUUUGUCUUAGCUCUGUUGCCUCAAAUUCUUGUGCACCCUCAAACCCGCAUAGUCCUCAUAUGCGCCGCUUCAUCCUACAAAUCCAUCUGCUGUGUUUAGAUUUGUUUAAAUCUAGAUUCGUCGUUGAUCCAUCUGCUUCAUCCUUCAUCGUUUCAGUCUAGAUUCAAUGAAGCCUCGACCUCUGAUCCGUUGGUGGCUUCACUUGCACCGAUCACCAUGGGUUUCAUUUGUCAGCACCACCAAACUCGUUGUUUGGUGUGUGCUUUUUUGUUCGUGCAUUAAAUUUUUCCCAGUUUGUAAAAGAUUAUCAUGUACCCUCUCAAUUAUUCUGAAUAUUCAAUAUAUUAUAUAAAAUGAUCAAAUCUGAAUUGAGAACCCUAUAAAAUCCAUGGAAAAAGAAAUUCUGGAAGAAGACUUGAGACAAUUCAAAACAACCGAGGCAAGAUAACUUUAUUGGGCAUGCUAAUCGGCUGGAAUCCCAAAUUUUCUUUUUGAAUUAAUGUCUUCUUGAAAAAACAUGUUUUCUGUCAUGCACUAAAAGAUGAGAUUAUUUUCAAAGAAGCUGCAAAUAAGUUAACGCCACAAUCAACUUACUUGCCAUGUUUCUACAAAGAAGAGAUCUUCGAACCAUAUACAGAAAAAUAAAUUAUUUGACUUUACAACUUCCAAUCUCCAUAUCCUUAACACUAGAGAAAUGAAAACGCAGAGGAAGGAGGCUAAGCAACAACUUACUAACCAGAGAAAGUAGUAAUGUUAACUGGAGAAUUCGGCAAAAGCAAUUGGAGAUACUGACUAAAGAGAGAGCGAGAAGAGAGAAGGGUGAGGAGAGAACAAACAUACCUCUAGAAUUCUUUUGAUUUAAAAUGCAAAUGAUAUUUUAUGUGCUCAUAUGAGUAUUAUAACAAUGUUGUAAAUAUCUUUUCAAGUUGUUUUUUAUUUUAUUUUAUCUUAAUAUUUUAAACAUUUUUGUUAUAUUGUUCUUUAUGGUCAUUUACCUUUUCCUACUUAGGUUACUCUUAUACACAUGUAUAUAUAUGUAUGUGUCUUCUGUGAACGGAAUAGAUUAUUUUGAUUCUCUCAAACCUUAGAGUUUUACCAUCACUUUCUUAUCAUCCCUCGAGAGUGAGAAUUAGCUACUAGUUGUUGGUAAGAGUCGAUUGACAAAUCAAUAACUUAGCAAAAAAUCAAGAGAAUGAAUUUAGGUGGCUCCUCAAUUAACUUGAUAUCGAAUGUUUUAUACAAUUUAGUUUUGGCCGGACUAUGAUUCACAGGCUCUACUUUUGUUUGUUUUCGGAACUCAAAUUUGCUCAUAGAAAUUUUUCUUGCAGAGGAAUUGGUGAAGCUUGGGAUAGCUGAUGGCGUAAGAGGUAACACUUGGAAGUUAGAAUACUAUCCAUACUUCUACUUCCCAAUGUUGAAUUUUGAUUGUUUCUUUUCAAUGCAUAUUUUGUGUGCAUGUAUAAAUGCAUAUUUUGUAAAAAGAAUGGGAAAAAGAUCCUUCCAUGGAAAUUGGUGACCGUUUAACUGGUGAAAUUGUUGGUUAAUUUCAAAUAUACUGUUGAGUUUAUACUUCAUGUCAUAUUUUCUUUGAGAAGAAAAGAGUUCUUAAACAAAAGGAACACUCAAUACAAAUCAAGAAAAUACAAAAUCAGUAAAUAUAAUAUAAUAAAGACAAAAAUGGGAAAUUGCUUUAAGUGACAAAAUUAUUGAACAUAUUCACAUAUAUAUCAAAAUGUCACGUCUAUCAGUCUAUCAACGAUAGACCGUGAAAUUUGCUAUAUUUGUAAAAGAAAUUGUUCAUUUUGCUCUAUUUGAAAACAACCCUACAAAAAAUAUAUAUUUAACAUAAAAGGAAGCAAUAUAUACUCCCCUUAUGUGACAACAAGAUAUCGUUUAUUGCAACCUCGUCAAUUGAACUGUUAAAUUGCCAUUUUAGGGGACCUUUAGUUAACACAUAACAAUUUUUUUUUUUUAACACAACAAUUUGUUCUAUUGUUGGGAAAGUAAGGAAUGCAGAUUACUCUAGCAGAAAUAUUCUCACACGCCCUCAUAUAUUCCUUCCUCUCGCCGGCCACUAACAAUUCUCUCCUUCCACCUCCGACGAUGGGCAGCACAACCGACAACGCUUCAUUGGGAUCCUUGUUCCUCUUUGAUAUAUUGCAAAGAUCUUCGUUGUGGGUCACCAUGGCCUCGUCGGUUCCACCUGUAUUCUAGAAUUCAGAGAAGUAUAUUUCUUAUACAUAUUGAGUCAGAGAAAAGUUACAUAUUUAUAUAGAGAAUAAAAUAAACCCUAGACACUAUGUACAAUUACAAUAAAGGACAUAGUUAUAACUAUAUAUCAUAACACUCCCCCCAAGCUGGAGCAAAUGUGUCGAUCAUGCCCAGCUUGUUGCACAGAUAGCUUAUCCUUGCUCCAUUUAAAGCUUUAGUCAAAAUAUCUCCUAAUUGUUCUCCAAUCUUUACGUAUCCGGUGGACACCAACCCAUCUUGGAUUUUCUCACGAAUGAAGUGACCAUCCACCUCAAUAUGUUUAGUUCGUUCAUGAAAUAUUGGAUUAGAUGCAAUGUGAAGUGCAACUUGAUUAUCACACCAUAAUUUAGCUAGCACUGUAAUACUAAAGCCUAUCUCAGAUAAUAAUUGGUGAACCCAUAUUAUUUCGCACACAGAUUGUGCCAUAGCUCGAUAUUCUGACUCAACACUCGAACGAGAAACAACAUUUUGUUUCUUACUCUUCCAUGAUACUAAGUUUCCACCUACAAAGACACAAUAUCCAGAAGUUGAUCUCUUAUCCUCACAAGAUUCUGCCCAAUCAGCAUCAGAAAAACAUUCAACUCUCGUAUGUCCAUGAUCUUUGUGAAAGAUCCCACAUCUAGGAGCAACUUUUGGAUAACACAAAAUCUGCUCUACUGCAGCCCAAUGAUCCAUUGUAGGGGAAGACAUGAACUGACUUACAACAGUUACAGAAUAAGCAAUGUUUGGUCGAGUUACUGUUAAAUAGUUCAACUUCCCAACUAAUCUCCUAUAUCUCCCAGGAUCUUUACAUAAUUCUCCUUCUUUAACAAGUUGCUGAUUGUAGAUUCAACAUGGUGGGUUGAGGUGUUGUAAAGGAAGUACAACCUUUUGUUCCGCUUUUGGGUUUGGACUUCUUUGGCAAGAUGGUUUUGAGAUCACCGUCUGCAUCUUUUUGCUAGUCUCUAGAUUUGAAUGGUUUCCUUUUGAGAGAGUUAUUUUGUUAUGCUUUGUAUUUAGUUCUCUUCGUUUUGUUUUAGUUUUAACUUCAUUUUUUCUGUUGGAUUUCGCCUUUUUAGCCUAUUCUUUGCUUUUUGUUUGUUUUGGUCGUUUUCCCUUGUUUUGGCUGAGAUCUUUUUUGGGCAGUUUGUUUGGUUGUUUUUGUCUUUUCUUGUUUUGCUCUUUGUAUAAUUCUCUUAUACUUUGAGCAUUAGUCUCAUUUUCCUUUAUUAAUAAAGAAACUUGUCUCCGUUUCAAAAAAACAAGUUGCUGAUUUGGCAUCAUAGGAGUGCCACUUGGUUUGGUUCCUAAUUUUCCUGUCUCGGACAAUAAAUCAAGUACAUAUUUUCGUUGAGACAAAUAAAUACCUUUCUUGCUUCUCAUCACUUCACUGUCAAAAAAAUAUUUCAAUUGGCCCAAAUCUUUUGUAUAAAACUGACCUUGAAGGAAAGUUUUGAGAGAUGAAAUACCCGAGCAUCAUUUCUAGUAAUAACAAUAUCAUCAACAUAUACAACUAGUAGAACUAUACCAUUAUCAGAUCGGCGAUAGAAAACUGAAUGAUCAGAUGUACUCUUCUGCAUACCAAAGCAUACAAGAGCUUAACUAAACUUACCAAACCACGCACGAGGACUCUGUUUCAAACCAUACAAAGAUUUUCGAAGGUGACAUACUUUAUCUCUCCCUCUGAGCAACAAACCCAGGUGGUUGCUCCAUAUAAACUGAUCACCAUGCAGAAAAGCAUUCUUAAUGUCAAGUUGAUGCAAAGGUCAUUUAUGGGUAGCAGCCAUGGAAAGAAAUAGGCGGAUGGAAGUUAAUUUGGCAACUGGAGAAAAUGUAUCUGAAUAAUCAGUUCCAUAGAUUUGAGCAUAACCUUUGGCAACAAGGUGACCUUCCUCACUCAGGUUUGUUCUAGCACUCAAGUAAUGGAACUCUUCAAUAUAAUGGAACUCUUCAAUAUAUUUGGCUAUCGUUUUAGUACCUUGGCGGCAAUUCUGGUACUGGUUAUAUAAAGCUUGUUCAUAAGUCGGAGGUAAGAACCAAGCCUUCAACAACUUCUUCAUCUUCUCCCAAGAACGGAUGGGCUGCUUCCCACAUCUUUGUCUAUUGAUCUCUAGCUGACCUUACCAUGCCAAAGCACCAGCUCUGAGUUUCAAGGCCACUAAGUGCAUCUUUUCUUGUUCAGAAGUAUCCAUGUAGUUGAAAAAAUUCUCAAUGUUCUUUUUUUUUUUGCAACGGAGACAAAAUUCUCAAUGUUCUUUAUCCAAUCUAAGUGCAUCUUCCUCCCGUUUGCCACUAUACGUUGGAAGAUCAAUCUUCAUCUUGUAAUCAUGAUGUACCUCUCUUCGUGCAUCAAACCUCCUAUUGUUUCGUCUCAUUCGCACUUCAUCAUUAUGGUUCCAUAGAUUUCCUUGUUCAUUGUUGCCCUUCGUACCAUCUUCUUGUAGUUCUUCCCAUACUUCUUGGUCCUCUUGAAUAUCUUCUUCAAGGUACUGUGGCGGGUCGUAACCGGGCCUUCCUCUUUGGGCGUGUCAUUGGUUGUGGAGGUUUUUGUAAUUCCUUCUUGCUCGUCGACCUCGUCUGUCACUGAAAUUAUAGUCGUUUGCCACAUUUGCUUCUUUUCGCGGCGGCGGCGGCAGCUCAUCCAUCCUUCUGUUCAGCAACUCGAAGUUCUCCAUCAUUCUAUCAAACUUGUUGUGAAGAUCUCCCAAGGAUUCCUCGACGGCCAGCAAGCGAACCGUUGAUGUCUCUGGAGAGAGGGCGGCGAUUUCCUCCACUUCUUCUUGCACACGAUCGUCCCCCGCGGCUGGGUUUAUUCCUCUCCGGCCAGCAAGGUUAGUUAUGAGAAAGUUGUUACAAAACAGUUAAGUAUUCUAACUGUUUUAACUACCAUGCAGUUUGGCUAACUCUUUAGACUAUCUCUGUUAUUAUUCUUAUUAUAUCAAUAUGUCUUUCCCUUAUUCACAGCAUCACAAUAGUCUCACUUAAAUAGAAGAAAGACCUAAAAUAGAAAGGGAAAAAAUCAUAUCGUAAUAAUCACAUUCUAAUUUCAGCAAAUAUAAUAACACUAAUUAAGGGAUAAAUCUAAAGUUGUAUACACUUCACAAUUUCAUGUUGUAACAAACUAAAAAACUCUAAUUAAUUAACUCUAUGAAACUUUGUUUUUAGCAGAAGUCAGUUUGCAGCACUCUGCCAUAUGGAUGGCUGGCGUUUAUUUAAUGCUCAUUAUGCAACUUCUUGAAAACAAAGUAGCCAUUGAGUUGACACGUUCUGAAUUUGUUGAGGCUCAAGAGGUAAGAACUAGGAAAGUUUACUUAUCUGUGAGUGUACUUUUUUUCAAUUGUCAUCCCUCUCUCACCCUCUAUUUGUGUCUUGUUGACUUAGUCUUUUCCUUUUCCUUGUGGUGUUCUAAAGGUUUUCGUGAUAUUCAGCACACACUUUUAUCCUCUUUUGCAAGAAGUAUCUCCAAAUGAUACAAGCUAAUGUUCGUUAGUUGUAUUUUGUUUGGUCGUUUUGCUGGAGUUUGUUCUGUAGCUUCAGAACUUUAUAACUAGGGUAUAUAUAUAUAUUACCAAAAUAAAUAAAUAAUAGAAACAACAAAGGUAUUAAAAUUGGUAUUAAAGUUUGGUUAUACCUCAUGGCCAGCAUCAUACUUCCUGUGACCUAAGAGCUUUGCAAAAGUUUCUUUUGCUCAAAAACAUUGUUUAGAUGUAAAUUUUUUUGAAAUAGAGACAAACUUCUUUAUUAAUAAUGAAACUUAAAGUACAAGAGAAUUAUACAAUGAGAGUAAAUAAAAAAAUCCUAUAAGAGGUAACCUUGGGGAUCAAGAGGCGCACUCGGACAUCUCAACUAGGUGGACACCCCCUAGCGCCAAUCAUCAUAUUCCAAAGAAACGAAACAAAACCAAACUAAAAUUAUUUGAUGUCCAGAUUAAUACAACAGAGUCGAGACAAAAGAAGCUAUCAGAAAAGAAAACAAUGCAAACCAGAGAAAACAUCUAACACCUGUGAAGGCCAAAACAAGAAAUACAUGAAAAUUCUAUGGCUAAAGUAAGAAAAAAAUGAACCAAUCCACCAAGACUUCAAAGCGUAGAAAGAGGCCUGCUGUAAGAAUCUUUCAAUCUGAAUAUUCUGCAGUCGAAAUCACCAACUAUAAUGCUGGUUGAGAGAGAAAAACAUCCCAGGCAUAUGUCUUGAAUGGAGUAAUUCUCAAAUUCCUUAUUUAAAGAACACCAAGCUGUAGCAUUACGUUAGGCAGACAAUUUCUGACCUUGGUCUUUCCUUAUCAUGAAAAAUCCAUUUGUUACGCUCGAGCCAUAAUUCCGUAAGGAGAGCUUUAGACCUGUUUACCCAUAUUAAAUGUGGUUUCUUAGAUAGAAAUGGACCCAUCAAAAGCUGAAGCACAUUUGAACUUAGGGACCCAUUAAAAACCCAAUCAGUUUUAAAGAUAGAGAAUAUGCUACCCCAGCAGAAGGAUGAAAAGGGACAGGUCAUAAAGAGAUGAAGAAGGUCCUCAUUAGCCUUCAUACAGAGAGGACGGGCUGAAGAAGAAGGUACUUGUUAGUUUAUUUCCUUUGCCAGAUUUCUGAACUGUUGAGGAACCCAAAAACCAUAAUCCACAUUAGAAUAUUAAUUCUCUGAGGACUGCUUGAAUUCCACAUAGCUUUAAAUAAGUGGUUAUCCAUCGGGGAGGCAGUUUGUAGAUAAACCCAAAGAGACUUAACAGUGUAAUGGCCUUGGUGGUCAAUGGACCAAUAUCUAUAAUCUUCAGAAUCUCACUUUUUCAGACAAGGGGAGGUAUAAUAAGGAUUAAAACUCUGCAAUUUCAUCUUCUUUCAAACAUCUUCUAAAAGAUAAGAACCAAGAUAAAGUUUCAAUGUCCCAAUGUGUUGCAACAGAGCCGUUGAGCAAUAGAGCAAUUCUAAAAAGCUUGGAAAAUUAAUCCUUGAGAGGGAUGACAUCAACUCAAAGAUCUAUCCAGAAUCCGAUUCUACAACCAUUGCCAAGUUUAAAUAAAGCUAGUGAUUCCACCGACCUCCACACUCUUGAAAUGCUUACCUAUGGACUCCUUAGGCUAUUACCAAACUUUUCCAUUGCAAACCAGUCAAAUGCCUCUUUGCCGUGGAUGCUUCUUUCUAUUUGCCUACAUAAAGCUGUCUUCCUUUUAAAGUUUCCACCCUCACUUAGCAAGCAAAGCAAUGUUAUGUACUUUAAUGCCACCUAAGUCGAGACCCCAUCCUUUAUUGAUAGUGUAACCUUGCUGCAAUUCACAAGUUGAUUGAUUUUACUGCCAGCAUAACCUUCCCAAAAGAAAUUCCUCAUAAUUUUCUCCAAAGAGGCAGCCACAUUUUUCGGGGAUAGAAAACAAAGAUUGAUAGUAUGUGGGGAGACUAGCCAAGACCGAAUUGGACAAAGUAUGUCUACCUCCUCUAGAAAUGUUAAAUUUUUUCCAUCUAUCUAAUUUUUUGUGAACUCGAUCAAUAACUGGUUGCCAAAACUCUUUUUGUCGAGGGUAGCCUUCCAAGGGGAGACCGAAAUAUAAAAAAGGUAACUUUUCUGCCUUGAAACCUAACCGGUUUGCUGUUUGAAACAAGACUUCCUCAACCACAUUGACACCGCUAAGAGCUGAUUUUACCCAAUUUACUUUCUGCUCCAAACACCAUUCGAAAAGCUUUGGCAGUGUUUAAAGUAGGAAAUGGCAGAAGAACAGCCUUCAGGUCAGAUCUGUGGGUGGUUAAAAUUCCUCUAAAAUUCGCAUUCCCACGUUUGUUCAGAAGUGCACGCAUUUCGGAAGGAUCUACUGCUGACCAUUGGGAUUUCUAUACUUCUUCUUGGUCUUUAACCUUCAUAAGAUUGCGGAAAGAAGAAGAAAUUAAUGAUUUUCAGGCUCUUUUUUCUUUGUUGGCAGGAAAAGAAUUACCGAGUGCCCCAGAUAAAAGAAUGUGGUCUUUGGAAACAAGCGGUGCCUUCUCUAUUAAAUCCCUUGUUAAUCACCUUUCUUCUGCUACACCCCUUGAAAAUUCACCGGAAGUUUGCAUCUGGAAAUCAAACAGCUCGUGAAGAGUGAAUAUUACUCUUUGGAUUAUGCUUUCUGGGAAUUUGAAUUGUGCUGCCGUUAUGCAAAGGAAACUCCCCUCGGUCCUUUAGGCCCCUCCAAACCCAGACAAAGGUAGGUUUCUCUCUCUUCUCUCUCCUCUCUCCUCCCCCUCUCCCAUCCUUCUCCUUCUCUAGCAGUCAAUAUCGACGACUCAAUUUUUCUUUUUCGUUCUCCUCCUAGCGUUUCUUAAUCCUUCAGUCAGAAGUUUUGAAAUGAUGGAAGUGAUAAGAUGUCGAAUCCUCCAAGCACACUGCUGUAUCUGGUUGGAAGAUGGAAAGUUCCAAGUAGAAGAUGUGGAAGCGCAAAGAAGGUUGUCAGUUUCAAAGGCACAGCUGAACCAUGAAAUCUAUAGCGGUCCUUAUGAGAGGUACAAAAGAUGGUUUCUUUCAUAAUUCUGGGGAUUUGGAUCGAGGAAGAAUGAAAGUGUCGAAAUUCUGGUCCAAAGUUGGAUGGAUGCUAUGCUGUGAUUUUUGGCCUUUGUCAAGUGGUCACUCCAACAUUCGAAUGCGUGCAGGGGAGGACAGGCAGAGGUGGUUAGAUUUCCAUAAAAUGUUAAAGAGUUUCCUGUCUAAGGUAGACUAUACAAGAUGGUUUGCAAAUACAAGGCCCACGUCUAAUUUUCCAUCUGAGAGCAAGAGUUUAAGCUACGCAGACAAGGUUAGGACGCUAAAAAGGUGUCAACCUAGUUGAGAUGUCCAAAUGUGUCCCCUGAUCCUUAGGUCUCUCUUUUGGUACUCUUAGUAUAUAACUUACUUUGAGUUUGAAUAUUAAUGAAGAGGUUCUCCUUUUCAAAAAGCAAAGGAAACUCCUCUCUCAUUGCUUAUUGCCUCAUAUCUGCCCCCUUUGUUUAAAUAAUCUGGAGGAUUUACAGCACCAUCCCUUUGAUUGUGACUAUGCUAAGAGAUGCUGUUUCAGAUUGCUUCAAACCUUUAAUCUAUCUUGGGUUUUUGGAAAUGAUUUUAGGAGUAAUGUCCAACAUACUUUGGUUGGUCCAGCCCUCAAGAAAAGGCCUUUUUUUAUUUGAAGCAACGCGGUAAAAGCCCUACUAUCUGGAUUAUGGUUUGAAAGAAACCAAUGAGUCUUCCACGAUAAAAUUUUCCCUUGGCUAGACCACUUUGAGCUUCCUCAUUUAAACGCUUCUUCAUGGUGUAUGCUUCCAAAUAUUUUUGAAGACUUUUCAAUUCAGGAGAUCAAUCUGAAUUGGCAGGCUUUCAUUUUCCCUCCUAAGUAGCAGAAGACUUUUUGUGUACUUAUUUUUCUGUCUUAGGAGUCAUUUUGUAUUUGUAUCACUGCUUGUUAUUUUCUUGAGUUCUUGGUCUUAAUGUUCCUAUAUUUUUUUCUUUGGACAUUGAGUUUGGGAUGUAUUUCUUAUUUCUUAUUUUGACUAUUCUCCUUGUUCGGAUAUGAUGAGAGCGCUAAGGGUUGUCAACCUGGUUGAGAUGUUGUAUAUUUUCUUGUAUUUUGUAUAGUGACUCUGUUUCUUUUCAUUAAUCAAUGAAAAGUGUGUUUCCUUUUUUAAAAAAAAAAAUUGAUUAUAAUACACGAGGAAUCCUAGGUUUGGAAUUAAUUAUAGAAGAACAGGACAUCUAAAAAUAAUUAUAAGAUGUAAAUGACUUCACAAAUCUACAUCUUGGUAUUCCAUUCUUUGGAUGUUUCAGGUUUUGUCUUCUUACUCUUCAUUGGAGUAUAUAUUCUUUGAACAUUUUUGCUUCUUUUCAUUAAAAAAAAAUUUCAUGUUAAAAAAUGUGACAAUAUCCCAAAGAAGAAAGUGGAAUGUUUGCCUCUCCGUCGGUAGGCGCAUCCUUUGUCUAAAUACCUGUAUUGUAUUAUGUAGGCCUUAGUGCAGAUGAAGAAUUGGUUCUUGCGCUUUCCUACAAUCUUACAGGCAUGUGAGAGUAUGAUUGAGAUGCUUAGAGGCCAGUAUGCUCACUACGUUGGUUGUUACCAUGAAGCAACUUUCCAUUAUAUCGAAGCUGCAAAGGUCUUGCAAUUUUAGUUUCCAUGCUUCUGAUACUGCUUGAAAUCUCACACUGUGCUUAUGGUUUGUUAUUUGUGUCAAAUUUUGUUGAUUCUCUUGUCUGAUUGUGUAGCUUACAGAGAGCAAAUCAAUUCAAGCAAUGUGCCAAGUUUAUGCUGCUGUCUCUUAUAUCUGUAUUGGCGAUGCUGAAUCAUCUACUCUUGUAACAUUUUCUCCUGCUUAGAAUUUAUAUACAAGAUGAAAUAUACUAGCUUCCACAUUUUUUAGUUUGAUUGAUUGAAAUAGCAUUACAGGCACUUGACUUGAUUGGACCAGUUUACAGCAUGAUGGAUUCUUUUGUUGGUGUUCGAGAGAAAACAAGUGUUCUUUUUGCGUAUGGCCUCUUACUGAUGAAGCAACAUGAUUUACAAGAAGCAAGGUAUCUUUUUCCAUUUAGAUAGGAGAAUACAGCAAGUAUUUGAGGUCUUAAUCUUCCCCUGCAAGGUUUUAAGUGGCCAACUACCACUGCCUUGUAGUGAGUUCUGACCCUUUGCCAAGUGAUCUGUUGAUUUGCAUUUUUUAUGGCCCUUAUUUUAGAAGCUUUGUUAACCUUCCUACAAACCAAAGUAGGGGUGAUCUUCAGUCUCUCCUUUUGUGUGUGUUUUGUGUAUAAUUCUCUGAGCAUUAGUCUUGAUUUUAUUAAUAAAAUUUGAGACUGUCUCCUUUAUAAAAAAAAAGGAAAAACAAACCAAAGUAGGGGUGGAAACGGUUUGGUUUGGUGGCAAACUGAACUGAAUUGCAGAUUUGAAAGUUUUUAAUGGCAAAACCAAACCACCCUGCUUUGUCUGUACAGACCGAACAGCAUAUAUGCUGUUUGUUUCGGUUUGAUUUUCAAUUUUUCUCUUUUCUUAGAAAGAAAUUGAAGGAGAUAUUGAUUGGCAAGAGGGUGAGAGAAGAAGUAUGUUGGAAAUUAAAGCAUAAGACUGCCAAAGAUUAAUUUUUUUUUUACUAAUAAAGCAGAAGACUGCUGGAGACGAAGGUCAAACAGAGAGAUGAAGACAGCCUGCCAAAGAUGGAGAUGAGAAAGAAUCGGAAAUGGUCCAGAUGGAGAUGAAGACAGGGGAUGAGGAGAGUUUGAGAGAUGAGAAGGUGGACACAUGAGGAGAACCGAGAUACUGAGAGAGAGUGAGUGGCCGAGAAGAUUGGAAAAGUUGACCAUGGGCAGUGGCAAGUGGGCUGCGAACUGCGGAGAGUUGAGAGACUGAGAGUGAGCAAGAGAUGAGAAAAAUAUAAUGAAAAUCAAGUGGGCAGGCAGCGGCAAGGCACUAGGCAAGGCAAC